UUUUUUUUAGUUGUGCGUUACAAAGAAACUCAGUUGUUUGCUGCACAUUUGGUUCAAUAUUUUCCUUGUCUUUACAUGGUCCAUUCAUAGCACUAGUAGUUGCAUUGAGUUUAUCCUCUAUUUGUGGAGCAACGGAAUCAAGUGCAUUCUCCAAUAACACACAACAUUCUAAAUACUUGGCUGCUUUAUGUGCCAAAUUGUGGAACUUAUGAGACAAAUCCUUGUACCGAAGUUGAGCUUCUAGUUGGGGAUUUUCUACAACGUUCCUUCCUGGUCUAUCUUGUAUACUUCCAUUGCGUGCUUCUCUAGUCCAUCUCUUUAAGACAUAAUGUGUUGGCAAUGACUUUAUAUUCAGCAAAUCAAGAACUUUGAGAUCAUGUCCACACAAUACUCCUGUCCUAUUGAACAUUCCACAGCUACACGAAAUGGUUUGGGUCAAAGGAUCACCUAUCACUAUGCGCUCCUCCUUGAACUGUAAAUCACCAUGCAAACUCCCAAUAGCAACCCUCAUUGGAACAAACAAAUCUGCAUGAAGUCACCUUUCCAUCAAAUUUGCUUUUGUUGGUGCAUCUUUUCCUCACGUCAAAGCCUAUAUGGCCCCCAUAUUCUACCCAAAACAACCAUGCCUCAUCUGAAUCUUUGAAUCUUAAACCAACUUGAGGUAUCCUCUUGUCAAUUUGUGCCAUUGCACAAGAAUUUCACAAUUGCAUCAUAUUCACAUUCUGCCAAAAUUCAAAAUGACAUGUAUAUUAGAGAAAAAACUAGCUCGUAUGUGAAACAAUGGUUAAUAAGAUUAUAUUCUGGCCUAAAUAUCCUUAGACAAAAAUUAAUACAAAACAAAGGAAGGUUGUGACUUCGUACCUCUGAACCUCUCUGUAGAUUAUGUUCAGGUGGAGAAGAGCAAAUGUUUAGGUGGAGAAGCAGCAAAUGGCUCAGCCCCGGCAUCCCCUGGAGCACCUCCGCAGCUGCUCGACUCCGACGCCCCCUCGACCACCUCCGCGGUAGCCCCGGCCCUGCUCGAGCACCUCCUCGGCGGCUCAGCCCCGGCCCUGCUUGAGCACCUCCCCGGCGGCUCAGCCCCGGCGCCCCUCGAGCACCUCCGCGGCGGCUCAGCCCCGGCCCUGCUCGAGCACCUCCCCGACGGCUCAGCCCCGGCCGCCUCGAGCACCUCCGCGGCAGGUCAGCCCCGGCCCCCUCACUCACCUCGCCCGCGGCGAUGCGCCGAACCCGUCGCCAUCUGUGCGGUGCACCUCCACCCAACCCCUCAUCCACUCCCUUGCGGCGGCCUGGUGGUGGAUCUCCACGGCCCGGUGGUGGACGCCGCCGGCGAUGUAGUCGAUUUCCUCAACGGCGGUGCGCCGCUGAUGCAGCGUGCGCGGGAAAGAACAGAGGAGCCCGCCUGUUCCUCUUUCUCACGGAAGUCCCUUUCUCACCUGCUUUGUCUCAUCUCGUCAAAACUGCUAAGUGUUGGUUCACUUGGGGCAAUCAAUGACGUUGGAUGGAAAAGCAACGGUGGAUGGGAGGGCGCAUGUUACGCCGUGACUGCCAAGAGGCAUGUCACCUGAUCCCAGUCCUUAUACUACGUAUGUAAAAUCCCUGCCAGAUUGCGAGGGAAUUCCAUUCGUGCAUGCAGGCAGGCAGACUUAUUUCAGCUUGGUACUACCUUGGUUCAAAAUAACUGAAGUUCUGGGUUUGUUCCAAGCCAAACUAGUUUAAGUUCGGCCAUGUGUAUAGAAAAAUGUAUUAUCAUGUGCAAUACCCCGUCAAAUAAGUCUGUUGAGAAUCCUCUGUGAAAUACUUGUGCUAUGUGUAUUUGAUGAUGCUGUUGUUGUUGUUGUUGCUCUUUGCGCAUGUUUCUUUAGACCUGGUAAUAGAAAAAUCAAGAAAAAUAAAAUUAGGAGGGACCCAAAACUUGAGUUAUUUGAACAAGGCAUUAAUGCGCAGUGCAACGCGAUCGCAUCGCAGGGUUACGACGAUCCGUUACCCCCUCCCGUCAGGUGCCUUCUGUUAAUAUCGACAGAGAUUCAGAUUCAAAAUCAAAACCUUACUAAUGUUAUGGUUCCAAAACAGCAGCUAUCUUGUCAAAAUCUGAGAUCGUCUUGCAUAUUCACACACACUCAUUCACGUAUGGCCGAGUCUGGAGCAGAUGGGAUGAGCCCCAUGGCACCUGCACUGCAUUGCAGACUCAAGCAUUCAUUCAUGCAUGCAUGCAUGCAUGCACCUUUCCCAGCGCCGAGAUUAGAGACCGUUCAGCGGCAGUACGUACGUACGCAUGCAUGCAUGCAUCGUCCAGAAAAUCAGCCUCGAGCCAUGUUUUAAUCAAGCUUAUUAUGCGUGGAGCUCGAGCCGUGUGGCAGUGGGUAACAGAGGUUUGUGAUGCCACUGACCAAGCUUUCUUCCAAGGACAGACACAGAGACACACACCGACACACGGCCAGCCAUCGGUCGCGACCAAGGAAAAGAGGCGAUGGUGGCCAGGGGUUUUAGUUCCAGGUCAUAAACCGAGACAACGAAAUUGGAACUAAAAGUCUUUACCUUAUAAUUUCAGUUGGCUACAACCUGCAAUUAAAGUCCCUUUACAUGACUAUUUUUUAUACCCAAAACUGAUAUACUUUGGACGAUAUACCCAAGAAAUGAUACACUAUUUUUUAUACACGCAUAUUCUUUUGAGACAUACAUGUGAAUUAUACUGGAGAUAUACCCAAAAAUGUAUNNNNNNNNNNNNNNNNNNNNNNNNNNNNNNNNNNNNNNNNNNNNNNNNNNNNNNNNNNNNNNNNNNNNNNNNNNNNNNNNNNNNNNNNNNNNNNNNNNNNCCACUGUGCUGGAAAGAAACUCCUCAGCAACUUAUAGAUCCUGUGUACACUCAUGAACACAUUAGAUACUUAACCUAUAAGUCUUCAAACCACCAAAAUCACUAAAGGGGCACUAGAUGCACUUACAAUAAUACACAUAUACAUAACAUUGAGACCAAAAGAGUUAGAGUUAACAAUGAUAGCGCCAUGUUUUUAUGGCACUGCCACUUAGGUCAUAUUGGUGUAAAGCGCAUGAAGAAACUCCAUACCGAUGGACUUUUGGAGUCACUUGACUUUGAUUCACUUGACACGUGCGAACCAUGCCUCAUAUUCAGAGAGACUCCCCCUGAAGAUGUGCAUAUCUUGAGGAUUUUGUUUUCACAACAAAUGCACAUUGAUGAUUUAUAUCAUGGAGAUCUCCCCCUCAGUCUUGUAAAUCAUGCAUACAUACGACAUAUAGUAUGAAGAAAUUGAGGAUGCAUGAUGACAAAUGGUAUCUGAUGAAUUCCAGCAUGCGUGCAUUAAAAUUUUGAGGAAUAAGCAUGCGAAGAAAAACGUUCAAAAGCGUUAGAGUACCAUCGGGCUUAAGUUACAACUCAUUACAUAAACACUUCAGAAGAGCCAAGAGUUUGUAACUUAAAUAUAGUUCAUAAGUCCCAAAAUAUCCCGCGUGAAGACUAACUCUCAAGUUUCUCCCCCUUUGUCAUCAAGUGACAAAAAGGGACAAACUGAGGAGUAACGCCCGUGAAGACUUUCACUCCUUGGCGGUUGAUGAAGACGCGUGAGGAUUCUUGGGAGCAGUCUUCUUCCUUGGACCGGUGGCAGUGUCUUGUUGUUCUUCAUUAGAUUCAGCAGUGCGGCAUGAAGAAAAAGAACUGUCCUCAAGUUCUGGAACUGGAAUUGGCCUGAAUUUCUUCUUGGGUGGCCACGACCAGUCAAAGUCUUGCACAAACUCCAAUUCUUCAAGUUCUGCCAGAGUCUUCAGAUGAGAAAGUGUGGCCCAGGUGCGAUCCAAAAUCUCAUGAAGAUAAUGAUGGUUAAGCUUCACAUCAUUCUACGUUUCAUUGAGGGUUUUCACAACGGCGCCGAACUGGCGUUUGACCCACUUGUGAUUCCGAUCCACCUUCUGGUGAAGACUGAUGAGAAGCUCUCUGGUAUUCAGCACACGAGGAGCAACAGGACUUGGAGGAUGAGUCUCAGUGUCAUCCCAUGAAUAAUAUGCUUCGGGCUCUCUGAACUAGCCACCAAGGGGCCUACAGCCUUCAUCAAUGAUAGACUUGCCUUUUCCUUCAACAGGCUCGAAAGUCUUCUUGUUGACCCUGAUAGGAGGCAUAUAACCAACAUGACUGUUGAAAUCAGCGUGAUAGUUGAUGCCUGACCUUGUUCUGAUGAAUCUCAUGAUCCAUGGAGCAUAUAUCUUGUGGUCAAAAGGACACAUUGCAUUGUCGGCCAAAGUCCUCAAGAAGAAACCAUGGAUGUUGACAGGGAUACCAUGGAUGAUGUUGAAGAGGAUAUUCUUCAUGAUGCCUACGACAUCUUCAUUAUCAUCAUGGCCCUUGAUCGGCGCAAGAACGCUGCAGAGGAUUCUAUAAACUGUCCUUGGUUCAUAUUUGAGCUCAUGGAUGAGGAAGGUUGUUCUUGGUGGUUUCCCCUUAGCCAAAGGCUUCAUGAGGACUUCCAUCAUCUUGUUAGGCAGCUCACGCUCAUCACAAAGCUUCACGGCCUGCUCUGAGGGAAUUGACACCGGUAGUUCACGCAGUAGGUCAAUGGCAGGAGCCUUGUAUUAUGUUGUUUGCGUCAUCCAGUCAAACACCCAUGUGUUGAUGUCUGUGGGAUCUCCUGAUAUGUGAAGAGUUGCAUAAAAUUGAAGAAUGAGCUCACUGUUCCAAUCACAGAUAUCUGAGCACAUUGGGAGGAGUCCAGCUUCAUGAAGGACGUUGAGGACUGGAGCGAGACAUGGUAUUUCUUCAAGCUCAACAUGAGGAAUAUGCCUGUGCUGGAAAAUCUUGUUUCUUCCACAUAGCACAGAGGCAUAGUAAUUGAGUUGUGUCCUUGUCCAAAACUUCAGAUGCCUGAUGCGAGGCUUUUCAUAGGGAUUUUCUCCGAUGAAGAACAUGCGUUCUUCAAAGAAGGACUCCUUUUGAAACUUUGGCCGCUUGGAGAACGGCUGACGCUGCAUGGGCUGAAGGUUUUGCUGUUGGACCUGAGGGGAGACAACAAUUGCAGACUCUGGGUUAAGGACGACGAAGGCAUUGUCUGGAUCUGGUGCAUUUUCCUCAGCAUGGUCCUCAGGGUGAGGAAUUUCAUCAGCUUGAGCUUCAGGCUGAGGAGCAUUCUCUUGUUGCGCUUCAGGCUGAGGAAUAUGGUAUGGUUGCGCUUUAGGCUGAGGAAUGGGGUCUGGUUGAGCUUCAGGCUGAGGAAUGUCGUCAACUGGAGCAUCCUGUUGAGGGUUUUGCUCCGGAGGAGGAAUGGGUUCAUCCUGAGCCUCAGCUUGAGGAUCUUGCUCAGGAGGAGGAGUUGGGUCAGCCUGAUCCUGAGGUUGAGGAUUUUGCUCAGGACUAUGACUUUCAUCAGCAUGAGGAUUUUCACUUUGUUCUUCCUCAGCUUGCUUGGUGAUGGAGCCAGAUUCAUCAGCUGGUGCACCUGAUCCUUGUGCAGUUUCUUCAUGAGGAACGGAAGGCUGAGGACUGUCGUCAAUGUGAAUCUCCUCGUCAGUAUGUUCCUCAGAUUCAGCAUCCUUCAUUUCCUCAUCUGGCCCUUACUCCUGAUCUUCGCUUGCGAAGGUAACCAUUUGGUAAGAAGGAGCGCUGUUAAGAGGCACAUGAUCCAGUGGAGCAUUUUCUUCAAGUGCUUUGAGGCGCUUGGCCUCAGUGUAUUGUUCUGCUGAAGAGGUUUUUCUCUUCUUGGCUUCCUUUUCAGCAGCCCUUGUCUUUUUCACGUCUGAUGCAGACGAAGUCAUCUUCUUCACCUUUGAAGCUUUUGGUGAAGGUGUUUUCUCAGCAGAGACAUUUUCAUCAGCUGGCUUUGAGGAACUAGCUGGAGCAGAGUCAUCAGCUCGCUUUGAAGCAGCAGCUUGGACAGAUUCAUCAGCUGGCUUUGAAGCAGCAGCUGGAGCAGAGUCAGUCUCACCAGCUGUAGAAGAUUCAUCAGCUGGAUUUUCCGUGGUGAUUUCCUCAAUUGCCGGUUCAUCCACACGGCUUCCUUGAGGGAUUUCCUCAGCAUGAGCAGUUUCAUCAGCUGGUUCUUCAAUCAGAGGCUGAGGAGUUGGUACUGGAGGGGCAGCUUUCUUGUUGUAGUUGUUAAGAGCGUCAGUAGCCAGUUUGAUGAAAGUGCUUUUGAGACUUUGACGGUCAGAAAGCUUGGAGUACUUAUCUGUCAAAGUCUUCAGCUCUACCUGUGUUGACACAAGGUCAUCAGGCGUCAGGUUGAGGAGAUUCUGUCUGAGUUUCUCCUUCUUGAGCUUAGCAACCUUGGCUUGUUUGGCUUGCUGCUCCUUCCACUUGGCCUCGUUGAUGAAUGUGGCCACCAUGUGGCUGAUGCCUGGGGGAAGUUUCAAAUCAUCAAGUGGAGUGUUGGGGUCCUCAUACCAGAUAUUGAUAUAGUCGAGGAGGACUUUUGGGUCCAUGGCCAGAGGAAUGGAGCUGCCAGAAGCUUGAGAUACCCUCUCUUGCUUGUUUCUGAUCAUUGCUUGCAGAGUGUCAUCAUCAAAUUCAUCACUACCUUCUGAUGCAGAAGGGACCGUGAUGAUUUUUCUUGGGCUGGGUCUUGUUCCUCUCCCAGCAGUCACCUUAGUCUUCAGAGGAGUUGGUGAAGACUUUGUCUCCGAGCUUGUUGCAGAUGGGAGUGAGGAGCUGGAGGCAGCGGGCAGUGGCUUCACUACCGGCUUCUGUUCAGGCUUUGAAGCUUGUGGUGGUGCUGAGGAUUUUGGUGCUGAGGGUUUUGGCGCUGAUGGUUUUGGUGCUGAUGCUGGAGCUGUUUUCUCUUGAGGCUUUGAAGCCUUUGGUUUUGGUGGCACCGACUUUUGUUGAGGAAUUGCUGUACCAGAAGUCUCAGGAGCAGAGGAAGUAGCGGCAGUUGAAGUAGCAACAGAUGAUUCGUUGAACUUCCUCACAGCAGCCUCUGCCUGCUUCUUGAGCUUUGACAAGUGUUUUGCCUUUUUAUCAGGAUAAUCAUCAAGUGUUUUGAGGCUUGAGGGAUCUGCUGCUUGAUAAUCCUCAAGUGGAGCCCGUUUGCCAGGAGGCUUCAGAGCAAAUUUCUUCGCAUAUUUGGGAGUGACGAAUCUGUAGUCCUUCCACUCCUUAGCCCAGCGGCGUUCUAUCUUCUGAAACCGAAUCUUUCUCUUGGGCAUAGUUUCAUUUUCAUCAGGAGUGCAGUAAUCCAGGUAUAUAUCCUCAGGGAUAUCUGCGGCAGUAUUCUGUACAAGUUUCUUGCCUCCCUUUUGCUUCCUGUCAUCCUCCAUUUUCUUCAGCUGAGGAUUUUGCUGAUGAGAUUGAACUCUUGAGGAUUCUGAUGAGACUUGAAGAUUUUCUUCAAGAAACGCUGCAAAUGAGUUAAUUUGAUGAGAACCGAGAGAUUCAUCAGCUGACAUGUGUGUACCUGUGAAUAGAGUAUAGUUGCGAGGAAUUUGGAGAGGUCAUAUGCGUUCUCAGAUUUGAGGAAAAUGAAAAGAAAUUGACAGUUGAGGAAUUUGACCAGUGGUUGAGGAAUUUGUCUAAGCAUAUUGUUCUUGGGUUCCAGAGUUGUACAGAUCUGAAAAUUUGCACAACUGAGAAAUCUCGUGACAAUCUUAGAUGCUUAGUGAAGUUCAUCAAUAGUUUGGUGAUAGGCAGUGUCCGAGGAAAAGAAACAGAUGGAUUCUUGAGGAAAAACAGAUUUCACAUCUCACAAGUAAAAUAGUAGAUCAAACUUCCGAUAAAAAUAGGGUUUUUAUUUACCCUAUAUGGCGCGCACGAAGAACAGAGAAGAGUAGCACGAGAAGCUCUUUCGGUGCGUGUCCAAUGCGCCCUAACUCGGCAGCAGAGGACGUCUACGGCGGCGGCGGACGAGGAUGGUCCGACUCCGGCGUGGUUUCGGCGACGGAAAAGUCGAGGCAGUGAAGCUCUUCUUGGUCGGCGUCGAGACUUCCAGCGGUGGCGCUAGGGUUCGGAGCUUUGCUGUAGCAGGAGGGCGAUGGAACGAAGAAGAUUUUACCGAGGGAGAUGGGGACAUAUUUAUAGCCAUUUGGUAACUGUUGGCGCGAAAAUAUCGUACCAAAUAGCCCCUGCCUCUACGACUCGGCAGGACACGUGUAGCUCACGAGAGAAGUGGUGGAGAUCGUGGAGAUCGUGGUUAUCCGAACAAGGAAAGUGGGGUUUAGUUACUGUGCAUCAGAAAAGACAUUUUUAAAGAUUUGAUGAUUUUGUUACAAAAUCAUCAGCUGACAAGGACGUAGUGAGGAUUUUGAACAAAGUUUCAAGUAGAACGCAUAUGAAGAAUUGAAUAGACUGGAUGAGAAUAGCAUAGAGGGAAAGUAGGGUCUGAUCACAUUCACUUAGAUGACAAAUCAAAUUGAAGAAAUAUCUAUAAGUGAAUGUUGUUGAGGACUUGAAAUCACAGUCUAUCUAGGUAAACAAAAAUCAUCAAGUGUUUUCGAAGAUUUGAAUAACUUGAGGAUUUUGCGAUAAAUCGUCACUACGAUGAAUUUUAGUUUUGAGGAAAAACGAUUUUGAAGAACAACUGUUUUGAAGAAAAUCAAAAUUUGAAGAAUUGAAUCUNNNNNNNNNNNNNNNNNNNNNNNNNNNNNNNNNNNNNNNNNNNNNNNNNNNNNNNNNNNNNNNNNNNNNNCAAAAUUUGAAGAAUUGAAUCUUUGAAGAAAUUCAGCUUGAGGAAUUUCACAUUGGGCGGUGGCGUGACCCACCGUAUAAGAAUGUUGAUUACAGACGCCGCGUACAAUUGUCGUAGGACCCUGAGAAUCAAUUUCUUCGUUGAUUUCUUCACACUCAGAGUGAUAUUCUUCAUUAGUUGAAAAAAAUCGAUUCAUCGUGUGUUGCACAUCUAAGUCAUCAAUUUUGCAUAAGUGUUAGGAUGUGUGCAUGUUUUUACAAAACUUUUGAAGAUUCUAAGAUAUUUAGCUCACACCGCAACUUGCAAAACCUUUUCUCAUCCAAGGGCUUAGUGAAUAUAUCUACCAGUUGAUCAUCAGUCUUCACAUGGUCGAUGAGGAUAUUGCCCUUGAGAACAUGAUCCUGAAGAAAAUGAUGACGAAUCUGGAUGUGCUUGGUCUUCGAGUGCUGCACUAGAUUGUAUGCAAUCUUGAUUGCACUCUCAUUGUCGCAGUAGAGAGGCACAUUCUUCAUGUUGAUGCCGUAGUCCUUGAGGGUUUGCUUCAUCCAUAGCAAUUGAGCACGGCAUGAGCCAUCAGAAUUGUACUCAGCUUCGGCAGUGGAGAGUGAUACGUACUUCUGCUUCUUUGAGGACCAGCAAACUAGUGAUCUUCCGAGGAAAUGUCAUGUGCCAGAGGUUGACUUGCGAUCCACACGGUCACCAGCAUAGUCAGAAUCAGAAUACCCUACCAGAUGAAUAUUUGAGCCCUUGGGGUACCAUAAUCCUAGUGUUGGUGUGUGAGCUAAGUAUCGAAGAAUAUGCUUCACAGCCUUAUGGUGUGAUUCCUUCGGUUUUGCUUGAAAACAUGCACACAUGCAAACACUAAGCAUUAUAUCUGGCCUAGAUGCACAUAAAUACAAUAAAGAGCCAAUCAUAGAGCGAUAUACCUGCUGAUCGAAUUCUUUACCAUUUUCGUCAGUGUAGAGGUGGUCGUUGGUAGGCAUUGGAGUCUUGGAACCUUUGCAUUCAUGCAUGUCGAAUUUCCUCAGAACAUCCUUGAGGUAUUUCUCCUAUGAUAUGAAGAUUCCAUUGCGUUGUUGACGAAUUUGAAGACUUAAGAAGAAUUUCAGCUCCCCCAUCAUAGACAUCUGAUAUUCUUCACUCAUCAUGUAAGCAAAUUCAUCACUGUAUCGUUUGUCAGUACAACCAAAUAUAAUGUCAUCCACAUAUAUCUGGCACACAAAUAGCUCAUUAUCAUAGGAUUUAGUGAAAAGAGUUGGAUCGAGUGAACCAGGUUUGAAGCCUUUCUUCAUGAGGAAUUCCUUCAAUGUAUCAUACCAUGCCCGAGGGGCUUGCUUGAGACCAUAGAGCGCCUUUUUGAGUCUGAAGGCUUUGUGUGGAUUCUUUGGAUCCUCAAAACCUGGGGGCUAAGCAACAUAUACUUCUUCCUCAAGCUUACCAUUGAGGAAUGCACUUUUCACAUCCAUUUGAUAUAAGAUGAUGUUAUGAUGAUUAACAUAAGAAAGUAGUAUUCGAAUAGCUUCAAGUCUAGAAACAGGUGCAAAAGUUUCAUCGAAAUCUAUUCCUUCAUCCUGGGUGUAGCCUUGGGCUACAAGUCGUGCCUUAUUCCUCACCACUUGACCAUCCUCAUCUUGCUUGUUUCGGAUAAUCCACUUGGUUCCGAUGAUAUUGUGCUUGCGAGGAUCUGGUCGUUUGACUAGCUCCCAUACGUCAUUCAGCUUGAAUUGAAGAAGUUCGUCUUGCAUCACUUGGAUCCACUCCGGUUCCAGGAAAGCCUCAGCAACUUUUGAGGGUUCUGUGAUAGAUAAAAAGGAGAAAUGCCCAAAAAAGUUAACUAAGUGUGAAGCUUUUGAGAGAGUGAGAGGACCUAGCAUGUUGAUGUCAUUGAGGAUUUUGUCAAGUUCCACUUCAUUUGCAAUCCUCGGAUGAGCUGGUUGAGGAUUUCGUCCGGGCUGAGGAAUUGGUUCUGGAGCAAUUUCCUCAGGAGCACCUUCUUGAUUUUCAUCAGUGAUGGGGAUGAUUUCUUCAUCAAUUUCCUCAAUGGGAACAAUGUCUUCAGUAGGUUUUAGCUUUAUUGCUUCGUCAGGAGACAGCUUAUCUAGAUCAGAAGGCAAUUGCUCUCUUUGCGAGCCAUUAGUUUCAUCGAACCGCACAUCUAAAGUCUCAACAACUUUGUUGUGACAGUUGUUGAAGACUCUGUAGGUGUGCGAGUCCUUUCCAUAACUGAGCAUAAAACCCUCAUGUGCCAUAGGUGCAAAUUUUGAGCUAUGGUGAGGAUCUCUAAUCCAACAUUUUGCACCGAAGACUUUGAAAUAACUUACAUUGGGUUUCUUGUCAGUGAGGAGUUCAUAUGAGGUUUUCUUUAGGAAUUUGUGAAGUUAUACCCUGUUGAUGAUAUGGCAUGCAAUGUUGAUUGCUUCAAGCCAAAAGCGACGAGGAGUCUGAUAUUCUUCAAGCAUGGUUCUUGCCAUCUCAACCAGAGUCAUGUUCUUCCUUUCGAUGACACCAUUCUGUUGAGCAGUAUAAGGAGCAGAUAAUUCGUGAGUAAUACCAAGUUCAUCAAGAUAAUCAUCAAGACCAGUGUUUUUGAACUCUGUUCCAUUAUCACUCCUGAUAUGUUUGAUCUUGAUGCCGAAGUUCGUCGAGGCCUUGAAGAAAAUCGUUUGAAGAUUUCCCGCACUUCAGUUUUAUAUAAGAUGAUAUGCACCCAUGUAUAUCUGGAAUAAUCAUCAACUAUGACGAAGCCAUAAAAAGAUGCUGCAUUUUUUAGUGUGGCAUAGUGAGUAGGUCCAAAUAGAUCCAUGUGAAGCAAUUCGAAUGGACGAGUAGUGGUCAUGAUAGUUUUCGAGGGAUGCUUGAAUCUGGUCAUUUUCCCAGAUUCACAUGCACAGCAGAGAUGAUCCUUGAGGAAUUUGACUGAUUCGAUGCUGAUGACAUGCUUCUUCUUCGCGAGCGUGUGCAAAUUCCUCAUGCCUGCAUGACCGAGUCUUCGAUGCCACAGCCACCCUUCUGAGGUUUUUGCUAGUAAGAAAGUGGUUGGUUGAGGACCUGUAGAGAAAUCAACAAUGUACAAAUCCCCUCUUUUGACACCUUCGAAGACUUUGGAUUUGUCAGAUUCCAUGAUCACAACACAUCUAUAUCUACCAAAGAUAACAAUCAUAUCAAGAUCACAAAGCAUUGAGACCGACAUGAGGUUAAAUCCAAGGGGUUCAACAAGCAUCACUUUGUCCAUAUGCCUAUCCUUGGAAAUAGCCACUUUGCCAAGUCCCAAUACCUUGCUUUUACCUUUGUCAGCAUAUGUGAUUUGCUUCAGAGGUGAUGGAAUUAGUGGCAUAUUCAUCAGCAAGCUUUUAUCACCAGUCAUGUGAUGUGUGCAGCCACUAUCAAGAACCCACUCAGUACUCUUGGGUUUGUCAUCCUGUAGAUGAAUUAGUACAUCUUACCAUCUCAUAUGCUUCAGAUUUGAAUAAUAUGAUAUCAAUUUCAUCAGAUAGGAAUUUCAUCAUAACAUAAUUAUAAGGAUGUGUGAAAUAUUUCUAUUUCAUCAAUAUUAGCUUGCAUCCUAUCAAGCAUUUCCUCAGGUCUCCAGCAAAUUCUUUAGAUGAUGAUUUUCAUCUGGAGACCUGACCUGCAGAAGUGAUUAGUUCAAUUUCUUCACCACUCAUAUCUAAAGGGGUGGUAAAGCAUUCAUCAUCCUGCGAGCACCAUAUGAGAAAGGGGGCAUUGAAGCUAAUGCACUUCUCUUAGCAGUAGGGGGGUUAAAGUACUCAUAUGAAUAUGCAGAGAACUGGUUUGAGGAUUUAUAAACAUAAUGACUUGUAGAGUAACGCUCAUAUUCAUAUUCCUUGUAGUUUCCCUGCAUGUUAGAAGCAUUAGCACGGGUACGAGCAUAAUUUUGACCAUUUGAGGAUUUUGGUCCUCUUGAAGACUUUAGUCCUCCUAAGGAAUUUGAUCUCGGGUUCAAAUUCUUCAUCGGUGAUGUCAUGAGGACAUUCACCUAAAGAUUUUCAAGACAACUUUUGGAAACCCAGAUUUUCCUCAAGGGAGGGCCAUUCCUGUAGUUAGUUCCAACAUAUCGAGAAAAUACUUCACCAGAUUGAUUUUUGAAUAGAUUAUAGUUGGAGUCAAAUGACUCAUCUGAGGAAUAGGAUAAUUCACAUGAAAAGCCAGUUAGAUUGGAUGGAUCAAAAGGAGGCCCAGUAGAAGCAACCCAUGAGGUUUUGGGAUACUGCUCAGGUUUCCAAUAAGAUCCAUCAGCAUUCAAUUUCCUCUCAAAGGCAAUUCCUUCUUUCCUCGGGUUCCUGUUCAAGAUCUGCUUUUUGAGCACAUCACAAAAGGUUUGAUGUCCUUUGAGGCUUUUGUAUAUGCCUGUCACAUACAAUUUCUUCAGCCCUGCAUUUUCAUCAGCGACAUUUGUGUUUUCCUCAAGUGAGGAAUUUGACACUACAGGAGCAGUUGAAGAAUUUGUAGCAAUUGAAGCAUUUGAUGAUUCUGGUGAAGAAUUAGCAGUUUCACGUUCAAUGCAUUUAAGACAUGGAGGAAUGAAUUCAGCUUGAGCAGCGCUGUUCUGUUGAGCUAGUAAUGAAUCAUUUUCCAUUCGAAGAUCAUCAUGAGAAAUCCUCAACUUCUCUAGAUCAAGCUUCCUUUGAAGAAAUUCAUAGGAAAGUUUCUCAUGAUCAGCGAGGAGUGUAACAUGAUGAUCUUAAAGAUUAUCAAAUUUAGACUGAAGACUUUUCAUGUCAUGAGUGAGGAUUUGGGUAAGAUUCAUUUCAUCAUUUAACAGAUCAUCGCUUCUAUCUAGCAGUUUCUGAAGUUUUCCAGGGCAGUUCGUUGUUUGGUGGCAAUGAUAGCAAGUUUACUGUAACUGGGUUUUUUUUAUAAUCAUCAGGUUUAUAGUCACUUGAAUCAGAGGAGGAAGCAUCAUUCGGUACCUUUGAACCUUUUGCCAUGAAGCAAUACGUUGGAGCGAAGUCAUCAACAUAGUCAUCAGUGUGGAUGGUGUUACCAUCUUCUUCAAGGUUGAAGAUUGACUUGCUGACGAAAGUGGUUGCAAGUGCAAGACUAGCCUGUCCGGAUUCUGAGUCUUCAUCAGAACCUUCCUCUUCAUCACAUUCCUCCGAUUCUGCCUCGGAAUCCAUUUCCUUGCCAAUAAGUGCCCGAGCCUUUCUGAAACUGGUCUUCUUGUGCGAUGAGGACUUUGAAGAUGAGGAUUUUGAAGAUUUCUUUUUCUUCUUCGAGUCAUCAGAAUUGUCAUCCUUGUAUUUCUUCUUCUUUGAUUCCUUUUCCCAACGGGGACAAUCAGCAAUGUAGUGACCUAAUUUCUUGCAUUUGUGGCAGGGUCUUUUCUUUCUUUUCUUGUAGUCCUCAGAUGAAGAUUCUGAUUUCCUCAUAUCUCUUCUUGAAGAUUUACCGAACUGACCACGUCGUGUAAACCUGUGGAAUUUCCUCACGAGCAUUGCAAGCUCCUGUCCAAAUUCUUCAGGAUCACUAAUGCUAUCAUCCGAGUCUUCUUCUUCAGAUGAGGAAAUUGCUCUAGCCUUCAGUGCGCGUGGUCUAGAGUAGCUUGGUCCAUAUAGAUCUCUCUUUUCUUCUUGCUGGAAUUCAUGAGUAUUGAGUCUUUCGAGUAUAUUAGCUGGAUCAAGCAUCUUGUAGUCUGUUCUUUCUUGAAUCAUCAAAACUAAAGUAUCAAAUGAAGAAUCCAAAGAUCUUAGCAGUUUCUUCACAACUUCGUGAUCAGUAAUGUCUCGAGCUCCCAGUGCUUGCAGUUCAUUUAAUAUGACAGUGAGGCGAUCAAAGGUAUCUUGGCAGCUUUCAUUGUCAAACCUCUUGAAGUGAUUGAAGAGAUUGCGAAGAACAUCAACACGAGAAUCACGUUGGGUUGAUACUCCUUCAUUUACUUUGGACAGUAUUUCGCAGAUAAGUUUCGCUGANNNNNNNNNNNNNNNNNNNNNNNNNNNNNNNNNNNNNNNNNNNNNNNNNNNNNNNNNNNNNNNNNNNNNNNNNNUUUCGCAGAUAAGUUUCGCUGAGCCCAAAGCACUCACUCUGCCAAACUGGCCUGGGCUCAGAUGGCCAUAGAUGAUAUUCUUCGCUUGAGAAUCAAGUUGCUUGAAUUUCUUCACAUCAGCAGCAGAGAUACUAGCAGAGAUGAUGGGGACGCCAUGUUCCACAAUAUACCAGAGAUCAUUGUCAAUAGCUUAUAGAUGCAUCUGCAUCUUGGUCUUCCAGAAGGGAAAGUUCUUUUCUUCGAAAGUAGGACAUGCUGCAGUAACCUUAAUCAUGCUUGCAGUCGACAUAACUAAAACUCCAGGUGGUUAAACCAAAAUCACACAGAACAAGGGAGUACCUUGAUCUGAUACCAAUUGAAAGUGUGUCAUAUCGACUAGAGGGGGGGGGGGGGUGANNNNNNNNNNNNNNNNNNNNNNNNNNNNNNNNNNNNNNNNNNNNNNNNNNNNNNNNNNNNNNNNNNNNNNNNNNNNNNNNNNNNNNNNNNNUGGAGUAUGGAGAGGGGGGGGGGGGGGGGGGUGAAUAGGAGAUUUUAGAAUUUCAUCACUAAGGAAAUUCCUUUUGAGGAAAUUCGUCACUGAUGACUAACUUACAUCGGAAACAGUAAAGGAUCACGAGUGCAAAGUUUCACAACAGCAGUUUUUCAGGAUGAAGAAUGUGAAAACAGAUUGCACAGUAAGCAGGUACGCAGAAAACAAAUGAAGAUUAACUUGCGUGAAGAAUUUGGGGUUGAGGAAUUUCAGAGAAAGUCUUCAGCAAAUUCUUCAAACAGUGACAGUGAAAAUCAUCAACACAUAAUCUGAGGAAUAUAAAGAGUUGAGGAAUUAGAACCCGUUUCACAACGAAGACAAUAGUUGAUGACCCAGUUCCAACUACUGUGACAGUUGUACAUCUGGUUUGGAGUGGCUUGGUAUUGAAACCAAAAGACACACAGUCCCUACCGUAUUCUCCUUGGGCUAAGAACACACCGUCCUCGCCCAACACUCGUGGUAAGUCUUCAGGGCAGACUUCCAAACCCUCACAAACUUGGUCACCCGGCGAUCCACAAUUGACUGCUGGAUUGCUCUAUACCAUGACGCCUAACCGUCUAGAGGAUGCACAGUCCUCAAAGGUAAAAGUCUUCAGUCCCACACAGGAACAACUUCUUCAGUGAUGCUCAAUCAAUUGGUUUUCAGUUUGUGGUUUGGUGUUUGGAGUAUUUCCUCACUGAUGAAUUACUCUCUAAGACUCUGAGGAAUUUGGGUUGCUCUUAUGACAAGUGUCAGUUUCUAACGGAGCAGCCAACCAACUAAUGGUUGUGGGGGCGGCUAUUUAUAGCCUGGGAGCAUCCCAACAUGAUUUGACAUUAAUGCCCUUAACUAAUAUGACCUUGGUGUGGAUAAGACCAAUGAUGUGGCGUGGCUAUCGAAACGGUCGGGACCCUCAACUGUGAGAGCCCUCAUGUCACUCAUAUUCCUCACUUGAGGCUUUUGGUAGGAUUAGGCUUGGGUUGAGCAUCAUGAGGAAAUUCAUUCCAAUGUGUUACCUCGACCUCCUUUAACAGUACGGUGUUCCUAUUACUCAAAUGUGAAGAAAACAAAACAGAAAGAGUAAAUCUUCAUGCUUCAAAGUCUUCAGAAUGAUUUUCUUCAGGACACAUCGAAUUCCUCAAUUUCAAUAUCUUCAUGAGGAAUAUCAAUUUCAUCUNNNNNNNNNNNNNNNNNNNNNNNNNNNNNNNNNNNNNNNNNNNNNNNNNNNNNNNNNNNNNNNNNNNNNNNNNNNNNNNNNNNNNNNNNNNNNNNNNNNNUAAUGACGUGAUCCAGUUAUCAAGCAACAACACCUUGUACAUAAUCAGAAGACCCUGACUAUCCUUGAUUAACUGGCUAGCCAACUAGAGGCUUGCUAGGGACAGUGUUUUGUCUAUGGAUCCACACAUGUAUAUAAGUCUUCAUUCAAUACAAUUAUAGCAUGGAUAAUAAACGAUUAUCUUGAUACAGGAAUUAUAAUAAUAACUAUAUUUAUUAUUGCCUCUAGGGCAUAAUUCCAAUAGAUCCACCAUCGCACACAGUUUGUGUCGUUGGUAACAGAGCUUGAACUAUACUGUUUGCGAUUGGUGUAUCGCACAGAGUUUCGUCGAAGGGUCUCUGAUUGAUGUGUCAUCUUUGGACCAUCAUGUAGUAGUGAGUGUUUGCUCUUUUUUGCAUAGGCGCUGAAGAUGGGGGUUGGGUGAUACUCCUAUUGGUUCGAUAACCUUGGUUCUCAAUGAGAGAAAUAAUUGUCUAUAUUGUGUUGCAUCAUCCCCUCCUCUUCGAGAAAAAAGCGCAAUGCAUAUCACAAGUAUCACGCACCCCCGACCUAAACAACACUAGGAUUUCAAUGAGGAAUAAGAAUGCCCACAUAUCAUUACUAUGCCAUAACCAAUAUUUAGAUGAACAACAAAUUAUCACCCUUUAACUAACGAUAUUUUUACUAACCAACAAUCAUGCACUCACGCCUUUUCAUAUUACCACAUCAAUAUCAUUAACUCACAUUUUUUAUGUGCUACAUGAAGGUUUUGAUUAUGCACUCUUUGAAUACCAAUUGUUUUUGGACUAGUAUUAUAAGCCAUGAAAAUUACCGUCACUGUUUAUUAACUCUCUGUUAGAGCAUAUUUCUCCAUAUGUGGUUUUGUAAUUGAUGACAAUCCCUAUGGACUAAUGGUUGCCUUAAGUUAUAUUUGAAGGAUUUGUCCAUAGGCACUUCUUGAAGUCCAUCUAUUGGUUUCAAGGAGUUUAUAUGAUGACCAAGGUGGUAUUCAAGGUAUUAUCCAAAGAAUGGUCAUAAAGACACAAGCUUGAUCAAGACUAAGACAAAGAGUAAAUCAAGAUGAUCAAUAUACAAAGCGUACAAGAUGUACCGAGAGGGAUCAAGUGAUCCCAUGGUAUGGUAAGCAUUGUCCAUAGCGCUUUUGUGUACUAACUCAUGGUCUUCAUGAGAGUUCUAUGUGGGGUUAGGUGUGUUUCCAUGGGUUUGCGUAAAGAGGAAGAUCUCAUUCAACCUAUGAAGGAUGACAUCAAGUGGUGGUCGUCGUCAAGAUUGCGGUGUGCAAGUUCAAGCGGAGCAUCAUGAAGAUAUCAGGCUUGAAGCUUAUCGUCCAUUGUGGUGGCAAUGAACUUGUGAAGAUGUGUUGAAGAGUGGCUCACCCAUAGUUAGUAUGGGGGAGCAAACAACUAGUCUUCAUCAAACCAACACAAUCAAGAAAGGUAGUCCAUCUUGAGGAAGUCAAGAUCAUCAUCAUCUAGCUCAAGAGGACUAGGUGCAAGGUAUAGGUUUGACCUUGAUAGGCUUUUCUAUUUUAGGAUAGAUUGUCGUACUGUCAAGGGGGGCUGAUACGUCUCCGUCGUAUCUACUUUUCCGAACUUUUUUGCCCUUGUUUUGGACCCUAACUUGCAUGAUUUGAAUGGAACUAACCCGGACUAACGUUGUUUUCAGCAGAAUUGCCAUGGUGUUGUUUUUGUGCAAAAAUAAAAGUUCUCGGGAUAUCCUGAAAAUUUACGGAGAUUUUUCCUGGAAUAAAAGAAAAAUACUUGCGCAAAGAUCUACCAGAGGAGGUGGACCAGUGGGCCACAAGCCCACAGGCCGCGGCCACCCCCCCGGCCGCGUCGUGAGGGCUUGUGGGCCCCACGUGGCUCCACCGCCCCCAAACUCAGCUCUAUAUCUUCCGUCUCGCCCAGAGAAAAAAAUCAGAGAGAAGGUUUCAUCGCGUUUUGCGAUACGGAGGCGCCGCCACAUCAUGUUCUUCAUCUGGAGGGCAGAUCUGGAGUCCGUUUCGGGCUCCGUAGAGGGGAAAUCGUCGCCAUCGUCAUCAUCAACCUUUCUCCAUCGACAAUUCCAUGAUGCUCUUCAUCGUUCGUGAGUAAUCUCAUCGUAGGCUUGCUGGACGGUGAUGAGUUGGAUGAGAUCUAUCAUGUAAUCGAGUUAGUUCUUGACGGGGAUUGAUCCCUAGUAUCCACUAUGUUCUAGAUUGAUGUUGCUACUACUUGGCUAUGCUUAAUGCUUGUCACUAGGGCCCGAGUGCCAUGAUUUCAGAUCUGAACCUAUUAUGUUGUCGCCAAUAUAUGUGUGUUUUAGAUCCUAUCUUGCAAGUUGUAGUCACCUACUAUGUAUUAUGACCUGGCAACCCCGGAGUGACAAUAGCCGGAAACACUCCCGGAGAUGACCAUAGUAUGAGGAGUUCAUGUAUUCAUCGUGUGUUAAUGCGUUGGUACGGUUCUUUAUUAAAAGGAGAACCUUAAUAUCCCGUAGUUUCCAUUAGGACCCCGCUGCCNNNNNNNNNNCAUCUUGCAAGUUGUAGUCACCUACUAUGUGUUAUGACCCAGCAACCCCGGAGUGAUAAUAGCCGGAACCACUCCCGGAUAUGACCAUAGUAUGAGGAGUUCAUGUAUUCACCGCGUGUUAAUGCAUUGGUCCGGUUCUUUAUGAAAAGGAGAACCUUAAUAUCCCGUAGUUUCCAUUAGGACCCCGCUGCCACGGGAGGGAUGGGCAAUACAUGUCAUGCAAGUUCUUUUCCCUAAGCACGUAUGACUACAUACGGAAUACAUGCCUACAUUAGAUUAACGAAUGGGAGCUAGUUACUUAUCUCUCCAUGUUAUAGCUGUUACAUGAUGAAUCACAUCCAUCACACUCAUCCAUCACUGAUCCACUGCCUACGAGUCUUGUACUACUGGUCCUUGCUACGUUACUUUGUCUAGGCUUGUCCCUUGCUANNNNNNNNNNNNNNNNNNNNNNNNNNNNNNNNNNNNNNNNNNNNNNNNNNNNNNNNNNNNNNNNNNNNNNNNNNNNNNNNNNNNNNNNNNNNNNNNNNNNAUUCAUACCGUGCGGUGACCUUUCCUAGUGACAGAAGGGGCAGCAAGGCACGCAUCGUGUUGUUGCCAUCAAAGGUAACAAGAUGGGCUUUCAUCAUAGAUUUGAGAUUGUCCAUCUACAUCAUGUCAUCUUUCUUAAGGCGUUACUCUGUUCUUAUGAACUCAAUACACUAGAUGCAUGCUGGAUAGCGGUCGACGUGUGGAGUAAUAGUAGUAGAUGCAUAAAGUAUCGGUCUACUUGUUUUGGACAUGAUGCCUAUAUGUAUGAUCAUUGCCAUAGAUAACUUCAUGACUUUGCGUGGCUCUAUCAAUUGCUCGACAGUAAGUCGUUCACCCACCGUCUACUUGCUUUCAUGAGAGAAGCCACUAGUGAACACUACGGCCCCCGGGUCUAUUCACAACUAUCAUCUCCGCUUUUACUUUUACUUCGCUUUGUUUACUUUUUGCUUUCAGUUCUCACUUUGCAAACAAUCUAUAAGGGAUUGACAACCCCUUCAUAGCGUUGGGUGCAAGCUCUUUGUGUUUGUGCAGGUACUUGUGACUUGACGCGAUCCUCCCACUGGAUCGAUACCUUGGCUCUCAAACUGAGGGAAAUACUUACCGCCGCUGUGCUACAUCACCCUUUCCUCUUCAAGGGAACACCAACGCAAGGCUCCAAGGCCGCGGGGAAAUCCUUUGCAUAUUUGCCAAGGAAGUCCCUAUAGGCGUAGCCCGUAGCAGCAGAAUUCCUAGCGCCAUUGCGAGGGAAGGUCUGUUGUCGCAGUAGCACAUACAGAUAACUCAGAUGAAUUAUGUGCGAUGAGCGAAAAUAACACAAACAAAUAACAUUAUUGCAUAACCAAAUUAAACAUGAAAUACAUAAAUGACUACACACAUAACAUUGGAACACCUCAAUAAACAAUUACACACAUAAAAACAUGAUUACAUAACCUAAUUAAGCAUCCAAAUACAUAAGUGACUACACACAUAACAUUGGCGCCCACCUCAAUAAACUAUUACAUGCAUAAUAAACUAUAAGAAACGAUCAUCAAAUCAUCUUCUUAUUGCGACGCUUGCCGCCAUCACUGUGCUUGCGGCUUGAUCCCUCAUCGUCUUCAGGUAGGAGGCACUUCAUCAUGUCAAAAAUCUGCGUGAACAUCACGUAGCAUGCGUAUGCUUCCUUGGUCGUGGUCUAGAUGUGAUAUUCAUCUGGUCUCUCACCCACGCCUUGUGCCAGACAAGCUUAUUUUUGUCGCACUCGGUCUUCAUGUCUCUGUAGUAGGGGUCAAUGAUGGCCACGACGAGGUCAACAUGGGAAUCCUUGUCCUUCUUGCUUCCCCAGACCUUGUAGUGGUCGUGGAUGUCGACAAGCUUCUAGCAUGCCUAGCCUGAAGUCUUGAGCACCUUUGGAUCGUUGGUGGUGUCCACCGUAGCAAGCCUGUAGUCGUGGUUGUUGACAAACCUCGUGAAACACUCGCAAGGCUUUGUGGCCAGGCAGUAGUGAUAAAGGAGGGCGUGAUGGCGCACGCACAACUGGGCAAGACAACCUUCUCAUCAUGCCCGGCACGACCACCGGUGUACGCGAGGUCGAAGCUGACCACUUUGUACUUGUCAUCUGCAGCAAGCAAUAGCUGCAUGGUGUUGAUGGAGUUCUCCACCACGGCCGGGUCGACGGUGUACACCAUCGUGAGGUCCGUCUUACUCAAGUGGGUGUCCACAUGAUGCACGCCGAACUCCAUUAGAGUGCCGCUUAUUGUGUCGUCGAGGGUGUGCUUAUUGUGUUGUGGGGUGCGAUCGAAAGCAUGAAGAGACUAUGCUUAGUGGCCGCAUGUAUAAAUGAGAGCGAGACGUCCUGGAAAACCGACAUGUCUGGAUGGCAGUUUUUGCAGCGCGUGAUUUACUCAUGGAGCACGUAACUGCAUGGGGCGACACAUGUGGCGCAACCGCAUGCAUAUGGAGCUCCGAACAUGAUUGAGGGCAGGCCCCAACCGUUGGCAGAGCAUGCACAGAGGGGCACGAGAGCAGAGCACGCAGAGGGAUGCGAGAGUAGAGCGCCACAAGGAACAUAAGGUCGAACCAAACCAUUUUGUAAUGUCCUUGUCAAGCAAUACGUCCAUAACAUAGGAGUUCUCCACCCAGAUCGGAUGGUUGGUGUACACCACCGAGAGCUCGGUACGUGAACCUUCUGUGCGUAUCCACUACGACAUGCAUGGUGAUCUCGCACUCGUCGUCGUCAGCCACUCGGAGGGCCAUUGGAGCCCUGCAAGAUACCCUCGAUCGUGGUUGUGCUUCUUAAGGUCGAGAUAUUAACCAUCAAUUGCAUAUUAAGGUCCAAAUACUAAUCGUACAUUGCACGCUUAGGAAAAUUGUACUACCAAAAUACGAGUCUCAUACGAUGUCAUUUGAAUGAUUGUAUCAUAAAUGACAAAAGUAGUACAAAAAUUCAAAUUCUAGAAUUACAAGGCUCAAACUCGAAGAUUACAAGGUUCAAACCGAUAAUAGAAAUGAAAUUCAGCUUAUGUAGAAACUUUGUCAUGCAGCUCGAGAUGCCCGCGCUGAUCAGCUGAACAUGAACACAUGAGAGGUUCAUGCUGAUGUUACAACUAGAUUCACAACUUCAAUAUUUCCGCAAAGGGAUCCGCCAGUGACAUGUCAUGUAUGGGCUUGACAUAAGGACUUUCAAAUAGUCUAUUAGCUGAAGUUACAAAAUGAAAUCGAGCUUCUGUAGAGCCUUUUUCAUUCUGUCCUAGUCACCGAAGCUGAUCAGCAAACCAUUCUUUUUUGCGGAGUAAAUGUNNNNNNNNNNNNNNNNNNNNNNNNNNNNNNNNNNNNNNNNNNNNNNNNNNNNNNNNNNNNNNNNNNNNNNNNNNNNNNNNNNNNNNNNNNNNNNNNNNNNUAGUCAUCUUUGAGCAACGGGGUUACUCGUAGCGAUGAAACCAGUCUCUCGUAAGCGUACGAGUAAUGUCAGUCCAAGCCGCUUCAAUCCAACAAUACCGCGGAAUCAAGAAAAGACUAAGGAGGGCAGCAAAACGCACAUCACCGCCCACAAAAACUUUCGUGUUCUACUCGAGAAGACAUCUACGCAUUAACCUAACUCAUGAUGCCACUGAGGGGGAACGUCGCAUGGGAAACAAAAAAAUUCCUACGCGCACGAAGACCUAUCAUGGUGAUGUCCAUCUACGAGAGGGGAUGAGUGAUCUACGUACCCUUGUAGACGUACAGCAGAAGCGUUAGUGAACGCGGUUGAUGUAGUGGAACGUCCUCACGUCCCUCGAUCCGCCCCGCGAACAAUCCCGCGAUCAGUCCCACGAUCUAGUACCGAACGGACGGCACCUCCGCGUUCAGCACACGUACAGCUCGACGAUUAUCUCAGCCUUCUUGAUCCAGCAAGAGAGAUGGAGAGGUAGAAGAGUUCUCCGGCAGCGUGACGGUGCUCCGGAGGUUGGUGAUGACCUUGUCUCAGCAGGGCUCCGCCCGAGCUCCGCAGAAACGCGAUCUAGAGGAAAAACCGUGGAGGUAUGUGGUCGGGCUGCCGUGGAAAAGUCGUCUCAAAUCAGCCCUAAAACCUCCGUAUAUAUAGGUGGGAGAGAGGGGACCUUGCCUUGGGGCUCAAGGAUCCCCAAGGGGGUCGGCCGAGCCAAGGGGGGAAGGUCUCCCCCCCCAAACCGAGUUGGACUUGGUUUGGUGGGUGGGAGUCCUUCCUUCCCUUCCCACCUCCUCCUUUUUUUUCUUUGAUUUUUCUUCCAAUGCGCAUAGGGCCCUUUUGGGCUGUACCACCAUCCCACUAAGGGCUGGUGCACCACCCUCUAGGCCUAUGGGCUUCCCCGAGGUGGGUUGCCCCCCCGGUGAACUCCCGGAACCCAUUCGUCAUUUCCGGUACAUUCCCGGUAACUCCGAAAACCUUCCGGUAAUCAAAUGAGGNNNNNNNNNNUCUUUCUCUUUGAUUUUUCUUCCAAUGCGCAUAGGGCCCUUUUGGGCUGUCCCACCAGCCCACUAAGGGCUGGUGCACCACCCUCAAGGCCUAUGGGCUUCCCCGGGGUGGGUUGCCCCCCCCCGGUGAACUCCCGGAACCCAUUCAUCAUUUUCGGUACAUUCCCGGUAACUCCGAAAACCUUCCGGUAAUCAAAUGAGGUNNNNNNNNNNNNNNNNNNNNNNNNNNNNNNNNNNNNNNNNNNNNNNNNNNNNNNNNNNNNNNNNNNNNNNNNNNNNNNNNNNNNNNNNNNNNNNNNNNNNCAUUUCAUCUUGGUCUAGAUGUAGGCAUGGACAUAGGGGGAGUGUUGUUCUCUCAAUGAACUCUCCCUCCCCCCAUUAUGCGUAAAUCAAUCUAGUCUUUCACUUUAGCCAUUGACAAAUGGCACUUGUGCUUCAAAGACGAGCAUUGGUCAUGAACCCAAGGAUAAUUCUUCGCGGUGUCAUACCAUUGUCUCAAACAUAGGUGGCCUCGGCCACCGCCCCUCCAUCCUCUCUUGCGUAUAAAGGAGAGGAUAUACAAUGACAAGUCAGUACAUUUUCUUGGAUGUGAUUCCUUUUUACUCACUUGUCAUGUGCCCAAGUUUCCCUUUUUCCUUAGCCGUGUUGAAACAUGUACAGCGGUACUACCGCCACGGUAGCGGUACUACCGCCAGGACCCCAGCGGUACUACCGCCAGGGGUAGCGGUACUACCGCCAGGACCCCAGCGGUACUACCGCCAGGUAUGGCAGUACUACCGCCAGGAUUCAAAAUCUAACACGACCGGCUAGAAAAUUUCUAGGGUUUCAAGGGGGAGCGGUACUACCGCCUGGGGGAGCGGUACCACCGCCAGGACCCCAGCGGUACUACCGCUGCAUCUGGCGGUACUACCGCCAGGACCCCAGCGGUACUACCGCCAGGACCCCAGCGGUACUACCGCUGGCCCGUACCCCUUGGGCUAUAUAAAGGGAGGGGGAGCCCGAUUUUUGCAUCUGUUUCUUCUUCCUCGCGGCUCCUCCCUCCCCUAGCCCGAAACCCCCCUGUUUGGAUCUCACUUCGUGGAGCUCCUUCUCCGCGUUGGUGUAGAAGGGUUGCUUCAUCUCUUCUUCCUACUCCAAGAGCCAUGAAUCCCGGUAAAGCUCCUCCCUUCUUCUAUUUGGUUGUUCUUCGUGUUCUAGGGUUAGGAGCAUUGGGGAUUGGAUUCAUCCUGUUGAUCCUAUGGCUAGUUAUUGGAUGGCAUGUAGGAAAUAUUUGAGGGGGGUAUAGGUCCGAUGGUUUGUUGUUGUGAUUGCUGCCAUGCUCUAGGAUUUCAUCGUCUUAGAUCGAAUACUUGAACUCUUGGAUUAGAUCUAAAACGUGCUCUCUCUUGCCUAGGCAUUUUUGUACCUCUUGUUACUAUGUGUUCCUCAUGACAGGAGGGCUGGGGUGUACGUCUUAGUGUUCAUGUUCAGUCCUUGCCCUCGANNNNNNNNNNNNNNNNNNNNNNNNNNNNNNNNNNNNNNNNNNNNNNNNNNNNNNNNNNNNNNNNNNNNNNNNNNNNNNNNNNNNNNNNNNNNNNNNNNNNAGUUGGGAGCAAGUUUUUGUGUUUGUGCAGGAUCUUGAGAUACUCCUCCACUGGAUUGAUACCUUGGUUCUCAAAUUGAGGGAAAUACUUACCACCGCUACGCUACAUCACCCUUUCUGCUUCGAGGGAACACCAAUGCAAGGCUCUAAGGCCACGGGGGGAAAUCCUUUGCAUACUUGCCUAGGAAGUCCCUUAAGGCGUAGCCGCAGCAAAAAGAUCAAGCCAAGUAUUCUCCCGUCGACGUGCCUAUUUUUGGCACCAUUGGAAGGUCUUUUGUUGCAGUAGCAGAAGUAUUUCUGGCGCCAUUGCUGGGGAGGAGAUAUCAAGAUCUAUCCAAGUAGGUCUCACAAACUCUUCUCUUGCAUUUACUUUUGUUGCCAGUUGCCUCUCUUUUUCCUCUCCCCCACUUCACAUUUGCCGUUUUCAUUCGCCUUUCGCCUUCGCCGUUUUCUUUUGCCUUUGCCGUUCCCUUUCGCUCGUCCGCUCUUAGGUUUGUUCGUGAGAGACCUUUCCUCAUGGCCAAACCAAACUAUUUCAAAAAAUUGGAAGAGAUUGAAACUAAUGNNNNNNNNNNGAAGUAUUCUCCCGUCGACGUGCCUAUUUCUGGCACCGUUGGAAGGUCUUUUGUUGCAGUAGCAGAAGUAUUUCUGGCGCCGUUGCCGGGGAGGAGAUAUCAAGAUCUAUCCAAGUAGGUCUCACAAACUCUUCUCUUGCAUUUACUUUUGUUGCCAGUUGCCUCUCGUUUUCCUCUCCCCCACUUCACAUUUUCCGUUUUCAUUCGACUUUCGCCUUCGUCGUUUUCUUUUGCCUUUGCCGUUCCCUUUCGCUCAUCCGCUCUUAGGUUUGUUCGUGAGAGACCUUUCCUCGUGGCCAAACCAAACUAUUUCAAAAAAUUGGAAGAGAUUGAAACUAAUGCCAAAAGUUUCAUGUCUUCGUAGUUUGACCAAAAUAGUUACUUCCGUAGGGAAUUAAAAGAGCAAAAUUCCUUUUUGGUUUGUUUGAAUAAAGAGGUUGAUGAUAUGGCCAAUGAUUUCCUUGCACUUAGUUCUCAGUUUGCUCACCUUGAAAAAUUGGUGGGCCAAAUUUCUGACAAGCAGGCUACCUUAGUCAAUAAGAUGGCAGCUAAACCUGAAAUUUGUGAUGCAAAUCACGAAGAUCUUAAAGUUCUUGGUGUGUCUCCUCUUGAAUCUUUGUUUUCGCGUGUCAAACCUACUUAUGGAGGGGCUGGAUAUGAAUCCACUUUUGUUGAAAAACGACCCAAUGAUUUGGAGUCCACCUAUCUUGAUGAUAAAGGUGUGGAGAGUGGAGUAGAAGAAGUCAAAAUUUUGGGUAGUAAUAAAACUCCCACUUUGGAUUUCAAGGAAUUCAAUUAUGAUAAUUGCUCCUUGCUUGAAUGCAUUUCUUUUAUGCAAUCCAUUGCAAACUCUCCACAUGCUUAUAGCAAAAGCAAAGCCUUUACCGCGCAUAUCGUAGAUGCCAUGAUGAAAUCUCUUGAAGAGAAGCUCGAACUAGAAGUCUCUAUACCUAGAAAACUUCAUGAUGAAUGGGAACCUACUAUCAAAAUCAAGAUAAAAAACUAUGAGUGCAAUGCUUUGUGUGAUUUGGGUGCUAGUGUUUCCGCGAUUCCAAAGUCUUUAUGUGAUAUUCUUGGUUUUCAUGAGAUUGAAGAGUGUUCUCUUAAUUUGCAUCUUGCGGGUUAUACUAUCAAGAAACCCAUGGGGAGGAUUGAUGAUGUUCUUAUUGUUGCAAAUAAGAACUAUGUACCCGUGGAUUUCAUUGUACUUGACAUAGAUUGCAAUCCUUCAUGUCCCAUUAUUCUUGGUAGACCUUUCCUAAGGACUAUUGGUGCUAUCAUCGAUAUGAAGGAAGGGAAUAUUAGAUUUCAAUUUCCUUUAAAGAAGGGCAUGGAGGACUUUACUAGAAAGAAAAUAAGAUUGCCUUAUGAAUCUAUGAUGAGGGCUACCUAUGGUUUGAGCACCAAAGAUGACUAUACGUGAUUCCAUCACUUUCGCCUAGCAAAGGGCGUUAAACAAAAGCGCUUGUUGGGAGGCAACCCAAUGAAUCUAUCCUUUUUCUUUCUCUUUUGUGUUUUUCACACUUUCAUAAUUCUGUUAUGAUUGUGUUUUUUGUGUUUCUUUUUUGCGUUUGUGCCAAGCAAAACCGUUAUGAUUAGUCUUGGGGAUGAUCGUUUGGUCAUGCUGGAAAAGACAGAAACUUUCAGCUCACGAAAAGAAUUUUCUUGUUUUUUCUGUAAGAUCUUUUGAGUUGAUUCUUUUUGCUUCUGAUUGCUACGCAAAUUAUUCAGACUAUCAUAAUUUUUAAGAAUUUGUGAAGUACCAUAGGUAUACGAAAUAUACAGAUUGCUACAGACUGGUCUGCUGUUAACAGAUUCUGUUUUUGUUGUGUUGGUUGCUUAUCUUGAUGAAACUAUGGAUAGUAUCGGGGGGUAUUAGCCAUGGAAGAUUGAAAGUACAGUAACCCNNNNNNNNNNGUUUUUUCUGCUGAUUGCUACGCAAAUUCUUCAGACUGUCGUAAUUUUUCAGAAUUUUGGAAGUACCAUAGGUAUACGAAAUAUACAGAUUGCUACAGACUGGUCUGCUAUUAACAUAUUCUGUUUUUGUUGUGUUGGUUGCUUAUUUUGAUGAAACUAUGAAUAGUAUCGGGGGGUAUUAGCCAUGGAAGAUUGAAAGUACAGUAACCCAACAUCAGCACAAGUAGAAUUUAAGUUUGCUACACUACCUAAGGAAGUGGUGGUUUGCUUUCUUGUACUAAUGUUAUCACAAGUUUCUGUUUAAGUUUCGUGUUGUGAAGUUUUCAAGUUUUGGGUGAAGUUCUUAUGGACAAAGAGAUAAAGAGUGGCAAGAUCUCAAGCUUGGGUAUGCCCAAGGCACCCCAAGAUAUUCAAGGAUGCCGUAAAUGCCUAAGCUUGGGGAUGCCCCGGGAAGGCAUCCCCUCUCUCGUCUUCAAUCUAUCGGUAACGUUACUUGGGGCUAUAUUUUUAUUCACCACAUGUUAUGUGUUUNNNNNNNNNNUGCAAGAGCUCAAGCUUGGGGAUGCCCAAGGCACCCCAAGAUAUUCAAGGAUGCCGUAAAAUCCUAAGCUUGGGGAUGCCCCGAGAAGGCAUCCCCUCUCUCGUCUUCAAUCCAUCANNNNNNNNNNNNNNNNNNNNNNNNNNNNNNNNNNNNNNNNNNNNNNNNNNNNNNNNNNNNNNNNNNNNNNNNNNNNNNNNNNNNNNNNNNNNNNNNNNNNAAGUGCUAGUUCCUGUUUUUUCCGUGUUUUUGACUCUUUUUAGAUCUGAUUUUGGUACGGAGUCCAAACGGAAGAAAAACCCCGAAAUGAUUUUUCCCGAACGGAAGAAGAUCAGGGGGCCUUUGGGCCAAGCCAGGUGGGCUCCAGGGAGCCCACAAGCCCCCACUCCGCCACCAGGGGGAGGCGGCGGUGGGCAGGCUUGUGGCCUCCCGGGCCGCCCCCUGACCUAGAUCUUUGUCCUAUAAAUUCCCAAAUAUUCCGCAAAAAAUCAGGGGAGCCUCGAAAAUACUUUUCCACCGCCGCAAACUUCCGUUUCCGCGAGAUCUCAUCUGGAGACCCUUCCUGGCACCCUGCCGGAGGGGACUUUGGAGUUGGAGGGCUUCAUCAUCAUCAUCAUCGCCCCUCCAAUGACUCGUGAGUAGUUCACUUCAGACCUACGGGUCCGUAGUUAGUAGCUAGAUGGCUUCUUCUCUCUCUUGGAUCUUCAAUACAAAGUUCUCCAUGAUCUUCAUGGAGAUCUAUCCGAUGUAAUCUUCUUUGGCGGUGUGUUUGUCGAGAUCCAUGAAUUGUGGAUUGGUGAUCAGAUUAUCUCUGAUAUAUAUUUGAGUCUUUGCUGAUUUCUUAUAUGCAUGAUUUGAUANNNNNNNNNNUUCUUUGCUGAUUUAUUAUAUGCAUGAUUUGAUAUCCUUGUAAGUCUCUCCGAGUCUUGGGUUNNNNNNNNNNAUCCGAUAAAUUGUGGAUUUGUGAUCAGAUUAUCUAUGAUAUAUAUUUGAGUCUUUGCUGAUUUCUUAUAUGCAUGAUUUGAUANNNNNNNNNNGGUUUUGCUGAUUUCUUAUAUGCAUGAUUUGAUAUCCUUGUAAGUCUAUCCGAGUCUUGGGUUUUGUUUGGCCAACUAGAUCUAUGAUUCUUGCAAUGGGAGAAGUGCUUGGUUUUGGGUUCUGCCAUGUGGUGACCUUUCCCAGUGACAGUAGGGGCAGCAAGGCACACAUCAAGUAGUUGCCAUCAAGGGUAAAAAGAUGGGGUUUUUNNNNNNNNNNNNNNNNNNNNNNNNNNNNNNNNNNNNNNNNNNUAAGGCGUUACUCUAUUAUUAUGGACUUAAUACACUAGAUGCAUGCUGGAUAGCGGUCGACGUGUGGAGUAAUAGUAGUAGAUGCAGACAGUAUCGUUCUACUUGUUUUGGACGUGAUGCCUAUAGAAAUAAUCAUUGCAUAGAUAUCAUCACGACUUUUUGCGGUUCUAUCAAUGCUACAUCACCCUUUCUGCUUCGAGGGAACACCAAUGCAAGGCUCCAAGGCCAUGGGGGAAAUCCUUUGCAUACUUGCCUAGGAAGUCCCUUAAGGCGUAGCNNNNNNNNNNCGGACGUGAUGCCUAUAGAAAUAAUCAUUGCAUAGAUAUCGUCGUGACUUUGCGCGGUUCUAUCAAUUGCUCGACAGUAAUUUGUUCAUCCACCGUCUACUUGCUUUCAUGAGAGAAGCCACUAGUAAACACAACGGCCCCCGGGUCUAUUCACAUCCAUCGUUUACAUCUCCGCUUUUACUUUGCUUUGUUACUUUGUUGCUUUCAGUUNNNNNNNNNNNNNNNNNNNNNNNNNNNNNNNNNNNNNNNNNNNNNNNNNNNNNNNNNNNNNNNNNNNNNNNNNNNNNNNNNNNNNNNNNNNNNNNNNNNNCCUAGGUCCUUCAUAGAGAAACUUUUAUUCAAGUAACCUUUUAUGCUCUCCAAAAGCUCUACGUUGUUUCCAAUCAGCAAUAUGUCAUCCACAUAUAAUAUUAGAAACGCCAUAGAGCUCCCACUCACUUUCUUGUAAAUACAAGAUUCUCCAACCACUUGUAUAAACCCAAAUGCUUUAAUCACCUCAUCAAAGCGCUUGUUCCAACUCCGAGAUGCUUGCGCCAGUCCAUAAAUGGAUCGCUGGAGCUUGCACACCUUGUCAGCAUUUUUAGGAUCGACAAAACCUUCGGUUGCAUCAUAUACAACUCUUCCUUAAGGAAACCAUUAAGGAAUGCCGUUUUGACAUCCAUCUGCCAGAUUUCAUAAUCGAAAAAUGCAGCUAUUGCUAACAUGAUUCUGACGGACUUAAGCAUCGCUACGGGUGAGAAGGUCUCAUCGUAGUCAACUCCUGGAACUUGUGAAAAACCCCUUGCCACAAGUCGAGCUUUAUAAACGGUCACAUUACCGUCAGCGUCCGNNNNNNNNNNAAUCGAAAAAACCUUCGGGUUGCAUCAUAUACAACUCUUCCUUAAGGAAACCGUUAAGGAACGCCGUUUUGACAUCCAUCUGCCAGAUUUCAUAAUCGAAAAAUGCAGCUAUUGCUAACAUGAUUCUUACGGACUUAAGCAUCGCUACGGGAGAGAAAGUCUCAUCGUAGUCAAUUCCUGGAACUUGUGAAAAACCCUUUGCCACAAGUCGAGCUUUAUAAACGGUCACAUUACCGUCAGCGUCCGNNNNNNNNNNNNNNNNNNNNNNNNNNNNNNNNNNNNNNNNNNNNNNNNNNNNNNNNNNNNNNNNNNNNNNNNNNNNNNNNNNNNNNNNNNNNNNNNNNNNGCAAUAAACAAGAUCCAGAUAUAAUGUUCAUGCUCAACGCACGCACUAAAUAACAAUGAUUUAAGUUCAUCACUAAUCCCGAUGGUAGUUGAAGUGACACUGCACCGACGGCGAUUGCAUCAACCUUGGAACCGUUUCCUACGCGCAUCGUCACUUCGUCUUUCGUCAGCCUUCGUCUAUUCCGCAGUUCCUGCUUCGAGUUGCAAAUGUGAGCAACAGAACCGGUAUCGAAUACCCAGGCACUACUACGAGAGCCGGUUAAGUACACAUCAAUAACAUGUAUAUCAAAUAUACCUGAUUUUUCUUUGCCCGCCUUCUUAUCUGCCAGAUACUUGGGGCAAUUGCGCUUCCAGUGACCCAUACCCUUGCAAUAGAAGCACUCUGUUUCAGGCUUAGGUCCAGCCAUGGGUUUCUUCGGCGGAUUGGCAACAGGCUUGCCGCUCUUCUUCGAAUUGCCCUUCUUGCCUUUGCUGUUUCUCUUGAAACUAGUGGUCUUGCUCACCAUCAACACUUGAUGCUCUUUUCGGAGUUCUGACUCUCCGACUUUCAGCAUCGCAAACAACUCGCCGGGAGACUUGUUCAUCCCUUGCAUGUUGUAGUUCAACACAAAGCCUUUAAAGCUUGGCGGCAGUGAUUGGAGGAUUCUGUUAGUGAUAGCUUCUUGCGGGAGUUCAAUCCCCAGUUCAGCUAGACGGUUUGAGUACCCAGACAUUUUGAGCACAUGUUCACUGACAGACGAGUUUUCCUCCAUCUUGCAAGCAUAGAAUUUAUCGGAGGUCUCAUACCUCUCGAUCCGGGCGUUCUUCUGAAAGAUAAACUUCAACUCCUGGAACAUCUCAAAUGCUCCAUGACGCUCAAAGCGACGUUGAAGUCCCGGCUCUAAGCCAUACAAGACUGCACAUUGAACUAUUGAGUAGUCCUCCUUACGUGCUAACCAAGCGUUCUUAACAUCCUGAUCAGCCGUAGCGGGUGGUUCAUCUCCUAGCGCAGCAUUAUGGACAUAAUCCUUCUUUCCAGCUUGUAAGAUUAGCUUAAGAUUACGAGCCCAGUCUACAAAGUUGCUUCCAUCAUCUUUCAACUUAGCUUUCUCUAGGAACGUAUUAAAAUUCAGGAUGACACUUGCGUGAGCCAUGAUCUACAACACAAAUAUAUUCAAAAUGGACUUAGACUAUGUUCAAGAUAAUUAGAGUUCAACUUAAUCAAAUUAUAUGCUAAACUCCCACUCAAAAAGUACAUCUCUCUAGUCAUUUGAGUGGUUCAUGAUCCACUUACACUAUCCCAAGUCCGAUCAUCANNNNNNNNNNNNNNNNNNNNNNNNNNNNNNNNNNNNNNNNNNNNNNNNNNNNNNNNNNNNNNNNNNNNNNNNNNNNNNNNNNNNNNNNNNNNNNNNNNNNCAUUGGUUUGAGUUUAUCCCUCUACAUCAUGUCAUCUUGCUUAAGGCGUUACUCUGUUCGUCAUGAACUCAAUACACUAGAUGCAUGCUGGAUAGAGGUCGAUGUGUGGAGUAAUAGUAGUAGAUGCAGAAAGUAUCGAUCUACUUGUCUCGGACGUGAUGCCUAUAUGUAUGAUCAUUGCCUUAGAUAUCGUCAUGACUUUGCGCGGUUAUAUCAAUUGCUCGACAGUAAUUUGUUCAUCCAUUGUAUUAUUUGCUAUUUUGAGAGAAGCCUCUAGUGAACACUAUGGCCCCCGGGUCUACUUCACACCAUAUUUUCAGCCUUACACUUUUACUUCGUUGCACUUUCCUCCUUCAGAUCUCACUUUGCAAUCAAUCUUGAAGGGAUUGACAACCCCUUUAUAGCAUUGGGUGCAAGCUCUUUUGUGUUUGCGCAGGUAAUCUGGACUUGACGCGAUUCUCCUACUGGAUUGAUACCUUGGUUCUCAAACUGAGGGAAAUACUUACUGCUCAUGUGCUGCAUCACCCUUUCCUCUUCAAGGGAAAAACCAACGCAAGCCCAGUCUCCGUCAACGUGCCAAUCUCUGGCGCUGUUGUCUGUUGCCGUAGCACCCCCUCCAGGGGGACUGGGCGAGCUGUUCAGUUUCGGGUCUACUGAGCGGCCUCGAAGUGCAAGGAUACCUUCCUGCUUCAGAUCUAACAUCCACCUGCCCCGGAUUAACUUCCACGAACGGUGAGGCCCUUGCAGAGAACUUCCCAACUCCUUGCAAGGAAGAGAGGGUAUGCUUCGUUCCCAUCCUCUUAUGAGGUUUAGGCUUCCCAUUCACCCCUUCUUAAUGGGCCUGCUAGAGUUUUACGGGAUCUAGCUUCAUCAUCUUACUCCUGGAUCCAUUCUUCAUAUUUAUGGCUAUGUUGCCCUUUGCGAGAUGUUCUUAGGAUGCGGGACCCAUUUUGAACCGGGGAGGAAAAAUUUCUGCCUUGUCCCUCGCACACGAGGAGGGAAUGUUUUUUAGGUAGGCGGAGCCGAAGUGUGGCGCAUAGGUGGGACGGGGUAUCCUAUUGGGACUCCAAAGAAGGAUUCCGAAGAAUGGACCUUAGAGUGGUUUUAUAUCAAGGAUGUCCCCCUAUUUGAUCCAUCUUGGAGGGGUCUACCCGAAUAUUCAAAUGUUCCUUGAUGUCUACUACACAACUUUAUUAUUGUAGACUACGUUGGGCCUCCAAGUGUAGAGUUUUGUAGGACAGUAGCAAUUUCCCCUCAAGUGGAUGACCUAAGGUUUAUCAAUCCAUGGAAGGUGUAGGAUGAAGAUGGUCUCUCUCAAACAACCGUGCAAUCAAAUACAAAAAAUAUCUAGUGUCCCCAACACACCCAAUACAAUGGAAAAUUGUAUAGGUGCACUAGUUCGGUGAAGAGAUGGUGAUACAAGUGUAAUAUGGAUAGUAGAUAUAGGUUUUUGUAAUCUUAAAAUAUAAGAACAACGAGGUAGCAUGUUUAAAACAAUGAGAAAAACAUUGUAUAAAUGCUUGGUAAUAGGGCCUAGGGUUCGUACUUUCACUAGUGCAAUCUCUCAACAAUGUUAACAUAGUAGAAUCAUAUGAUCAUCCCUCAACGUGCAACAAAGAGUCACUCCAAAGUUCCUAUAUAAUGGAGAACAAUAAGAUGAAAUUGAUGUAGGUAAUAGAACCAUCUCAUAGUAUUCAUGCCAUGUUUACAAUAGUUAUAUAUGAUUUUAGUACGACUUUUUUAGAACUAACUCGGACUGACGUUGUUUUCAGCAAAACUACCAUGGUGUCAUUUUUUGUGCAAAAAUAAAGUUCUCGGAAUGGGCUGAAAAUUUACGGUGAUUUUUAUGGACCAAAAGAGACCCCCGAAGCACCAGAGCUGGGCCAGGAAGUGGAUGAGGAAGCCACAAGCCUACUGGACGCGGCCACCCCCUAGGUCGCGCCCCCUGGCUUGUGACUUCCUCGGGGAACCUUCCGAAUGUGAGACCGACGCCAAAAGUUCCUAUAAAUACCAAAAACCCAAGAAAGAAACCUAGAUCGGGAGUUUCGCCGCCGCAAGCCUCCAGAGCCAUGAAAAAACAAUCUUGGCCCUCUCCGACACCCUGCUGGAGGGGGUCAUCUUCAUCGGAGGCCAUCUUCAUCAUCCCGACGAUCUCCAUAAUUGCCAUGGAGGCCACUCAAGGGGGAGACCAUGGAGGAGGAAGCACAAGGGGGAAAACCUUUCUCUCUCUCUCUUGGUGGCGCCGGAGUGGCAUCGGGGGAACCAUCGCCGUGAUGAUCGUCUUCACCAACAUCACCUUUUUCAUCACCAUCAUCAUCUCCUUUCAGCGGUCCACUCUCACGCACCUCACUGUAAUCCCCUACUCGAACAUGGUGCUUUAUGCCGCAUAUUAUGAUUUAGUGAUGUGUUGCCAUCCUAUGAUGUUUGAGUAGAUUUAUUUUGUCCUUUGGGUUGAUUGAUGAUCUAGAUUGGUGUGAGUUCUAUAUUUAUUUUGGUGUUGUCGUAUGGUGCCUUCCAUGAUGCGCACACGUGAAAGAUUCCUGUUGUAGGGUGUUGCAAUGCGUUCAUGAUUCGCUUAUAGUGGGUUGCUUGAGUGACAGAAGCACAAACCCGAGUAAGGGGGUUGUUGCAUAUGGGAUAAAGGGGACUUGAUACUUUAAUGGUAUGGUUGGGUUUUACCUUAAUGAUCUUUAGUAGUUGCGGAUGCUUGCUAGAGUUCCAAUCAUAAGUGCAUAUGAUCCAAGUAGAUAAAAUAUGUUAGCUUAUGCCUCUCCCUCAUAUAAAAUUGCAAUAAUGAUUACCGAUCUUGUUAACAAUUGCCUAGGACAAUUCCGCACANNNNNNNNNNNNNNNNNNNNNNNNNNNNNNNNNNNNNNNNNNNNNNNNNNNNNNNNNNNNNNNNNNNNNNNNNNNNNNNNNNNNNNNNNNNNNNNNNNNNNNNNNNNNNNNNNNNNNNNNNNNNNNNNNNNNNNNNNNNNNNNNNNNNNNNNNNNNNNNNNNNNNNNNNNNNNNNNNNNNNNNNNNNNNNUUAUUCUAGUUCUCCAUUAUCAUGCAAAGCUAUUCUCUUCAUACCCACAACAUAGUUUUAUUUCUCGUUUUUAGUUGGAAGCAAACGUUCGGCGUACGUAGAGUCGUAUCAUUGGCAAAUAGGACAUGAGAUAAUAUUGAUCUUACCUUUAGCUCCUUGUGGGUUCGACACUCCAUACUUAUCACUUCCACCUUUGGAAAUUGCUACUAUGAUUCCUUGCACUGGGGGAUUAUCAAGCUCUUUUCUGGCGCCGUUGUGGGAAGCAAUAGCAUGGGGUUGGUAUUCUUGUGUGUGUUUAUUUGCUUUCUUCACUAAGUAGAUUUUGUUUCCCCUUUUUGGUUUAUUUAGUUGUGGGUGAAACAAAAAAAAUGAAAAAUAUAAAAAGAAUUACUUGCCCCUUAUGCCUAAGAAGUUUUUCAAAAAGAGAAGUGAUUAGAAAGUUGUGCAUUGGAGAAGUGAUGAUCGACCUUGAACACUUGUGUUCAUGCUGAUGAAAAAAAUGUAGAAUUUUUCAUGGAAGUUUCUCAAAAAUAAUUAUCCCCAUGUAUAUAUCCUUUGUAUUAUAAAAAUAAUGUGUCAAGAUUUGGUUUUAGGAUGAUUAGAUAGCUUGUUUUCUUUGCGCGGUGCAAAAACAGAAACUUUGACUGUAGUGCAUGAAUUUUAUUUUUUUACUGGAUCGUCAAAAGUUUCCGAAAAUUUUAAAAAGUACUACUAUAAUUUUUUUUUAAUUUUUUCCUAAAUUUUCAGAAUUUUUUGAGUUACAUAAGUAUGUGAAGUUUCCAAAAUGCUAUAGACUGUUGUGUUGUUGACAGAUUAUGUUUCCUAUGCAUUGUUCUCUUAUUUUGAUGAAUCUAUGGAUAAUACCGGGGGGUAUGAACCAUGGUAAAGUUGGACUACAAUAUAUAUAAUGCUAAUAUGAAUUUGGAAUGAGUUCACAACAGUACUUAAAGUAGUAUUUUUCUUUAUUAUACUAACGGAUCUCACGAGGGUUUUGUUAAUUUUUGUAUGAAUAAAGUGUUCGAAGAUCGACGGUAUCGAUAAAAGAAGAAUACGGAGAUACAAGAGUUCAAACUUGGGGAUUUCCAAGGCACCCCAAGUAAAUAUUUCAAGUAGGCUCAAGCAUCUAAGCUUGGGGAUGCCCCGGAAGGUAUCCCAUCUUUAUUCUUCGAUAAUUAUCGGUAUACCUCGGUUUUUGUUUUGUUCACAUGAUAUGCGUAUUUAGUGUUUUUCUUCUCCUUUUAUGCACCCUUAUAGUAUGAGGUAGUCCUUCAUUGAUUUAUAAAAUACUUCAUGAUCUUCACUUAAAUCUUUUGAGUAUAGCUUUGUAGAAUACUCUUUGUGCUUCACUUAAAUCUUUUGAGUAUGGCUUUGUAGAAUGCUCUUUGUGCUUCACUUAAAUCUUUUGAGUAUGGCCUUAUAGAAUGUUUCGUGUGCUUCACUUAUAUAUUUUAAGCUUGGAUAUUGGUUGAUCUAUAUUAAUUGUAGAAUGCUCUAUGAACUUCACUUAUAUCUUUUAGAGUAUGAAUAAAAUUUCCGUCGGAAUUGGGCUUGGAAGUGUAUCAAUGUCAUGCCUAGCUAGAAAGGCUUUAAAGAAAAGCUUGUUGGGAGAUGAUACGUCCAUUUUGCAUCAUGUUUUCAUGUCGAUAUUUAUAGCUUCUUUGGCUGUUAUUUCACUUCAUGGUACUAUCCUUAUGCCUUUUCUCUCUUAUUUUGCAAGGUUUACAUGAAGAGGGAGAAUACCGACAACUUGAAUUCUGGCCUGAAAGUGGAGCGAAGUUGAGAUACCUAUUCUGCGCAACUCCAAACGCCGUGAAAAUCAACGGGGAUUUUUUUCCCAAUAUAUAAAAAAUACUGGGCCGAAGAAGUACCGGAGGGNNNNNNNNNNUACCUUCGGAGAUACCUGUAGAGCAUCUUUAUAGUCAUCCAUUUACGUUGCGACGUUUGAUACACACAAAGCAUUCCUCCGGUGUCAGUGAGUUAUAUGAUCUCAUGGUCAUAGGAAUAAAUACUUGACACGCAGAAAACAGUAGCAACAAAAUGACACGAUCAACAUGCUACGUCUAUUAGUUUGGGUCUAGUCCAUCACGUGAUUCUCCCAAUGACAUGAUCCAGUUAUCAAGCAACAACACCUUGUUCAUAAUCAGAAGACACUGACUAUCAUCGAUCAACUGGCUAGCCAACUAGAGGCAUGCUAGGGACGGUGUUUUGUCUAUGUAUCCACACAUGUAAAUGAGUCUUCAUUCAAUACAAUUAUAGCAUGGAUAAUAAACUAUUAUCUUGAUACAGGAAUUAUAAUAAUAACUAUACAUUUAUUAUUGCCUCUAGGGCAUAAUUCCAACAGUCUCCCACUUGCACUAGAGUCAAUAAUCUAGCCCUCACAUCACCAUGUGAAUUACAUUGUAAUAAAUCUAACACCCAUACAGUUUGGUGUCGAUCAUGUUUUGGCCAUGGAAGAGGUUUAGUCAGCGGGUCUGCUACAUUCAGAUCCGUGUGCACUUUGCAUAUAUUUACGUCCUCCUCCUCGACGUAGUCGCGGAUGAGGUUGAAGCGUCGUUUGAUGUGUCUGGUCUUCUUGUGAAACCUUGGUUCCUUUGCUAAGGCAAUGGCACCAGUAUUGUCACAGAACAAGGUUAUUGGAUCCAGUGCACUUGGCACCACUCCAAGAUCCGUCAUGAANNNNNNNNNNUAGAGAUCCCUUAGCAUGUGACGAUUGCUUCCACCUCAUACUAGCCAAAACUCCCGCACUAAGUAGAGAUACUACUUGUGCAUCCAUAAUCCUUCAAACCAGUUUUGCCAUGAGUGUCCACCAUACCUACCUAUGGAUUGAAUAAGAUCCCUCAAGUAAGUUGUCAUCGGUGCAAGCAAUAAAAAUUGUUCUCUAAUAUGUAUGAUCUAUUAGUGUGUGGAAAAUAAGCUUCGUACAAACGUGUGAUGAGGAAGACAUAAAAGUGACACACUGCAUAAUAAAGUUCUUUAUCAUAGGGGGCAAUACAAAGUGACAUUCCUCCGCACUAAGAGGACACGCAUCCAAACCUCAAAAGCGCAUGACAACCUCUGCUUCCCUCUGCGAAGGGCCUAUCUUGUACCUUUACUUUUUGCCCUUGAAAGAGUCAUGGUGAUCUUCACCAAUUCCUUAUUUUUCCUUUGUCUUGGCUACCGUCAUAUGCUUGGGAAAGAUCUAUAUUCAUAUGUCAACUUGGAGGUAAGUAUUCAUGAAUUAUUAUUGUUGACAUUACCCUUGAGGUAAGCAGUUGGGAGGCAAAACUACAAGCCCCUAUCUUUCUCUGUGUCCAGCUGAAACUUUGAUCUCAUGAGUACCCCGUGAGUUGUAGCAAUUGUAGAGAAUGAAAGAAUGAUUGAGUAUGUGGAUUUUAUUUACAAGCUCUUAUUUGACUCUUUCUGAUGUUGUGAUAAAUUACAAUUGCUUCAAUGACUAAAGGCUAUCGGUUGUUACUUCUCGGUAAGGUUCUUGAUCCAUGCUUUACAUUGUGAAGGAAUUAUCACUUUAGCAUGAGAGAUUAUAUGUUGGUAUUGAUGUUCUCAUAAUGAUCUUGAUGCUUGCAUGUUCGUAUCUUGUUUUGUCGACACCUCUCUCCCUAAACAUGUGGACAUAUUUAUUGAGCUCAGCUUUCGCUUGAGGACAAGCGAGGUCUAAGCUUGGGGGAGUUGAUACGUCCAUUUUGCAUCAUGUUUUCAUGUUGAUAUUUAUCGCUUCUUUGGUUGUUAUUUAACUUCAUGGUACUAUUCUUAUUCCUUUUCUCUCUUAUUUUGCAAGGUUUACAUGAAGAGGGAGAAUACCGGCAACUUGAAUUCUGGCCUGAAAGUGGAGCGAAGUUGAGAUACCUAUUAUGCGCAACUCCAAACGCCGUGAAAAUCAAUGGGGAUUUUUUCCCAAUAUAUAAAAAAUACUGGGCCGAAGAAGUACCGGAGGGNNNNNNNNNNUGCCAUGGGGGCUUGUGGGCAGCCCACUGGCCCACUGGCCCCCCUCAUUUGCUAUAUGGAGGGUUUCGUCCAGAAAAAAAUCACGGGGGAGCUUUUUCAUGGUUUCGCCGCCGCCACGAGGCGGAACUUGAGCAGAACCAAUCUAGANNNNNNNNNNGCACCAGGGGGUGCCCACAAGCCUGCACGGCGCGGCCACCCCCCCAGGCCGCGCCAUGGGGGCUUGUGGGCGGCCCACUGGCCCACUGGCCCCCCUCUUUUGCUAUAUGGAGGGUUUCGUCCAGAAAAAAAAUCACAGGGGAGCUUUUUCGUGGUUUCGCCGCCGCCACGAGGCGGAACUUGAGCAGAACCAAUCUAGAGCUCCGCUAGGACGAUCCUGUCGGGGAAACUUCCCUCCCGGAGGGGGAAAUCGUCGCCAUCAUCAUCACCAACACUCCUCUCAUCGGAGGGGACUCGUCACCAUCAACAUCUUCAUCAGCACCAUCUCAUCUCCAAACCCUAGUUCAUCUCUUGUAACCAAUCUCCGUCUCGCGACUCCGAUUGGUACUUGUAAGGUUGCUAGUAGUGUUGAUUACUCUUUGUAGUUGAUGCUAGUUGGAUUACUUGGUGGAAGAGUUUAUGGUCAGAUCCUUGAUGCUACUCAUUACACCUCUGAUCAUCAUAAUGAUUAUGCUUUGUGAGUAGUUACUUUUGUUCCUGAGGACAUGGGAUAAGUAAUGCUAAUAAUAGUCAUAUGAAUUUGGCAUUCGUUCGGUAUUUUGAUAUGUUGUAUGUUGUUUUUCCUCUAGUGGUGUUAUGUGAACGUCGACUACAUAACACUUCACCAUUAUUUGGGCCUAGAGGAAGGCAUUGAGAAGUAGUAAGUACAUGAUGGGUUGCUAGAGUGACAGAAGCUUAAACCCUAGUUUAUGCGUUNNNNNNNNNNCUUAUGUGAACGUCGACUACAUAACACUUCACCAUUAUUUGUGCCUAGAGGAAGGCAUUGAGAAGUAGUAAGUAGAUGAUGGGUUGCUAGAGUGACAGAAGCUUAAACCCUAGUUUAUGCGUUNNNNNNNNNNCGGUUAGACUUUGUCUUAAUUCUUCUUUCAUAGUUGCAGAUGCUUGCGAGAGGGGUUAAUCAUAAGUGGGAUGCUUGUCCAAGUAAGGGCAGUACCCAAGCGCCGGUCCACCCACAUAUCAAACUAUCAAAGUAACGAAUGUGAAUCAUAUGAACAUGAUGAAACUAGCAUGACAGAAAUUCCCGUGUGUCCUUGGGAGCGUUUUUCCUCUUGUAAGACUUUGUCCAGGCUUGUCCCUUGCUACAAAAGGGAUUGGGACACUUUGCUGCACCGUUGCUACUUUUGUUAUUUGUUGCUUGCUACGAAUCAUCUCACCACACAAUCACUUGUUACCAACAAUUUCAGUGCUUGCAGAUUGAUACGUCUCAAACGUAUCUAUAAUUUUUGAUGGUUUCACGCUGUUAUCUUGUCUUCUUUGGUUGUUUUAUGUACCUUUUAUAUCUUUUUUGGGACUAACUUAUUAAUUCAGUGCCAAGUGACAGUUCCUGUUUUUUCCGUGUUUUUGACUCUUUUCGGAUAUGAUUUUGGAACGGAGUCCAAACGGAAGAAAAACCCCGAAAUGAUUUUNNNNNNNNNNUGGUUAGACUUUGUCUUAAUUCUUAUUUCGUAGUUGCGGAUGCUUGCGAGAGGGGUUAAUCAUAAGUGCGAUUCUUGUCCAAGUAUGGGCAGUACCCAAGCGCCGGUCCACCCACAUAUCAAACUAUCAAAGUAACGAACGCGGAUCAUAUGAACAUGAUGAAACUAGCAUGACAUAAAUUCCCGUGUGUCCUCAGGAGCGUUUUUCCUCUUGUAAGACUUUGUCUAGGUUUGUCCCUUGCUACAAAAGGGACUGGGCCACUUUGCUGCAGUGUUGCUACUUUUGUUACUUGUUGCUUGCUACGAAUCAUCUCACCACACAAUCACUUGUUACCGACAAUUUCAGUGCUUGCAGAUUUUUCCUUGCUGAAAACCACUUGUCAGAUCCUUCUGCUCCUCGNNNNNNNNNNUGGACAUGAUGCCUAUAGAAAUAAUCAUUGCAUAGAUAUCGUCACGACUUUACGCGGUUCUAUCAAUUGCUCGACGGUAAUUUGUUCACCCACCAUCUACUUGCUUUCAUGAGAGAAGCCACUAGUAAACACUACGGUCCCCGGGUCUAUUCACAUCCAUCAUUUACAUCUCCGCUUUUACUUUGCUUUGUUACUUUGUUGCUUUCAGUUCUCACUUGGCAAACAAUCUAUAAGGGAUUGACAACCCCUUCAUAGAGUUGGGAGCAAGUUUUUGUGUUUGUGCAGGAUCUUGAGAUACUCCUCCACUGGAUUGAUACCUUGGUUCUCAAACUGAGGGAAAUACUUACCACCGCUACGCUACAUCACCCUUUCCGCUUUGAGGGAACACCAACACAAGGCUCCAAGGCCACGGGGGAAAUCCUUUGCAUACUUGCCUAGGAANNNNNNNNNNAACUGGAUUGAUAUCUUGGUUCUCAAACUGAGGGAAAUACUUACCACCGCUAUGCUACAUCACCCUUUCUGCUUCGGGGGAACACCAACGCAAGGCUCCAAGGCCACGGGGGAAAUCCUUUGCAUACUUGCCUAGGAAGUCCCUUAAGGCGUAGCCGCAGCAGAAAGAUCAAGCCAAGUAUUCUCCCGUCGACGUGCCUAUUUCUGGCGCGUUGGAAGGUCUUUUGUUGCAGUAGUAGUGCACAAAACCCACCAUUAGCCUCCCUCAAAACAGCAUGAUUGUAAGAUAGCUAGCAUGAUGUUUCCAUUGAUGCCUAUGCCAUGCUAGAUCAUUCCCACGGUACACUACCGAAGGCAUUCCAAAUAGAGUCAUCGUUACUCUAAAUUUUGAGUUGAAAGUGUGAUGAUCAUCAUUAAUGGAGCAUUGUCCCAUGUGAGGAAAUAAAAGAGGCCAAAGAAGCCCACCAAAAUAUAAACAAAGGCCAAAGAGCCCACCAAAUAAAAAAUGAGAGAAAAAGAGAGAAGGGACAAUGCUACCACUUUUUCCACACUUGUGCAUAAUAAGCACCAUGAUCUUCAUGAUUGAGAGUCUCUCGUUUUGUCACCACCAUAUAGCUAGUGGGAAAUUUUCAUUAUAUAACUAGGCUUGUAUAUUCCUAUGAUAGGCUUCCUCAAAAUUGCCUUAGGUCUUCGUGAGCAAGCAAGUUGGAUGCACACCCACUAGUUUUCUUUAAGAGCUUUCACAUACUCAUAGCUCUAGUGCAUCAAUUGUAUGGCAAUCCCUACUCAUUCACAUUGAUAUCUAUUGAUGAGCACCUCCACGGCUCAUUGAUAUGCCUAGUUAAUGUGACUAUCUUCUCCUUUUUGUCUUGCAACCUCCACUACAUUCCACACCACCUAUAGUACUAUAACCAUGGCUCACGCUCAUGUAUUGCGUGAGAGUUGAAAAGGUUUGAGAAAGUAAAGGUGUGAAACAAUUACUUGGCCCAUACCGGGGUUGUGCAUGAUUUAAAUUCAUUGUGCAAUGAUGAUAGAGCAUAGCCAGACUAUAUGCUUUUGUAGGGAUAACUUUCUUUUGGCCUUGUUAUUUUGAAAGUUCAUGACUACUUUGCUAGUUUGCUUGAAUUAUUAUUGUUUCCACGUCAAUAGAAAACUAUUGUUUUGAAUCUAAUGGAUCUAAACAUUCACAUCACAUAAGAGGAAUUACAAAGGACACCUAUGCUAGGUAGCAUGAAAGCAUCAAAAAUUCAUUCUUAUCACUUCCCUACUCGAGGACGAGCAGAAGUUAAGCUUGGGGAUGCUUGAUACGUCUCAAACGUAUCUAUAAUUUUUUAUGGUUUCACGUUGUUAUCUUGUCUUCUUUGGUUGUUUUAUGUACCUUUUAUAUCUUUUUGGGGACUAACUUAUUAAUUCAGUGCCAAGUGCCACUUCCUGUUUUUUCUGUGUUUUUGACUCUUUUCAUAUCUGAUUUUGGAACGGAGUCCAAACGGAAGAAAAACCCCGAAAUGAUUUUUUCCCGAACGGAAGAAGAUCAGGGGGCCUUUGGGCCAACCCAGGUGGGCUCCAAGGAGCCCACAAGCUCCCACCACGCCACCAGGGGGGAGGCGGCGGUAGGCAGGCUUGUGGCCACCCUCGCCGCCCCCUGACCUAGAUCUUUGGCCUAUAAAUUCCAAAUAUUCCGCAAAAAAUCAGGGGAGCCUCGAAAAUACUUUUCCGCCGCCGCAAGCUUCCGUUUCCGCGAUAUCUCAUCUGGAGACCCUUCCCGGCACCUUGCCGGAGGGGACUUUGGANNNNNNNNNNUCCCACCACGCCACCAGGGGGAGGCGGCGGUGGGCAGGCUUGUGGCCUCCCUGGCCGCCCCCUGACCUAGAUCUUUGGCCUAUAAAUUCCCAAAUAUUCCGCAAAAAAUCAAGGGAGCCUCGAAAAUACUUUUCCGCCACCGCAAGCUUCCGUUUCCACGAGAUCUCAUCUCGAGACCCUUCCCGGCACCCUGCCGGAGGGGACUUUGGAGUUGGAGGGCUUGUUCAUCAUCAUCAUCGCCCCUCCAAUGACUCAUGAGUAGUUCACUUCAGACCUACGGGUCCGUAGUUAGUAUCUAGAUGGCUUCUUCUCUCUCUUGGAUCUUCAAUACAAAGUUCUCCGUGAUCUUCAUGGAGAUNNNNNNNNNNCGUUGGAAGGUCUUUUGUUGCAGUAGCACAGAUUUUUCCUUGCUGAAAACCACUUGUCAGAUCCUUCUGCUCCUCGUUGGGUUCGACACUCUUACUUAUCGAAAGGACUACGAUUGAUCCCCUAUACUUGUGGGUCAUCAGGAGACAACCCAACACUUUUACUUUUUGUUUUUUGGUGUUCGCAUGAUUAAGCUACUGUAUUAAUCAUGUUUUAUGCUUUUUAUUUCAAUAAAAUGCCAAGUAAAGCCUUUGGGAUAGUGUAGGUGACAGUUGACUUGAUUCCGUGCAAAAAACAGAAACUUUUGCUCUCAGUCCAGAAAUUUUGUAAAUCCACUAGAACGUGAUUUUGAUCUGAAUUUUUUACACAUGAUUGAUAUACAAAUUGCUUGGAUUUUCCUAAUGUUUCAGAAUUUUUAGAGACACAGAAGUAUGGUUACAUUACAGAUCUUCACACACUGUUCUGUUUUUGACAGAUUCUGUUUUGCAUGCAUAGUUUGCUUUUUUUAUUAUUUCCAUAGCUUAUAUUCAGUGAUAUAAAUUACGGGGUGGUAGAAUGCAGUAGGUAUCAUGUUAGAACAAUUAUGAAUCUUUUCUUGAUAGUACCUAAGUGAAUGUUCAUUAUUUUUUAUACUAACCCAUCUCACGAAGUUCCGUUAAGUUUUGUGUGAUUGAAGUUUUCAAGUUUUGGGAGACACCAAUAUGAGGAGAAUAAGGAGUGAAAAUAACCUAAGCUUGGGGAUGUCCAAGGCACACCCAAGGUAAUAUAUAAGUAAGACUCAAACUCUUAAGCUUGGGGAUGCCCCGAAAGGCAUCCCCUCUUUCGUCUUCAACAUUAUCGGUAUAUCUUACUUGGAGCUAUAUUUUUAUUCGUCACAUAAUAUGUGCUUUGCUUGUAUCGUCAUUAUAUUUUGUUAUUUUAUGUUAGGUGUUACUCAUAAUCUUGUUUUUCAAUAAAAAGCUUGAAAGGGCGUGGAUGUCGCCUAGAGGGGGGUGAAUAGGCGCUUUAAAAUAAUUACGGUUUAGGCUUGAACAAAUGCGGAAUAAAACUAACAUUUAAUUUAUCAAGCACAAAACCUAAAACAACUAGGCUCACCUAUGUGAACCAACAACUUAUGUUAAGCAAGAUAAACAACUAAGUGAUAGCAAGAUAUUUGACAAGAAACAAUAUGGCUAUCACAAAGUGCAUAAGUAAAGGGUUCGGGUAAGAAAUAACCAAGGCAUGCGGAGACGACGAUGUAUCCCGAAGUUCACACCCUUGCGGAUGCUAAUCUUCGUUUGGAGAGGUGCGGAGGCACAAUGCUCCCCAAGAUGCCACUAAGGCCACCGUCAUCUCCUAACGCCCUCGCACAAUGCAAGAUGUCGUGAUUCCACUAAGGGACCCUUGAGGGCGGUCACCGAACCCGUACAAACAAGGUUGGGGCAAUCUCCACAACUUAAUUGGAGGCUCCCAACAACACCACGAAGCUUCACCACAAUGUCAUAUGGCUUCGAGGUGACCACAAAUGCUCGGGGAAAUCUCCACAAGUUAAUUGGAGACCCCGACGCUUGCCCGGAGCUUUACACCACAAUGAUUGAGCUCUGAGGCACCACCAAGCUUCUAGGGGUACCAAGUACCCAAGGGUAAUAAGUUUUCUCAACUUCUCACUUUCACGUAUCACCAUGGAGAACUCAAACCAAUGCAACUAAUGCAAUGGCAAGAACACACGAAGUGGUCAAGUCCCUCACACUCAAAUCCCUCCACAACAACAAAAGUUGUGGAGAAAUAUCAGAGGAGGAACAAGGAGCUCACAAAGAACUCCAAGAUCAAGAUCCAAGGGGUUCCCCUCACAUAGAGGAGAAAGUGAUUGGUGGAGAUGUGGAUCUAGAUCUCCUCUCUCUUUUCCCUCAAGAACUAGUAAGAAUCAUUGGAGGGAUUGAGAGUUAGCAAGCUCUAAAAAGGUCAAUAAUGGGGAAGAACACGAGCUCAACAGAUGGAUUCGGUCCAAUGGGGAAGAAGACCCCCUUUAUAUAGUGGGGAAAAGAAUCCAACUGUUACCCCCACUCACACCCCGAGCGGAGCGGUACUAUCGCACGGUAGGAAAAAAAUUACUAUCGUGACUACCACCGCUGAGGUUGUAGAUGCAAAGAAAGUCCGAGGAAGCUUUACUACCGCCCGAGAUCGGUAGUAAAAAAACUACUACCGCUCUAGGAGCAGUACUACCGCUCGCACCAGGAGCGGUACUGCCGCUGGAUACUGAAACUGCCAUAACUUUCGCAUACGAACUCCGAAUCGAGCAAACUCAAGCUUGUUGAAUUCAGGACGGCAAGAGCUAUCGAACAGCGGUUAUGAAAAUUCCAAUUAUAUAGAUAUGUGAUACCUCUACGAAUGAAGAACCGGCAAAAAACUUCCAACGUCGAAAACAUCAUAGAAGAUGCAUAUGGACUCUGUUUUCGAUGAACUCGAGCAUGUCACGAAGAUGAACAUAAGCUCUAAAACUCACAAAGAGAAACACCAAACAAGAACCAAGAAAUAUGAUGCAAGGAUGCAAAUGGUUUGAGCUCUCAAUGAACGAUACGAUCAAGCUACUCACUUGAGAGCCCCCCUUGAUAAUACGACAAUCUAUCCUAAAAUAGAAAACCUAUCAAGGGCACCUAGUCCUGUUGAGCUAGAUGAUGAUGAUCUUUGCUUCCUCAAGAUGGACCACAUUUCUUGACUGUGUUGGUUUGAUGAAGACCGGUUGAUAGCCCCCCAUACUCACUAUGGGUGAGUGAUGUCUACGCACGCUUCUAUUCUUGUAGACUAUGUUGGGCCUCCAAGCGCAGAGGUUUGUAGGACAGCAGCAAUUUCCCUCAAGUGGAUGAACUAAGGUUUAUCAAACACAGGGAAGUAGAGGCUGAAGAUGGUUCUCUCAAGCAACCCUGCAACUAAGAUACAAGAAGUCUAUUGUGUCCCCAACACACCUAAUACAAUUGUCAGUUGUAUAGGUGCACUAGUUCGGCGAAGAGAUGUUAAAACGCAAGUGAUAUGGAUGGUAAAACAAGGUAUUGUAAAUCUGAAAUAAAAAUGGCAGCAAGAAAACAUGAAACAAAACUGGAAGUAAACGGUGUUCAGUGGUGGAAAACAAGGCCUAGGCUUCAUACUUUCACUAGGGACAACUCCCAACAACAUUAGCAUAGUCUAAUCACAUGAUAUUUCCACUAAAACAUGCAAUGGCGACAUACUCGGAGGUCAUUCCUUUGUGAUCAAGAGAGGACAAGAAUUAUGUAGGGCUACAAAAGCACACCUCAGAGUUCGUAGUUCUCAUCUAUGGAUUUCCCAAUGUCACCGCGGCCAUCCAAAGAGAGUACCACAAUCACCACAACUUAUCUCAAGGAUAGUCAAAGACAAGCACCAAGAGACUCUCAAUCUUCAAUCAAUUCACAAAAGAGAAAAUCACUCAUGAAAAUAUUCUUCUAAUCCAUGUCCAAUAGACCGCUGUCACCAUGGUCUCAAGGAUUAUACUAGAUAAGAUCAAGUGAGUACAUCAAUCCAAUACAUAGAAGAAGGGGAAACAUCAUGGGAUCACCCUAGGUUAACAUAACCUAUGAUCACAAUCAAGAUCACAUCAUGCGAGAGGGAAUUAACCACAUAGCUACACGUAGAGCCCUCAGCCCCGAGGGAGACUAGUCACACAUGGCCAUGGCGAGCAAGAGGUUGAUGGAAAGGUGCAGCCCGGAGGGGAGACGGCGGCCACGGCGGCGGCCACGACCCUUGGGGGUGGCGGCCCUUGGCCCCCUUCUUCCUUGGAGAUGGUGAUGGUAUGGAGGUGGUUCUCCACCCCAAGGCGGCUGCCUGGGAGGAGGAAAUCUUGUGGCUCUUGGUGGCUCUACAGGAAUUAGGUUUUUCCUCUCCUUAUAUGAGUCGCGACGAUCAUCCUUGGCCCUUCGAUGGAUGCCCAUUUGAUCCAAGGGCUCUUGGGCACCUCUAGAACCUUCCUAGGAACCCCUAUCAGCCCUAAUGAGGUCCCCAAGUCAUGGCUUGGGCGAAUCCAUCUAAUAUGGUAAGAGUUGGACUCAAUCACGUCACCGAUUCCCGUAAUCCUGUAAUCACAUAUUUGUCCUCCAGUAAAACGGGCUUUAUUGGAGCGUACAAACUCCAAAUGGGCCGAAUAUUAUGUCUAGAAUUAUUAGAAUAUAAUUCCCCACAACUUUUGCAUCUAUUAUUUUUCAUUUUACGUCAUCUUCGAGGCGGAAACAGACUAUCUCUAAAAACUGUAGGGGCAUAUUUCAGGAAAGUCAGAGUCCCACUCCAAUAAAGUUUCAUCUUCUGUUUUUGAUGGUUCCUACACACCAAAGUGUAAAACAAGAACAUUGUGCACUUUUGCAACUAUUAGUAGGUUAGUCCAAAUAAAUCAUAAACUUAAUAUAAAACAAUUCUCAAAAGCAUAAAAGUAGCAUGAAACCAUCAAAAAUUAUAGAUACGUUUUGGACGUAUGAGUGAGCCAUCGCUAUAUUGCUGAUGAUAACCACUUGAUGUCAUCCUUCAUAGGUUGAAUGGGAUCUUCCUCUUGACGCAAACCCAUGGAGACACACCUAACCCCACAUAGAACUCUCACGAAGACCAUGGGUUAGUACACAAAAGUGUUAUGGAUAAUGCUUACCAUACCAUGGGAUCACUUGAUCCCUCUCGGUACAUCUUGUACGCUUUGUGUGUUUAUCAUCUUGAUUUAUUCUUUGUCUUAGUCUUGAUCAAGCUUAUGUCUUUAUGACCAUUCUUUGGAUAAUACCUUGAAUACUACCUUGGUCAUCAUAUAAAGAAGUGAAUAUGGACAAAUCCUUAGAAUAUAACUCAAUGCAACCAUUAGUCCAUGGGAUUGUCAUUAAUUACCAAAACCACAUACAGAGAAAUAUGCUCUAACAAAGUUCCAAGAAUUGCCUUUAGGAUGCUUGCAUUGCAUGUUUGAUGUAUGCUGUGUAAAGACAGAGACUUUUAUUGUAGAGUUUGAAUUUUCAUAUUUUACUGGAACGUGGAAAGUUUCUGAAUUUUUUACACAGUGUUGUAAUAUAAAUUUUAUAGCAUUUCCUGAAUUUUCAUAAUUUUUUGAGUUACGAAAGUACACUGUUUUCAUAAAUUGCUACAGACCGUUCUGUUUGGACAGAUUGCUGUCAUAGUUUUGUUAUCUACUUAUCCUAUAGUUUCCAUAGCCUAUAUUGGUAGUUAUAAAUUGUGGAAAUAAUAGUAUACAUUACCCAAUUUUUGGAAAUUAUUGUGCAACUUGUCUUGGUAGUACAUGAAGUGUUGAUUUGUUCUUAUGUGUACUAACCUAUCUCACGAGUUCUUUUUGAGUUUUGUGUGGAUGAAGUUUUUGAGAAUAGGUGAAACCGGGAUAUGAGAAGAUUGAACAAGAUACAAAAGCUCAAGCUUGGGGAUGCCCAAGGCACCCCAAGUUAAUAUUUCAAGAACUCUCAAGCAUCUACUUGUAUCCUAUGAGUAAAUGGUUGAAUGAAUUGAAUAUCAUAAAUCUAAAAUUAUAUAUGUUUUUUAUGCUUAUCCCAUGUGGAGUAAUGACUUCACAUAUAAGAAGUAUAUGUGGUAAAAUUUAUUGAAAGAUAGCAAACACCGCAUUGGUCACUUGAACAAUUCACGAAAGAAUAUUGAAGGAAGAGAGAUUUCACAUAUAAAUUUACUAUCUUGGAAAUCUUCUAUGAUUGUGAAUACCCGUUAAUUAUUUUCAAACUUGAGCAAAUUAGUUGAAGAUUGGACAAGGAAGACAACGUAAUGAGUUAUGCUUGGGUAUAUUUGUAUAGAAGUUAUAUUGUUAUGGAUCCUCCAACAUGUGGUGCUUGCUUCCACCUCAUACUAGCCAAAACUUCCGCACCAAGUAGAAAUACUACUUGUGCAUUCAAAUACCCUUAAACCCAAAGUUGUUUGUCCAUAUGAAUCCACCAUACCUACCCAUAUGCGGUAUUUAUGUGUCGUUCCAAGUAAACUUGCAUGUGCCAAACUCUAAACCUUCAAAUAAUAUUCUGUUUUGUAUGCCCGAAUCGCUCAUGUAGUGACUAGGGGUUGUUAGUAUAUUCGAUGCUAGGUGGGUUAUUCUCACGAUAUGUGUUGAUUCACUAUCAUUCACGAGAAAGUGGCUGGUAUUCGGGAUGCCCAUUUCCAUGCUCCAAAUUCAAAUCAAAAUAUAAUGAAACAAAACUCCCCCAGGAUUGUUGUUUAUAUGGAUGGUACCCAUGGAUUCGGCUCGCCGUGGAGUGUGAUUGAUUGGUGGAGGGGGGGUAAAAAAAUUACCACUCUAUUUGGGAACCGCCUAUAAUGUAUCUAACAUGAAAGAUAUCGAGAUCCCUCGGUUGUUAUGUUGACAAUGAAAGCAUACCGCUCAAAAUUAUUAUUCAUCUCUGUUUUAAAAGCUUGAGCUUUGGCACCUCUGCAAAUCAAUGCUUCCCUCUGUGAAGGGCCUACUUUUAUUUUCUACCACUUACCUUUAUGCAAGAGUCAUGGUGAUCUUCACGACUUCCUAUAUUUCGCCUGUUUCUCUUGACAAGCAUCAUGUGGUGGGGAAAGAUCCAAGCAUAUAUGUCCAUUCAAAUAUAUUUGAUCGUGAAUUAUUAUUGUUGACAAUUAUAUAUAUUAUAAAUAAGUUGGGAGGCGAAACUUUAAGCCCAUAUCUUUCUCCGUGUUCGACGGAUGCCAUUUGCUCUUAAAAUAUGCUUUGAGUGUUAGCAAUCAUGGAAGACUAUAUGCUAGUUGAGUAUGUGGAAUUUGCUAAAUCAAAGCUCUUACAUAGACCCUUCCUGAAAAUAAGAUGAAUUGCAAUUGUUUGAUGACUAGGAUUAUGGUUUGUUAGUUUUCAAGAAACUUUUUGGUCUAUACUUUAACAUGUGAAUAGCUUGUUACUUGAUCAUGAGAAGUUUUAUGAGAUGAGCUAUUGUUUAUGGUUUAUAUUUAUGCUAGAAAAAGUGAUUGGAAGUAUCAUUUGUCAAACUUGUGCACUUGCUAGCAUUCACACUUCAUAAAUAUUUCUUUUAUCAUUUACCUACUCGAUGACGAGCAGGAAUUAAGCUUAGGGGUGUUGAUACGUUUCCGGCGUAUCUAUAAUUUAUGACGUAUUCAUGCCAUGUUUACAAUAAUUAUAUAUGAUUUUGGUAUGAUUUUAUUAGAACUAACCCGGAGUGACGCUGUUUUCAACAGAACUACCAUGCUAUCGUUUUUUGUGCACAAAUAGAAGUUCUCGGAAUGGGCUGAAAAUUUACGGUGAUUUUUAUGGACCAAAAGAGACCCCCGAAGCACCAGAGUUGGGCCAGGAAGUGGAUGAGGAAGCCACAAGCCUGCUGGGUGCGGCCACCCCCUAGGUCGUGCCCCCGUGGCUUGUGACUUCCUCGGGAACCUUCCGGACGUGAGACCGAUGCCAAAAAUUCCUAUAAAUACCAAAAAAACCCAGAAAGAAACCUAGAUCGGGAGUUCCGCCGCCGCAAGCCUCCAGAGCCACGAAAAACCAAUCUUGGCCCUAUCUUCACCGGAGGCCAUCUUCAUCAUCCCGGCGGUCUCCAUAAUCGCCAUGGAGGCCAAGGACCAGAGGGAGAACCUCUCCCCACUCAAGGGGGAGACCAUGGAGGAGGAAGCACAAGGGGGACCUUUCUCUCUCUCUCUCUCUCUCUCUCUCUCUCUCGAUGGCGCCGGAGUGCCAUCGGGAGAACCAUCGCCGUGGUGAUUGUCUUCAUCAACAACACCUUUUUCAUCACCAUCAUCAUCUCCUCUCAGCGGUCCACUCUCCCGCACCUCGUUGUAAUCCCCUACUUGUACAUGGUGCUUUAUGUCGCAUAUUAUGAUUCAAUGAUGUGUUGCCAUCCUAUUAUAUUUUGAGUAGAUUUCUUUUGUCCUUUGGGUUGAUUGAUGAUCUAGAUUGGUGUGAGUUGUAUAUUUAUUUUGGUGAUGUCCUAUGGUGCCUUCCGUGUCGCGCACACGUGAAGGAUUCCCGUUGUAGGGUGUUGCAAUGCGUUCAUGAUUCGCUUAUAGUGGGUUGCUUGAGUGACAGAAGCAUAAACCCGAGUAAGGGGGCUAUUGCGUAUGGGAUAAAUGGGACUUGAUACUUUAAUUGUAUGGUUGGGUUUUACCUUAAUGAUCUUUAGUAGUUGCGUAUGCUUACUAGAGUUUCAACCAUAAGUGCAUAUGAUCCAAGUAGAGAAAGUAUGUUAGAUUAUGCCCCUCCCUCAUAUAAAAUUGCUAUAAUGAUUACCGAUCUUGUUAACAAUUGCCUAGGACAAUUCCGCACACCGACCCAUCAUUAUUCCAUACUUGUUGUUUGUAAUAUAUUGUAAUAUAUUCUAACUUUAUGAUAACAACACCUAUUUUUAUAUUCUAGUUCUCUGUUAUCAUGCAAAGCUAUUCUCUUCAUACCACCAUGUAGUUUUAUUUCUCGUUUCUAGUUGGAAGCAAACGUCCGGUGUACGUAGAGUCGUAUCAUUGGCACAUAGGACUUGAGAGAAUAUUGAUGUUACCUUUAGCUCCUUAUAGGUUCGACACUCCAUACUUAUCACUUCCACCUUUGAAAAUUGCUAUGAUGAUUCCUUACACUUGGGGAUUAUCAGCCCAAGGGUGGCGCACCAUCCCCUAGUGGUCUGGUGGCCAGCCCAAGAGGGCCUAGGUCGGCUGAAGUGGGAGAAAAGGCAUGGAGAGGAGGCCAAUCCGAUUUGCCUUCCAAGUGGAGUUGGAGGAGGACUCCUCCCUCUCCCUCUUGCGUCGGUCGAAACCCUAGAGGUUUCCCUAGGGCGCCGCCCCCUCCCUCCCACCUAUAUAUAGUGGAGGUGAUAGAGGCUUUUGGCACUCAAGCAAAAGUGCAGCUCUCUCUCCCUCCACAACUUCGACACCCCGUAGCUAGAUUAGUCCGGCACGGCGAAGCCCUGCCGGAGUAGCUCCACCACCAUCACCGUUACGUCGUUGUGUUGCCGGAGAAUUCAGCUACCUCUUCACCCCUCUUGUUGGAUCAAGAAGGCGGAGAUCUUCACCGAGAUGUACAUGUGUUGAACGCAGAGGUGCCGUACGCUCGGUACUAAAUCGGAACGGAGUUCGUGGGACGGAUCGUGAUUGGAUCGCAAAGAUGUUCGACUACAUCAACCAUGUUUCUUAACUCUUCCCGCUUAGCGAUCUACAAGGGUAUGUGGAUCUGAUCUCCCCUCUUGUAGAUGAUCAUCACCAUGAUAGGUCUUUCGUGUGCGUAGGAAUUUUUUUGUUUCCCAUGCAACGUUCCCCAACAUCUCUCUCGUAGUAAUUCUCCAUCAUAGCAAUCGCGACAGCGCUUGGCGAAGCCCUGCUGAAAUUGCACCACCACCACCGUCACCACGCUGCCGUGCUGCCGGAGUACUCAACCUCUAGUUCAACAUCGCUCUCUGGAUCAAGGAGGUGAAGGCAUCAUCGAGCUGUACGUGUGCCGAAAGCGAGGUGUCGUAUGUUCGGAAGACGUUCCACUACAUCAACCGCGUUCUUUAACACUUCCGCUUAGCGAUUUACAAGGGUAUGUAGAUGCAAUCUCUCCUCUUGUAGAUGGUCAUCUCCUAGAUUGUUCUUGGUGAAGCGUAGGAUUUUUUCCCAUGCAACGUUUCCCCAACAAGGAGGUAUAAUUGUUGUUCCUAACGACAAAAAUGAACUUAUCCUACAAAGAAUUGUAACUGGUUGUAGGAUGGUAAUUGAUUUCAGGAAAUUAAAUAAAGCUACUAAAAAAGAUCAUUACCCCUUGACUUUUAUUGAUCAAAUUUUAAAAAUAUUAUCUAAGCAUACACAUUUUUGUUUUCUUAAUGGAUAUUCUGGUUUCUCUCGAAUACCUCUGUCAAAAGAAGAUCGAGAGAAACCUAUCUUUACUUGUGUGUUUGGAACUUAUGCUUAUAGAUGUAAUGCACCUGCUACCUUUUAAAGGUGUAUAGCUGCUAUAUUGUGUGACUUUUAUGAAAAGAUUAUUAAGGUAUUCAUGGAUAAUUUUUCCAAUUAUGAGACGUCUUUUGAUGAUUGCUUAGGCAACCUUGUUCGAGUUUUGCAAAGACGUGAAAAAACUAAUCUUGUCUUAAAUAGGAAAGUGUCCCUUUAAGGUGAAUGAAGGUAUAAUACUGAUGCCCCAUAAGUAUAGGGGAUCAACUGUAGUCAUUUCGAUAAGUAGAUGUAUAUACACCCAUAGAACAAAAGUUCCCCUCCAUAUGAGGAGCCGCAUGUUUAGCUCUAUUGAGGUUUAAAGUUAUCGCGAAAAACACAACUUUUCCCACGUACUUCUCAUGUCAUGAGGCAACUCGCCGGAUUAAAAUGUAGCCGAACCGCACACGUCUGACAUCGCCUCACAUAACUUAAUUUAUUUUGGAAAUUUCCAUAUACUUGUAUUGGGGUCAUGUUGAUGUACAUGCUAUUCUUGGGAUCAUAUUGAUGUACCGGUAAUUUAUCUCUGAGCCUGGGCUCGUAUAAACCCGGUGAACAGUACCAUGUUUUAGACUACCAAAAAUGUUUUAAAAAGUCCAAUUUUUUUCAUGAUGCAAGAUCCUCUUAUGUGUGAACUCCCUGCAAAACUUUAUGAAAUUUGAACAUUCAAGAAACUCACGGCAAAAAAGACAAAAUCAGGCAUGAAUAGUGCACUUUUCAAAUGUUUCUCACACAUCUGAAACUUGUCUUUUUUGCCGUGAGCUCCUCAAAUGUCGAAACUACACAAAAAUUUGCAAGCAGUUCACACAUAGGAGCAUCUUACACCAUAAAAAAAUUGAACUUUUUUGAAUACUUUUUGUACCUCAGAACAGGGUACUGUUCAUGCACGAGCUCAGAUGAGCCUGGGAGCCAAAUUGCCGUGUUUCUACUUCCUCCCCUCUCUCUCUCCCCUUGUAUUAUCUCGGAUUAUAAACGGAAUUGAAGAUUUUAGAGAGAGAAAAGACAAGCUAAUUGCAAGACCAUCAUAGAAUGCAUGUUCCAUCAAUACCGAGAUCGUCCAUGACGCCACUCUACUAUGCAUCUGAUAUGGUAUGAACAAACCUUAGCAGCUAACUUUCUAAACACCAUUUUUUUUCAGAUUAAGAUGGAUCAGGAGGAGAAUGCAUGGCGGACCUUGUUCUCAAGGAACGAAACCAACUCAAGGGUGGUGGCACCGAGCCUCGACGACAGCAGGCAGCGAGGUCGCAGCCGCGUGCAAACGAUACAUGCCGGGUCUGAAGGUGGGCAUAGAAAGAGCAUUGGUAUCCUCGUCUGCUUAGACGUGAUGAUCAACUGCCAAAAUUAUACCACAUCACACGAAUAUGUAGCAGCAAACUUCCCCAGUGACAGUACGGCAUGUAUUUUGAGCACUGGUAUCCGGUGACAAAAUUGAAUAUACACCUCAACUAGGAUGAACGCGGAUGUAUGUAUUACUCUUUCAUCCAAAACGCAAGCACGGACACCGCCUUGGCCUGCUUGUGUUGCUGGCGAUGGCGAGGGGACCGUCGAGAGAAGACUCACUUCUUUUCCGCUGCUUUAUGGUCUGGAAUCUUCAGCAUGCCACCGUCGAUGAGCGGCUGCACCUCGGAUUUCGCAAGAUCCUUCACCUUGGAAUCUGGAGAUUCCAGAUAGGCAGCCACCACCUUGGAGCUGCAGCAACGAUCAACAAGUUCAGAAGAGUAUCAGCGCAUGAUUCCCCUUUUAUUUCCUUCAAAAUACCACCUCAGCAGUGCAAUGUAGUACGUAAAUUGCAACAAAUAGUUGAAAUUGUAUUCGUCGCAUUUGCAUGGUCCACAAAUUUGAUGAACAGAUUAAACAACUGGCAUAUCGAUGAGGAAUCAUUUUGAGGUACCUGAAUCCAUCUGCAAAUGACUUGGACUUCCCUUUGAGGGCUUUUUCCCAUAGGGUAGCGGCAAACGCAGGGCAAUCAAGUACCAUCUUUCUGAUUACGCGGCUCGAGUGGUAGUUAUCAAAGGCAUGCUCAACAUCCUCUGUCCUCGGCCGUGCUGCGUCAGAAGCUAUAGCAUUGUGAAGCACGUGGAUCCUGUCGGUGACCCCCUCCAAGACAUUAUUUUUUCCACCUAUAGCAACCUUGGAAAAUGGCAAUACAGAAUCUCAGUAGGUGCAGUCAUGACGCUCUUCAAUGGUCAUUUACUCAUUUGUGUCAAGAGACAGACCAAGAAAACAGUAGGUAGGUUCGUGUGUAGACUGGAGUGCCAUUUUCUUUUACAGGAGGUUGAUUCAUCAUCAUUAAGGAAAAGUGAAUAAAAGUAAUACUAAGCACAGGCCUAGGGACCAACGCAUCCCAGAGAAAAGGUUCCAUCAACUCAUAAGAAUAUUUCCACAUUGUUGAAUAAUAAUCAGGAAAAAUGCUCGUCUCUUGUGAAGGUCAUGCAAGUAAAAUCAUAGCACUAUUUAUCACAAGUAGUCCCUUUCACAAAGAAAUGUCAUAGAUGAAUGAAUAUUAUCGCAAGAUACUGGCUAUAGAGGUACAGGUAGAAGCGUAGAGCAUGGACUAAGGGAUUACCUCAUAUAAUACAUCUUUGCCAAAGUUUGCUCGAAGUAACUCUCCAACAUUUUCAAUGCAAGUCUCAAUGAGAACCUGCAAAGGAAAAAAGAAAACCUACAUUAGGACUAGGGGUACGUGACUAUGGGACCAUAGUAAUGUCAGGAUCAGGGUGUCAUGUGACUAAUGAGGGCGUAGUAAUGUUGCGACUAGGUGUUCUUUCACAAAUAAUCACCCUAAAAUCAUAGUACUAGUGCAAGAAUAAAUGUAGAUCUCUUGAGGGGGGACACUACAUGCUCAAAAAGAAAUGCCAUUGAAUAAAUAAAUAAAUAAGUUAAAUACAUGUUAAGAGUAUCACCUCGAAAAGUUCGCUUUUCACCAACAGUUCUUGCCUCCGUUUAAACGGGUCCUUCUUGCUAUCAGAUGCAACCAGUGUGUCUUCUGAACCCCCAUGUUCUUUUUCAGCUACAUCAUCCAACUUACUAUCCAAGUUAACUUUAGCAGCACCCUCUGAUGCCUCAUCCUGAAACAAAAAAAAGCAAAUUUCUGGGGGCUAUCUCUCUUCAGAGUACUUAACAGUUAAUAGGGUAGGUAACUUGCCUUUGAAAUAAGGGAAGGCACACUGUACUUCAGACAACUCAAAUCAGUCGGAGUCAGAUAACGUGAGCAAAGUGGGUGAAGUAGCUGCAGCAAUGGGCGUCUCCCGUUCUGUUCCAGCAAGGAGCUCCAUCAUAAAGUCUCAUGUACGUGUAACAAACAAAUAAAAAUAAGCAUAUCAGAAGCUCGUUAUUGCUUUUACCUUGUCAAAUAUGAGUUCCUUUAACUGUUUUGUCAGCUCUUCAAUUACAACCUACAAAUAAUGAAAGUAAGCUAUAAGCAUUGUCUCUUCAGAUUGCUUGUAAUGGCAGCAUAACACUUGCUUCAAGCAAAUGAUUGGUGCUGGCUAACCUUAGUAAGAAGUUUUGUGUCAUCAACAAUGGAGAGAAGACAAGCAAGGAACUGGAGAAAAAAAGAUAUGUUAGUUUAGUUGAUGAUUGAUCACUUGGAAGCAUAAAACCAUCUGAAAUUACUGUGGAUUGGGAGAAUGUUUUUGAACGUUAAAGCAUAAAAUUCACACAGUAAAACCCUAUUUGAAUACUAAAAUAUACUAUUAGAAAUAUAGACACCACUUACAAGGCAUCCAUAAUCACUGAGAGCAAGCUUCAUAACCUGACCCUUCAAGCUUUUGAUAAUUUUCUUCCUAUCCUGAAAUGCAUUACCAAGUUAAAUGAUAAAACCACACUGGAAAUAAGCAAGAAUAAAAAGAAGUACUACUGAACAUGCAGCAUGAGGCACUAACUAACGUACGGUUCUUCCCGAAAAAACAAAAAAACAAAAAACUAACACACGGUUCAAUUUGCAUGACUGUUUAGUGUCUAAAAUCAACAGAGGUUAAUAAAUAAACAUUGGAUAAAGCAGAUGAGUUGGCAAAGUUAAAAAAAGUGAUCACUCUGAAAUCUGUCUUUCUAGAUACAAAUAAGAAAACAGAAAGACAAAAAAAAGACAAUGUACCUUCGCACUGCCAUGCUUGAGGCAAGCAAGCCCUAAUUUUAAUCCUUCCCUGGUCUGCAUGAUACGAAUGAGAAGUGGUUCUGAAGAUCUUUUCUUCUUAGCUUUUGAUUUUGUUGGUACUUCAGCGACACCUGAUAGUUCAUCUCCAUCUACGACAGAUGACCCUUGAGUAAGAUGGGGAAUUAACUGACGAAUCACGUCCGAGGCUGAUGUCUACGAAACACAUGCAUAUAUUAGAUAGUGCAAUAAGCUGAAGAAAUAUUUCAUCAAAAAAGGAGAGCUUUGUUGUAAAGAUAGGCCAAUCGCGUCAAUAAAAUACAUUUACCUUGUCCGCAAUUGUUAAGUACUCCAAUAUGACCGUGUGUACUAUGGAAUACUCAACAAUACCUUUUUCCAAAACUGGCUGGAUAACAGUAGUCAUAUACUGCAGGACAGAUGAUUUCUGUAGUCCAAGCUUAGAAAUUGUUUCUAACAAACUGAAAAAGAAAGUUGAAUUUUAGGAUAUUGAACUAAAUAAGUAACUGCAGCCACCUAUGUCAGGAUAAGUGAAUGACUACAAUAAUAUUUCCGUCCGCCCAAGUUAAAGUUUUGUACAGAGAAGUAACAAAAGUUAAGGGGACACUACAAAGCAGAUGUAUGACAAGACAUUAUAGCGUGCCAACCUGCAUGAUUUUUGUUCAGUCAAGUCCUUGAACAGCUGAAGCUCGGUGGAGUACAAUUCCAACAACAAACUUCUUUUCUGAGGCGGUGUCGCCUGAUGAAAGGUGCAAUCAACAACUGCGAAAAAGAGUGCAUCUCAAUGUAAGAUUUCCAUGUACCCCUUUACUUGUAUAGCAAAUAGAAACGCAUGUGUACAAUGGCAUUCAACCAUUAACUCCUGCUGCUCCUAUACACGACAAGUUCCUAUCCCUUAUGACAAUAACACAUAGCAACACAUACCUGCAGCUCCUAUUGUGUGACGAAGUAGAGAAGCGACAUGACCAUGAAGGGAAGAGAUGAACAAGGCAAGCUGUUUUUUAGUGGCUGCAGUCACAAACAAGAGGUAUGUUAGUGAAGCUAUAAGGGUUAUCAUAUAUGAACUCAUACGAGUUUUUAGCGAAUUGUAGAGAACUUUACCAAGUUUUAUGAGCUUCUUCACAAGAAAAACAGCGUAUUUCUUGCGAGAGAAAUGGAGCAAAUGUGGCUGCAGGGCAACAAAAACAGCAUCCCUCUCUGGCUGUGAGCACCACUUCACACAUGUCUGAAAAAGGAAUGGCGACUAUCAGAAUAAGGACGAAAACACCAUAAGAAGCGCGUUCAUAAAGAGUGAAUAUCGUCAGCUUACCUGAAGAACACGUGCGGUUACAUGGGAUCCAGCAAUUUCAAAAUAUUUGCCAUCCAUUUUACGGAGAGCCUCAGUCACUAGCCUGUAGAGAUGACAAACGCAUCGGCAUAAGAAGUUGACCAUAAGUUGCAACUCACAAGACUUUAAUAGUGACGCUUACUUGGAUCUAUUCUCCUUGCUCACAUCACGGCAUCUCAUCUUUUCCCAUAGUACUGCCAGUUCCUGUCGAUAUUAGGUGUCGGCGGCACACCAAAUUAGAGUUGGCCAGAGUAUGGUUAACUGAAUCAUCAUAUACAGAGUGGUGGUUGAAGCAGGCACUGCUACUAUUUAUUACUGGGAUAAAAGUCAGUUUUUGCUUCAUUGUCAAAAUUAAGUAAUGCUACCAGCAGAAUUCAAGUCCAAAAGUAAAAAUCAAGAAUAUGUAAUACUCAGAGGUCAAUUAUUUUGGUUUAGGCUACAAGCAGCAUUACAUGAUUGUUUAUUAUGUAUGCAGCAAGUGUAAUCUGAAGAUUGAACAUACAAGGAAACGUGAUCAUAAUGGGAGCAUACGGUACAAAACAAAAAUUACCUUUUCGAGGUUGUAAUUGGGCUUCCUCUUCAUCUUCCUCGACUCGGACAUUUCCUGCCACAAUCGACACCAUUCCACAGCUUCAGCACAAGCACAAGCAGGACCAAAGCGCAAGCUCUCCAAACGAGCUAAACAAGGAAGGGGCACCGAUGGAAUACCUUGGCGGCGACCCGCUUGCCCUUGGCGGUGACGGGCUGCGGCUUGGCCUUGGCGGCAGGGGCGUCAUGGGUUUUCUUCCGCUUGGUGGCGUCGCCGCCUCCCUUGGACGGCGCCUUGGGCCUCCCCGCGGCCUCGCGCUUCCGCUUGUUGGCGCCCGGGUGGUCACCACCUCCGGCCAUGGGAACACGAGGCGGCGUCGGCGAACGGGGGAGGAUGAACGAGGGUUUACUGGUCGCAGCACCGGAGGAGGAUGCCCAGAUAGGUUCGUUCUAGUCUAGGGGGCAGUUCUUUUCACCUCACGAUUCUCCAGAAUCUGAUUCUGGGAAACUGCCCACAGAAUCAGCUGUCCAGUUCUUUUCUGUGAUUCUAGCAUGUGAUUAUUGUAUGAGUUGUGUGCUGAAAUGUCUGUAACGCCCCUAGAUUGAACUGAGUGCUGAAUUACUAAUACUUGGUUAUUUCUGAUAGUUUCAUGUCUAAUAUGAACACGAAAGCUAGUUGCAAAUUUAAUAUGAAUUUAGUAAGCAAAUUUGCUUGUCCUACAUCCGACAAACUGGUGUUUCCAGGGGCGCGGUUAUUUGCUCGCACCUCUUCUACGCACACAUCCAUAUAAAUGGAAUGAUACGCACUAUCCCAAAUUGCUUUAGGAUGCUUCACUUUCUCCAUCUAAAACAUCCAUAUGUGAACGUUUUAAUGUACACAAUUUUUUUCAUUGCUAAACAGAGUUAAAAAAGAGUUUGUAUUUUUUUCAUUGCUAAACAGAGUGUAUUUUUUCAUUGCUGACCAAAUUGCAUAUGUGUGUACUACAUGUGUGUACUAUCGCGAGCAGCAUCAGCCAAGCAGCAGCAGCAGCAGGAGCGAAGCAGAGCACCAGCAGCCAGGUGGAGCGUCCGUAGCCAUCCUAGAGAUGUAGGGGAGAGAGAAGCUCACCAGCAGAGGCAGGAGUUGCUGGAGCUCUUGAUGAUGGCGGCGGGCUGGACGGGGCGGCCGCGCGCGCAGGUGUUGGCCGACGGGACGGGGCGUAGGGGGUGGCGGGGAAGGAGACGGGGCGGCUGGCCGCACAGUUCUCCGGGAUGGCGGCGGACGGUCGGGGUCGCCGGCUUGUAGCGGAUCUGACGCCGCCGCGGCGGGGUCGAAGGCUGGCGGCACUGAACCCUAGCUGGGGACGAAACGAGCGAGCGGGCUAUGGUGCCUGCAAAUUUUCGUGUUUUGACCCCAGAUCUGACCCCGAUUUUAAAAUUUUGAGAUUUAUUAAUUUUUUUGCCGUCAGGGUUCACGACGGUUGAGUAUACGAGCCUAUCGCCGAGAUUCUUGACGGUAAAAAACUUAUUUAUAUCAAUGGGGCGCAUCUUUAUCGUCAAACAAAUUAGUAGCAGAAUGUACAACCCUACUAUCCGAAGAUAGGUGCGAGCAUGUACUGUAUACAAUACUUAAAAAAUAAAAAUACGAUAGGACAUGCUAACCUAUCGUUAAGGGUCUCGACGAUAGGUUGUUAUACCCUAUCGUCAUGGACCCUGAUGGUAGGAAAAGGAUCAAGUCCCAAAAUUUUACAAACAAGGAUCAGAUCUUGCUCAACUUUUAUGAAAGGAUCAAAACAUGAAAAUUAGCCUCUCGUGGCUCUAUGCAUCUGUCAUUUUGGGCCCCUAUUUCCAAUUGCUCUGAGUUCGGACAUUUUGAGGGUAAAUAACUCGUUUAAUAUGGGUAGAACAUUAAAACCAAAUGUUUUCUUUCGAGGGGCUCGGCAUAAUCGUGAGAAUCGCCAACAUUCUCUGAUUUUCAUUUGCACUACUAUUCUUGUGAUUUCCAGAUAAUUUUAAAGAAGAAAAUCAAAUUCCUUUGCGAUUGUUGAUUCUCUCAACGCGAUUGUUGAGAAUCACCUCAAAAGAACUGGCCCUAGGAUUUAUCGCCUGCCAAUACCAGUCUGUCACCCAACAACGUAUGAGGUGGGUCGCACAAUGGGCUUGUGACAGUUCCAUUCGGCCUAAGUUACGUAACUCGGCUCGUCAUUCGGCAACCUCUUGUAGACGAUCGGCCUACAGGAUCGUGUCUGACCCGACAAAGCGUGAGAGGGUUGUUUGGUCAAUCCACCGCGGGGGUGAGGGAGCGCGCGCAAGGGUUUUCAUUUUCCCCAAUUUCCCAUCAUGGAGGUCGUUGAACACGCCAACAAAUGGGCGAACGACGGGCAGGCGCGUGAGACGUUGACGCGUGGGCGACCGCGAGGCGGGGUGGCCUCAGUCGGUGCGAGGUGCGAGAUCUGACCUUGGUUUGGAAAAAAAAUCUAAAUAUCGAAUAUAGUGUGUGUUUUGACCCUUGUUUGAAAAAAAAUCUAAGUAUCAGAUACAAUGCGUGUUCUGACCCUAGUUUUCUAAGUAUUGGAUUCUUCAAAUAUUCUAAGGGUCAACUACUGUAAAAAUAUAUAUAUACGAUAAUCGACCCUUUUACCUUACUGUCAAAACACGCAUUGUAUGUGAUACUUAAAGGUGUGAGAUCUCGCUCAACUAUUGUAAAAUGGUCAAAACAACCUCGACGGUAGGCUGGUAUACCCUACCUUCAUGGACCCUGGUGGUAGGAAAAGGGUCAGAUCCCAAAAAAAUCAAACUCGGGUCAGAUCUGGCUUAACUUUUGGAAAAGGGUCCGAACACAAAAAAUUGGCCCGCGUUGUGUGGGGCGCCUCUUUUUGAGCACUUGUGGUGUCGACGUGCGAGCGAUCCGGCGUGGUGCGGCCGUUCAUGUGGUCGCGCUGGCGUGCUCUGACCGCACACGCGUGUAAGAGCAGUGGAGGAGUGGGAUGGAAACCCUGAAUGGAAUGUGAGGGCAUCGCGCUAUCGCUGGAUGGGAGGGAUUGGUUGGUUGGAGAUCUCGCGGAUAUCUCGUCGUACGUGGUCGGGAUGCAAUCUGAUAGGCGGGCCUUCUCAGGGUCUUGAGAAAUGUUAAUUUGCAUUGAUUGCAAUCGGGGUGCUGGAUUCUGUGGCGCAAACAAAAAAAUGGCCCGGAAGAAAGGAAUCAGUCUCUUCAGUCCAGCUCACCCUAUUAUCAUUAACAUAUUGUCAUUAAUGAAACUAUUUUGACCUUGAAGCAUGUUAUGCAAAGGCUUGAUAUAAUUGAAAAUAAAAUUUCCACUAAAUAACAAAUUGAGGAGUUGGAUAAAAUAUUCAUACUAAUAUCACUCAAUUUGGAUCAAAGGUAGGAUUUACUUUGAAAGCAUUAAAGGAGAAAGAUACAAUUAUUAAUGAGCGCGUAGAGCAAGAUUUGAGUAUUUUAUAUAAUGGAGGAAGUCACUGAUAAAGUGGGUUAUGCUUCCACACCCUCUAAAAUUAAUGCUAUUACCUCUCAAAGAAAAAUUCCAAGGUUAUGUAUGUCCCUAAGAACACUAGUAUCACUCCUAUCAAAAGAAAGAAGGAUAUUAAAAUGAUUAGUGUGCAUCCCAAUUUUAUAAACAUGAUAAGAGACCCUAUCUUCAAGCCUCCUAUUUUUUCUAAGAAGCAUGGUUGUGUGAUUGAGGAGUUUGACAAGAAUACAACACUUGAAACUAUGCAUUAUGAAUAACUAGGGGCGUAAAACGAUAGCGCUUGUUAAGAAGCAACCCAAGAGUCAUCUUAAUUUUAUUGUUCUAUUUUCUGUUUUGUGUGAGGUAACAUGAUUAUUGAUACUGUAAUUAUUGUGUUUUUAUGUUUAAAUUAGUGUUUGUGUUAAGUAAAGCCUUUUGGAUGAUUUGAAUGAUAAGUAGAAUUGAAACGGUGCAAAAACAGAAACUUUUGCGUCUAGUGCAGAAUUUCUCUAAUUUUACUGGAACAUCUUUUUGAUAUGAAUUUUUUACACAAUAUUGGUAUACAAAUUUUGCAGGUUUUCUUGACUUUUCAGAAUUACAGGAGUUAUAGAAGUAGGUUGUCUUUGGUGAUCACUACAGACUGUUCUGUUUUAGACAGAUUCUAUUUUUACUUGCAUAGUUUGCUUGUUUUGAUGAUGCUAUUGAUUAUAUCGAGGGGUAUAAUUCAUGGAGAAGUUAUAAUACAAUACCUUAUGCAAUAAUAAAAUAUGAAUCAAUUUAUAAUAGCACCCAAUGUUUAUGGUUCGCCUAUCCUACUAACAGAUCUCACGAGAUUUCUGUUGAGUUUUGUGUGGUGAAAUUUUCAAGUUUUGGGUGUUAUCACGAUGGACGGAGGAAUAAGGAGCGAAAAAGAGACUAAGCUUGGGGAUGCGCAAGUAACCACGAGUUAAAUUCUAGGAAGACUCAAGCGUCUAAGCUUGAGGAUGCCCCGGAAGGCAUCCCCUCUUUCGUCUCAAUCAAUCGACAUGUCACUUGAAGAUAUAUUUUUAUUCAUCAUAUGAUAUGAGUUUUGCUUGGAGCGUCGUUUAUUAUAGUUUGCUUUUGUUUUAAUUUCCCACAAUCAUUGUUUACUGGACACACCCACUUGAUAUAGACACAUGUUCAACAUGAUUUGUUAGAAUACUCUAUGUGUUUCACUUAUAUCUUUUGAGCUAAGCAGUUGCUCUAGCACUUCACUUAUAUUUUGUAGAGCACAGUGGCGUAUAGAUUUCUAGAAAUCAUUGCACUCUCGUUCUUCACUUAAACAUGUUUGAGAGUUAAUAAAUAGUGACGAUAAUUAAUAUGUGUUGUAAGACUAGUUAAAAAAUAAUAGGUAUUCAAGGAGUGCAUAAUCAAAUCCUUCAUGUAGCACAUAAAAGAGAAUUUGUGAGUUAAUGAUAUUGAUAUGCUAAUAUGAAAAGGGCGUGAGUGCAUGGUUGUUGGUUAGUAAAUAUAUCGAUAGUUAAAGGGUGUUAAUUUUUUUUGUUCAUCUAAAUAUUGGCUAUGGCAUGGUGAUGAUGUGUGAGCAUUCUUAUUCCUCAUUGAAAUCCUAGUGUUGUUUAGGUCGGGGGCGCGCGAUGGAUAACUCCUACCAACCUCCUCCCUAGGGGCAUGUGAGUAGUACUUUGCUUAGAGAAAUCUAAUAAAAUAUUGUGAUAAGUAUACGAGUUCUUAUGGCUAACGUGAAUCCAUGGAUCUACGGCAUCUCACCUCCUCAUGUUUGCUAGCCUCUUCGAUAUCAUGCGUUCUCACUCUCACCUCAAGGAUCGGUGCAAACUUCGGCCGUGCAUCCAAAUCCAACGACAUGAUACACUAUGUUGCACAUAAGACACCUUAUAUCUUCCUCAAAACAGUCACCAUACCUACUUAUCAUGACAUUUCCAUAUCCAUUCCGAGAUAUAUUGCCAUGCAACUUCCACCAUUACAUCAUAUGACUAGUACACUCAUUGUCAUAUUGCAUUGCAUGAUCAUGCAGCUGACAUAGUAUUUGUGACAAAGCCACCGUUCAUCAUUGUUAUAAAUGUUACGCUAGACCAUUGCACGUAUUGGUACACUGUCAGAGGCAUUCGUAUAGUCAUAUUGUUUAGUAGUUUUUUAUUGAGUUGUAAGUAAAUAGAAGUGUGACGCUUUUCAUUAUUAGGGCACUUUCUAAGUGAGGAAAGGAUGAUGGACACUAUGAAUCCCCACAAGUCGAGAUGAGACUCCGGACAAAAAAUAAAAUGAAAAAAUGAAAAAAAAAANNNNNNNNNNAGGAAAAAAUAAAUAAGACAAAAGAGAAGGGACAAUGCUACUACCUCUUUUUCCACGCUUGUGCUUCAAAGUAGCACCAUGUUUUUCAUAUAGAGUCUCAUGUAUUUGUCACUUUAAUAUGCUAGUGAGGUUUUUUCAUUAUAGAAAUUGACUUGUGUAUUCCGAUGACAGGCUUCCUCAAAUACCCGAGGUCUUCAUGAGCAAGCAAGUUGGAUGCACACCUACUCAAAUUCAGUUGAGCUUUCAUACACUUAUAGCUCUAGUGCAUCCUUUGCAUGGCAAUCCCUAUUCCACACAUUGAUAUUGACUGAUGGAUGUACCCAUAGCCCGUUGGUCCACCUAGUUGAGGCGAGACUUUCUUCUCCAUGUUUACCCCUUUGAAAACUACCACCAUAUUCUAUUCCACCUAUAUGCUAUGUCCAUGGUUCACACUCGUGUAUUGAGUGAGUAAUAAAAAGCCGAAGCACGUUAAGAAGUAUGACCCAAUUGCUUGGCUUAACACCGUGGUGCUUGAAAUUUAUAUUUAUGUGGUAAAGACGGAGCCAUGCCAUGCUAAUAUGUUAAAAUGAAUGGGGGUUAAACAAUCUUUAAAGAUCAUAUAUUUUGAAAAUUGAUGAUUAUGUUACCUAUGUUCAUGGAUAUUACUAUGUUGUUGUUUGUUAAUUCAUCAUUUCUCAAUGACAAUAUGUGCAAGAGAUUACAUGUUGGGUAGCAUGUCACAUCAAAAUUUAUGUUUUUAUCAUUUACCUACUCGAGGAUGAGCAUGAAUUAAGUUUGGGUUUAUGUUAAUACUACUCAUGAGAUUAUAUUGAGUUCCUUGCUGGUCUAUGCAUAUAUAUGCAUGAUUAUGAUAGCUUCAUAAUUCUUUCUGAUCUAUUGAUUUGGUUUGGCGGAUUGAUUUAUCUUCAGCGGGAGAGGUGCGUUGUAGUGGGUUAAGUCUUGCGGUGAUCAAUCCCACUGAUAGAAAGGGACAUGACACACAUUGUAUUACUGCCACUAAGGGUAAAACAAUGGAGUUGAUUCAUGUUAAUUGGAUUUGCUUUGUCUACAUCAUGUCAUUGUUCUCCAAGCAUUACUUUUUCCACUUAAUACUCUAGAUGCAUGUUGGAUAGCGGUCGAUGGGUGGAGUAAUAGUAGUAGAUGGCAGCAGUCGGUCUACUUGCUUACGUACAUGACGCCUACAUGUAAUGGUCAUUGCCAUGAAUAAAUAUUUCAUAAUUAACUACUUUUCUAUCAAUUGCCCAACAGUAAUUCGUAUACCCACCGUAUACUUUCUACGUGAGAGAAGUCUCUAGCGGAAACUUUGGCCCCCAGGUCUAUUCACAUAUGUAAAUACAAAAAAUACAAAAUCACUUGUUAUUCUUAUUUUCUUUCUAUUUAUUUUUCAUUUAUAUUUAUCAAACUAUCCAACCAUGCUACUUAUUACUUGCAAGUAACGAGUUCAAGGGGAUUGACAACCCUCCUACCAGUGUUGGGUGCAAGUGUGUGUGCUCUUUUGAGUGCGGGUGCUGAAGACGGGAAAUUUCAUGGUCCUCCUAUUGGUUCGAUAACCUUGGUUCUCGCUGAGGGAAAAGCCUACGUCUUGAUUUGUGUGUAUUGAUGAUGAUGAUCUCAAUUACAAGGGUGCGGAAUCGCUACCUCUAGUCUCGAGGGUUUCUAAUAUGUCUAUCUCUAAUGGUUUGUCUUGUCCAGACUUAAAUUGUUCCCCUUGGGGUGCCUUGCCACUCCCUGUAUAAGUUGAAGGGGUAGGCUUACAUAGAGUCCUACUAGGACUAGGAUUAGUCUCUCUUGAAUCCUAAUCCGGGUCUUGCUUCUCUUGUGAGGGAAUGUUUCCUCUUCCUAGGCCUUCUCUAUGAGCCAACCCUCCAGGCCUCUCCAAGAGUUGCCUUUCACCGGCUUGCACACUGGGCCUUAGUCCUUGUCGUCUAGGUCGACCCAGCGAGCAAGGUGACGUAUGAGCCACCAACCUCCUGGCUGGUUCAAAUCGUGGGGUAUAUCCUCAAGAGAGGGUCUCUACAUCAUCCCCGCUUCUCCAAUGGUGAUGUGUGAGUAAUUGACCACAAACCUGUUGGAAACAUGCCCUAGAGACAAUAAUAAAUUGCUUAUUAUUAUAUUUCCUUGUUCAUAAUAAUCGUUUAUUAUCCAUGCUAGAAUUAUAUUGAUUGGAAACUCAAAUACAUGUGUUCAUGCAUAGACAACAUACUGUCCCUAGUGAGCCUCUAGUCGACUAGCUCAUUGAUCAAAGAUGGUCAAGGUUUCAUGGCCAUAAACAAGUGUUGUCACUUGAUAACGAGAUCAAAUCAUUAGGAUAAUGAUGUGAUGGACAAGACCCACACUAUGAACGUACCAUAUGAUCGUGUCAGUUUAUUGCUAAUGUUUUCUGCAUGUCAAUGUAUCUGUUCCUAUGACCAUGAGAUCAUGCAACUCCCGGACACCGGAGGAAUACCUUGUGUGUAUCAAACGUCGCAACGUAACUGGGUGACUAUAAAGGUGAUCUACAGGUAUCUCCGAAGGUGUCUGUUGGGUUAGCGUGGAUCAAGACUGGGAUUUGACACUUCGUGUGACGGAGAGGUAUCUUGGGGCCCACUUGGUCAUACAACAUCACAAUGAGCCUCGAACGAAAUGUGACUAAGGAGUUAGUCAUGGGUUCUUGUAUUGCAUAACAAGUAAAGAGACUUGCGAGUAACGAGAUUGGACUAGUUAUAGAGACACCGACAAUCGAAUCUCGGGCAAGUAACAUAUCGAUGGACAAAGGGAACAACGUACGUGAUUAACUGAAUCCUUGACAUAGAGGUUCAACCGAUAAAGAUCUUCAUAGAAUAUGUAGGAGCCAAUAUGAGAAUCCACGUCCAGCUAUUGGUUAUGGACCGAAGAAUGUCUCAGGUCAUUUCUACAUAGGUCUCGAAACCGCAGGGCGUGCACCCUUAAGGUUAGGUGACAUUUCAGUAUUAUUGAAUUAUGUGUGUUGGUAACCGAAAGUUGUUCGGAGUCACAGAUGAGAUCCUGGACGUCAUGAGGAGCUCCGGAAUGGUCCGAAGGUAAAUAUUUAUAUAUAGGAAAGUUGCAUUUGGCUUCCGAAAAGUUUUCGGGCAUUACCGGUAAAGUACCGGGAGUGACAAAUGGGUUCCGGGGUUUUUACCGGGAGGGGCCACCCACCCAGGAAAGAACUUAAUAGGCCUAAAGGUGGUGCACCCGCCCUUAGUGGGCUGGUGCGUCCAGCCUAAGAGGGCCUAUUUUGGCCAAGGAACAAAAGAAGGGGAAAACCCCAAAGGAGAGGAGGUUUCUGUGACAGCCCGAUGCCGACGUUCCAGAAGAUUCCCCUUUUCUUUCCGUUUUCGUCGUGUGUCUAUUUUCUUUUGUCGCAUCAUUAUCGCAUCAUGCACAUCAUCUGCAUUGCAUCGGCACCCCGUUGCCGCCAGUUUUCAAAACAUGUGUCCGUUGUUAGUUGCCGGUUCUCGUCGUUGUCCGUUCUGAGCCCGACCGCACACGCACGCGCCCGCGGCACCGUCGAAACCCUGUUUUUAAAGUGUGCAUAAAACUUUCUCUGAUCGGGGUGAGAUUUGACGUGAGGUAUUAUUUUAAUAUAGGUAGGCCACCUGUCAAAUUUCGUCGCGAUCGGGGUUAGUGUGGUACCCGAACGGUCGACCGUAGCGGCACCGUAUUCAGUCUAUCGUCGCACGUGUCCCGGUGUUUUAAAUCGCGUUGCCGCGCCGCCCGUUUUCCAUGUCGUCUCUGGAUAACUACUCUACACAAGCCACCGAACCUAACCCGAAGAUCAGAGCCGUCCGAUUGUGAUUGAACGGCUCGGAGCAGGCUAAAAAUAGCUAACCUACCCUAUUGCCUAUAAAUACCCCACUCCUAGCCUAUUUUGGACAAACCCUAAAAUCUAGGGAUCUGUCCCGUUGAGGCCGCCGCCACUUCAAGGAAUCCCUCGGGAUCCAUCUCAGGCAAACCUCCACCUCUCCCUUGAUCUGAUCCAGCCAACCCCCAAAGCCAGCCCGUUGACCAUCUAUGCCUAUCGGAUCUAGAGAUCCAAUGGAUACCAGCAGCUGCGGGACGGAACGCCUCGUCCCCGCAUCCCGUGCCUCGAUCCAGAGAGGAUCUAGAGCAACGCCAGGACGCCGCCGCGCGUAGUGCACCAACGUCAACCAGUUUCGGAGCCGGCCGCCGGACGCAAGCCAGAGAUCGCCUCCCUUGCCCUCUCUCCCUGUUCCCCCAUAUUUUUUUCUCAUCUCUCCGUGUGCUCGUUUCUUCUACAAGGAGCAGAACGGGAGACCGCCGACCGUGCCCCUGUCUGUCUUUUGCGAGAGAAGCACCGAGCCAGCACCGGCCCCUGCAUCUCUCUCUUCUCUGCAUCUUCAGGUGCAGCCAACGGAGGCCAUGGAGCUCGAGCCGCCCUUGCCCGGAUCCGCGUCAUCCCCAAGCCCCGCGACUCCUCCACCUGCACGAGAUCAUGUCGAUGAUGUCUUCGUUCCAUUCCCGGCCUCCCAGCUCGCCGUCUUCGCCGGAGCAUCGCGCCGCCGGCCCCUAGUUCCCCGUGGAGAGCAGCCAAAGUCACCCCUAUACGUGCUAGUUUCAGCAAGGUACACAGACAUACCCUGUUUCAGAUGCAGUUUUGUUCAGGUUUACAUUCAGCAUGGUUGUGUGCUCAUCUACAGAAGGAACCCACUUUUAACACGAACCCAUUUGUAGCUCAGUUGGUCACAAUGUUGCACCUACACCCAGUAGACUAGGGAUCGAAUCCCAGUGGCUCCAAUAUAGUUUUUUAGCGUUUUGCGUUGUCAUUCACCAGCUAUGCAUAUUAGGUAUAACCAGGCGAAUGCAUUAUGUAGCACAAGGACAUAUCUAGCCCACUGGUGACACAUGCUAGGACACCGAAGGAGGUCUUGGGUUCGAAACCUGGACUGCCCCUAUUAUUUUUGCUUUUGUGCCAUGUUUGAUUUUCGUUUUGCACACCCAAGCAAGUGGGCACAGAGCUCCCAGUGGCUGCAGCCCAGUGCACAGAUUCGGCCCAUACGUUUUUUUAUUUUAUUUUAACCUGCAAUUUUAUUUAUUUUUAGAAAAACGCAUUGAUUUUCAAAAGAGCGUAGUUUCUAAACCGUGCGACGGAUCAGAAUGGGUUAUAUAUGUAGAACGUGUAGAAUUUUAUGUAGAUUAAUAUUUUUCAACUUUCAUGCAUAAUUAGAACUGUUUAGUGUGAUGUUUACCUCGUUUUGCAUGUCGACAUGUUGAAACGGUUUAGGUCGUAACUAUUUGUCCGUAGCUCCGUUCGAGAUGUGCCAUAUAUGUAAAUGGAGCAGAACGACGAGUAGAAUCACGUGAAUCACUUUGUUUUGCCGUUUAACAAACCUAAAAUGUUAUUAUGACAAGUCUGGACAGAAUUAAGAUUUAACAUGUGGGGUCAUUUCAGAGAUGCUAUAUGUCGUUUCCGGUCUCAUUUAAAAUGUCUAGCUAGGUAGAUUAAUUUGUGCUUCACCCUCGUGCCAUGUUUAAUAACAUUUAAUAUAGUCAUGUACCUGAACGGGAGCGAACUAAAUAAUUAGAGUGGAGUUUCGUCGAUAUGCAACUCGUUGCAUACCGAGCUUCACUUAAUGUGUAGUGUUUGGUUGUUGUGUUUGUCAUGCCUUGCAUUAGACCGUUCAUGCUUCAUAUGGGUUGUGCAUUGUGUGGUGUAUAUCGUGUGUUGAUGCUUGUUUCCGUUUCCCUCCGUCUCGUUAGAGUUCCGCAAGCGUGUCGGAUGUGAGGACCGUUCGACUGCAUCGGUUCGUCUGCUUCACGGAGUCAUUCUUCUUCCAAGCGGGAUCUCAGGCAAGAUGACCAUUUCCCCAGAUACCAUUACUAUCAUUGCCAUGCUAGUUAUACCGCUUCUUCGAUUAUGUCUCAUUGCCUACCACAUGUUAAAUAUCAGCCUCUCAACAAUGCCAUGAAACCUUCAACCUGUUCGACCUAGCAAACCACUGAUUGGAUAUGUUACCGCUUGCUUAACCCUGGGUUAGCGUUGCUAGUUGCAGGUGCAGUUGCUUCCAUGUGAUAACAUGGGUCCCUUGUUAUAUCACCCUAUUAAAUGCUAUCUAUUUUAAUGCACCUAUAUACUUGGUAAAAGGUGGAAGGCUCGGCCUUNNNNNNNNNNNNNNNNNNNNNNNNNNNNNNNNNNNNNNNNNNNNNNNNNNNNNNNNNNNNNNNNNNNNNNNNNNNNNNNNNNNNNNNNNNNNNNNNNNNNNNNNNNNNNNNNNNNNNNNNNNNNNNNNNNNNNNNNNNNNNNNNNNNNNNNNNNNNNNNNNNNCAUAAUUGAGCGCUCCUAACACGAUCCGGGUUGUUAUGGGGACCCCCUUGAUAAUUCGUUUUAGAUUAAAGCUGGUCUGGCAAGGCCCAACUUUGGUUUUACAUUUGCCCAACAUAAUAAUUCUGAUAAUACUGAAAUGCAUAGGGAGUUAGCGCUACCCGAGGAGUAAUUUUACAUAAACAGGAGGGGCCAGUGUUGAUGGUGUUGGUCCCAAACGGUCUGCCUGCGGGGCCACCGCGAGGAAACUAGAGGUUUGGCACUCGUAGCUAGUUCCAUCUGUCGUGUCCUGAGAACGAGAUACGCGGCUCCUAUCGGGUACGUCGACACGUCGGGCGGCCUUGCUGGAUUAGUUUUACCUUUGACAAGAUAUAUUCUGCCUCCUCCACUCCCUCCCUCCUAUACAUACUAGAGGGCAAAUAGGCUUUUUGCACCUCAAGCCAAAGCGCAACCCUCUCUCCCUCUAGAUCAUUUGCUCCUCUUGAUUAGUUCCGCAGAAGCUUGGCGAAGCCCUACUGGAUUAGUUCACCACCACCACCACCACCACGCCGCCAAGCUGGAGAACUCAUCUACCUCUCCGCCCCUCUUUUUGGAUCAAGAAGGCGGUGAUCGUCAUCAAGCCGCAUGUGUGCUGGACGUGGAGGUGUCGUAUAUUCGGCACUAGACCGGGACGGUUUGUGAUGAGAUCGCGGGAAGGACUGUGAUUUGGAUCACGAAGAUGUUCGACUAUAUCAACCGCGUUAUAUACGCUUCCGCUUAGUGAUCUACAAGGGUAUGUGGAUCCAAUCUCUCCUCUCGUAGAUGGUCAUCGCCAUGGAUAGAUCUUAUGUGCGCGUAUGAAUUUUUUUGUUUCCCAUGCGACGUUCCCCAAGAGUGUCAUCUUGAGCUAGGUAUAUGCGUAGAUAAUAUCUCGAGUAGAACACCAAAGAGUUUGUGGGCAUUGUUGUUCAAUUUGCUGCCCUCCUUAGUAUUUUCUUGAUGCAACGGUAUUGUUGGAUUGAAGCGGCCCGGACCAACCUUACUUGUACGCUUACGAGAGACCAGUUUCAUCGACUAACAUGCAACUUGUUGCAUAAAGAUGACUAGCGAGUGUUUGUUUCUUCAACUUUAGUUGAAUCGGAUUUAACCAAAGCGGUCCUUGGAGAAGGUUAAAUAGAAACUUGCAUAUCACCAUUGUGGUUUUGCGUAAGUAAGAUGCGAUCAUACUAGAUGCCCAUAACAGCCAUGUAAAACUUGCAAUAACAAAUUAGAGGACGUCUAACUUGUUUUUUGCAGGGUAUGUUGUGAUGUGAUGUGGCCAUAGACAUGAUAUGAUAUAUUGGAUGUAUGAGAUGAUCAUGUUGUAAUAGUUAAAUAUCGACUUGCACGUCGAUACUACGACAACCGGCAGGAGCCAUAGGGUUGUCUUUAAUUAUUUUGCGCUUGGUGAUGCUUUGCUUUAUCGCUAGUGGUAGCUUUAGUAGUAACAUCAUAGUUAGUGCGACAACGUCGAUGGCAACACAAUGAUGGAGAUCAUGGUGUGGCGCCUGUGAUGAUGGAGAUCAUGUUGGUGCUUUGGUGAUGGAGAUCAAGAAGCACAAGUUCGUGGCCAUAUCAUGACACUUAUGAUUUGCAUGUGAUGUUAAUCCUUUUAUGCACCUUGUUUUGCUUAGCACGAUGGUAGCAUUAUAAGGUGAUCCCUCACUAAAAUUUCAAGAUAAAAUUGUGUUAUCCCUCACUGUGCACCGUUGCAACAGUUCGUAGUUUCGAGACAUCACGUGAUGAUCGGGUGUGAUAGACUCUACGUUCACAUACAACGGGUGAAAAACAGUUGCACACGUGGAACACUCAGGGUAAACUUGAAGAGCCUAGCAUGUACAUACAUGGCCUAGGAAUACAAGAGAUCGAAAGGUCGAACAUGAGUCAUAUAGUGGAUAUGAUCAACGUGGAGAUGUUCACUAUUGAAGCUAAACUCAACUCACGUGAUGAUCGGACUUGAGUUAGUGAAUUUGGAUCAUGUACCACUCGAAUAACCAUAGGGAUGUCAAUUUGGGUGGGAGUUCUUAAGUAAUAUGAUUAUUUGAACUCAUUAUCAUGAACAUAGUCAAAAGGUCUUUGCAGAUUAUGUUGUAGCUUGCAUUGUAGCUCUACUAUUUUUGAUAUGUCCUAUAGAAUAUUUAGUUGAAAGAUGACAGUAGAAAUUAUGCGGACUAGGUUCGUAAACUAAGGAUUGUCCUCAUUGCUGCACAUAAGGCUUAUGUCCUUAAUGCACCGCUCGAUGUGGUGUACCCCGAGCAUCGUCUGUGGAUGUUGCGAACAUCUGACAUACACGUGUUUGAUGACUACGUGAUAGUUCAGUGAGUAAUGCUUAACGGCUUAGAAAUGAGGCGCCGAAGACAUUUUGAACGUCACAGAACAUAUGAGAUGUUCCAAGAGAUGAAAUUGGGAUUUCAGGCUCGUGCCCGUGUUGAGAGGUAUAAGGCCUCCGACAAGAUUCUUUGUCUACAAAGUAAGGGAGAAAAGCUCAAUCGUUGAGCAUGUGCUCAGAUUGUCUCGGUAUUACAAUCGCUUGAAUCAAGUGGGAGUUGAUCUUCCAGAUAAGAUAGUGAUUGGCAUAGUUCUCCAAAGUCACUGCCACCAAGCUACAGAGCUUUGUGAUGAACUAUAAAAUAUGAUGGAUAGAUAUGAUGAUCCUUGAGUUAUUCGCGAUGUUUGACACCGCGAAAGUAGAAAUCAAGUGGGAGCAUCAAUUUUUGAUGGCUAGUAAAACCACUAGUUUCCAGAAGGGCAAGGGCAAGAAGGGAUACUUCAUGACUGGCAAACCUGUUGCCACUCUAGUGAAGAAACCCAAGGUUGAACUCGAACCCGAGACUAAGUGUUUAUGAUAUGAAGGGAACAAUUACUAAAGCAGCACCACCCUUGAUACUUGGUAGAUGAGAAGGCUGGCAAAGUCGCCGAAAGUAUAUUGGAUAUACAUGAUAUUGAUGUGUACCUUACUAGUACUCCUAGUAGCAUCGGGGUAUAAGAUACCGGUUCAGUUGCUAAGUGUUAGUAACUCAAAAUAAAAUCUAUGGAAUAAAUGGAGACUAGCUAAAGGUGAGGUGAUGAUGUGUGUUGGAAGUGUUUUCAAAGUUGAUGUGAUCACCAUCGCACGCUCCCUCUACUUUCGAGAUUAGUGUUGAACCUAAAUGUUGUUUGUUGUUUGCGUUGAGCAUGAGCAUGAUUGGAUUGUAUUUAUUGCAAUACAAUUAUUCAUUUAAAGAGAAUAAUAGUUAUUUUGUUUACUUGAAUAAUACCUUCAACAGUCAUGCACCUAAUAUGAAUGGUUUAUUGAAUCUUGAUCGUAGUAUUACACAUGUUCAUAAUAUUUGAUGCCAACAUAUACAAAGUAGUAAUGAUCAUAUCACUUACUUGUGGCAUUGCUGCUUGAGUCAUAUUGGUAUAAAAUGCAUGAAGAAGCUCCAUACCGAUGGAUCUAUGGACUCGCUCAUUUUUGAAAUGUUACAGACAUGCGAACCAUGUCUAUUGGUCUAAACGCAUAAAAGAAACUCCAUGCAGAUGGAUCAUUUGGACUCACUUAAUUUUGAAUCACUUGAGACAUGCAAAUCAUUCCACAUGGGCAAGAUGACUGAAGGCCUCGUUUUCCAGUGAGAUGGAACAAGAAAGUAAAUUAUUGGAAGUAAUACAUUUUGAUGUAUGCAGUCCAAUGAGUGUUGAGGCACGCAGUGGAUAUCAUUAUAUUCUUACUUCACUCAUGAUUUGAGUAGAUGCAAGAGUAUUUGCUUGAUGAAUCACAAGUCUGAAAUAUUGAAAAGUUCAAGCUAUUUUAGAGUGAAGAUCGUCGUGACAAGAGGAUAAUAUGUUUACGAUGUGAUCGUGGAGGUAAAAUCUGAGUUGCGAGUUUGGUAGACAUUGAAAACAACGUGAAAAUUGUUUCACAAUUCAUGCCACGUGGAACACCAUAGUGUGAUGGUGUGUGUGAACACCAUAGUUGCGCCCUAUUGGAUGUGGUGCAUACUAUGAUGUCUCUUAUCGUAUUACCACUAUUGUUUUUGGGCUAGGCAUUAGAGACGACCGCAUUCACUUUAAAUAGGGUACCACAUAAGUCCGUUGAGAUGACACCGUAUGAACUAUGGUUCGGAGAAACCUAAGCUGACGUUUCUUAAAAGUUUGGGGCUAUGACGCUUAUGUGAAAAAGUUUCAGCGUGAUAAGCUCGAACCCAAAGCGGAUAAAUGCAUCUUCAUAGGACACACAAAACAGUUGGGUAUACCUCCUAUCUCAGAUCCAGAAGAAAAGUGUUUGUUUCUAGAAACGGGUCCUUUCUCGAAAAAAGUUUCUCUCGAAAGAAUUGAGUGGGAGGAUGGUGGAACUUGAUGAGGUUUUGAACCAUCACUUCAACCAUAGAGUAGAAGGCCGCAGGAAACUAUUCUUAUGGCGCCUACACUAGUUGAAGUGGAAGCUAGUGAUGGUGAUCAUUAAGCUUCAGAUCAAGUUACUUCGAAACCUCGUAGGUCGAAAGGGACACACACUACUCCAGAGUGGUACGGUAACUCUGUCUUAAAGGUCAUGUUGUUAGACAACAAUGAACCUACGAGCUAUGGAGAAGCGAUGGUGGGCCUGGAUUCCGACAAAUGGUCGAAGGUCAUGAAAUCCGAGAGAGGAUCCAUGUGUGAAAACAAAGUGUAGACUUUGGAAGAACUACUUGAUGGUCGUAAGGCUGUUGGGUACAUAUGGACUUUUAAAAGGAAGACGGACAAAUGGUUGGAGGCCAUGAAAUCUGAGAGAGGAUCCAUGUAUGAAAACAAAGUGUGGACUUUGGAAGAACUACUUGAUGGUCGUAAGACUGUUAAGUACAGAUGGAUCUUUAAAAGGAAGACAAACGAUGAUGGUGAAAAGUCACCAUUAAGAAAGCUCAACUUGUCGCAAAGAUGUUUCCGACAAGUUCAAAGAGUUGACUAUGAUGAGACUUUCUCACUCGCAGCGAUGCUAAAAGUUUUGUUGGAAUUAUGUUAGAAGUUGCUGCAUUAUUUAUGAAAUCUUGCAAAUAGGAUGUCAAAACAUUGUUUCCUCGAUGGUUUCCUUGAGGAAAGGUUGUAUGUGAUACAACCAGAAGGUUUUGUCGAUCCUAAGGAUGAUAACCAGUAUGCAAGCUCCAGCAAUCCUUCUAAGGACUGGAGUAAGCAUCUCAGAGUUGGAAUAUGCGCUUUGAUGAGAUGAUCAAAGCUUUUGGGUUUAUACAAAGUUUAUGAGAAACUUGUAUUUCCAAUAAAGUGAGUGGGAGCACUAUAGAAUUUCUGAUAAGUAUAUGUGAUCAGAAAUAAUGUACAAUUUCUGGAAAGCAUAAAGGGUUGUUUGAAAGGAGUUUUUCAAAGGAAAACCUCGAUUGAGCUACUUGAACAUUGAGCUUAAUAGAACUUUCAAAUGAAUAUAUACUGUAACAAGAUUUUGAAGGAGUUCAAAAUAGAUCAGUCAAAGAAAGAGUUCUUGGUUGUGUUAUAAGGCGUGAGUAUUGAGUAAGACUCAAAAUCCGACCACGGUGGAAGAAAGAGAAAGGACGAAAGUCGUCCCCUAUGCACUAGCCGUAGGCUCUAUAGUAUGAUAUGUUGUGUACCGCACCUGAUGUGUGCCUUGGAAUGAAUCUGCCAAGGGGCAAAGAAGUGAUCCAGGAAUGGAUUACUGGACAACGGCCAAAAGUUGUCCUUAGUAACUAGUGGACUAAGGAAUUUUUUCUCGGUUAUGGAGGUGAUAAAAGAGUUCGUCGUAAAGGGUUACAUCAAUGAAGCUUUGACACUAAUUCAGAUGACUCUGAGUAGUAAACCGGAUUCGUAUAGUGGAGCAGUCAUUUGGAAUAGUUCCAAAUGGCGCGUGGGAGCAACAUCUACAGGACGACAUAGAGAUUUGUAAAGCACACACGAAUCUAAAAGGUUCAGACCCGUUGACUAAAAACCUCACUCACAAGCAAGAUAUGAUCAAACCCCAUGGGUGUUAGAUUCAUUGCAAUCACAUAGUGAUGUGAACUAGACUAUUGACUCUAGUGCAAGUGGGAGACUGUUGGAAAUAUGCCCUAGAGGCAAUAAUAAAUUGGUUAUUAUUAUAUUUUCUUGUUCAUAAUAAUCGUUUAUUAUAUAUGCUAGAAUUGUAUUGAUUGGAAACCCAAAUACAUGUGUGGAUACAUAGACAACAUACUGUCCCUAGUGAUCCUCUAUUUGACUAGCUCGUUGAUCAAAGAUGGUCCAGGUUUCCUGGCCAUAGACAAGUGUUGUCACUUGAUAAUGAGAUAACAUCAUUAGGAUAAAGAUGUGAUGGACAAGACCCAAACUAUGAACGUAGCAUAUAAUCGUGUCAAUUUAUUGCUAUUGUUUUCUCGAUGUCAAUGUAUUUGUUCCUAUGACCAUGAGAUCAUGUAACUUCCAGACACCGGAGGAGUACCUUGUGUGUAUCAAAUGUCUCAACGUAACUGUGUGACUAUAAAUGUGCUCUACAGGUAUCUCCGAAGGUAUCUAUUGGGUUAGCAUGGAUCAAGACCGGGAUUUGUCACUCCGUGUGACGGAGAGGUAUCUCGGGGCCCACUCGGUAAUACAACAUCACAAUAAGCCUUGCAAGCAAUGUGACUAAGGAGUUAGUCACGGGAUCUUGUAUUAUGGAACGAGUAAAGAGACUUGCGAGUAACGAGAUUGAACUAGGUAUAGAGAUACCGACAAUCGAAUCUCGAGCAAGUAACAUACCGAAGGACAAAGGGAACAACAUACGAAAUUAACUGAAUCCUUGACAUAGAGGUUCAACCGAUAAAGAUCUUUGUAGAAUAUGUAGGAGCCAAUAUGGGCAUCCAGGUCCCGUUGUUGGCUAUUGACCAGAGAAUGUCUCAGUCAUGUUUACAUAGUUCUUGAACCCGUAGGGUCUGCACACUUAAGGUUCAUUGACGUUUCGGUAUUAUUGAGUUGUGUGUGUUGGUAAAAAAAAGUUGUUCGGAGUCCUGGAUGAGAUCCUGGACAUCACGAGGAGCUCCGUAAUGGUCCGGAGGUAAAUAUUGAUAUAUAGGAAAGUUGCAUUUGGCUUCUGGAAAGUUUUCGGGCAUUACCGGUAAAGUACCGGGAGUGACGAAUGGGUCCCGGGGUUUUACCGGGAGGUGCCACCCACCCGAGAGAGAACAUAAUAGGCCUGAAGAUGGUGCACCAUCCCUUAGUGGGCUAGUGUGGCCAGCCCAAGAGGGCCUAUUUCGUCCAAGGAGCAAAAGAAGGGGAAAAUCCCCAAAGGAGAGGAGGUUUCCAAGUAGGAGGAGUCCUACUUGGAGUAGGAUUGGAGGUGGACUCUUCCACCUCCACGUAUUCGGCCGAGCCAAGUAUUUGCUUUUUGGCUGCCUCCUCCCCUCCCUCCCUCCUAUAUAUACUAGAGGGUAGAGAGGCUUUUUGCACCUCAAGCCAAGGCGCAACCCUCUCUCCCUCUAGAUCGUUUACUCCUCUUGGUUAGUUCCGCAAAAGCUUGGCGAAGCCCUACUGGAUUAGUUCACCACCACCACCACCACACCGCCAUGUUGGAGAACUCAUCUACCUCUCCGCUCCUCUUGCUGGAUCGAGAAGGCGGUGAUCGUCAUCAAGUCGUACAUGUGCUGAACAUGGAGCUGUCGUUCGUUCAGCACUCGAUCGGGAUGAUUCGUGAUGAGAUCGCGAGACGGACUGCGAUUUGGAUCGCGAAGAUGUUCAACUACAUCAACCGCGUUAUAUACGCUUCCGCUUAGCGAUCUACAAGGGUAUGUGGUGUUGGAAAUAUGCCCUAGAGGCAAUAAUAAAUUAGUUAUUAUUAUAUUUCUUUGUUCAUGAUAAUCGUUUAUUAUCCAUGCUAUAAUUGUAUUGAUUGGAAACACAAUACUUGAAAGGAUCGAUAUGGUUGGCUAGACGGAGGGGGUGAAUAGACAACGACCACUUUUUAAUUAAUCUUAACAAGUUAAGGUAAACACUAUACGGGUUCACAAAUAAUAUGACAAAGAGGUGAACCCUAUAGAAGCUAACAACUAGAGCUAUUAAGACAAGUAAGAUAUAGUCACAAGCAUAAGCAAAUACAAAGUAAAGGUUAGAGAUAACCACAAGUGGAACCGAUGGAGACGAGGAUGUGUUACCGAAGUUCCUUCCCUUUGACAUGAAGUACUUCUCCGUUGGAGCGGUGUGGAGGCACAAUGCUCCCCAAAAAGCCACUAAGGCCACCGUAUUCUCCUCACGCCCUCGCACGAUGCAAGGUACCGUGAUUCCACUAUAGGUGCCCUUGAAGGCGGCGACCGAACCUUUACAAACAAGGUUGGGGCAACUCCACACAAAGCUUGGAGGCUCCCAACUAAACCACGAAGCUUCACCACAAUGGAAUAUGGCUUCGAGGUGACCUCAACCGUCUAGGAUGCUCAAACACCCAAGAGUAACAAGAUCCGCAAGGGAUUGGUGGGGGAAUCAACUUUUCUCUUGGUGGAAGUGUGGAUCUAGGCCUUCUCAACCAAUCCCUAAAGAAUCAACAAGUUUGAUUGGCUAGGGAGAGAGAUCGGGCACUUUAGAGCUUGUGGAGCAACAAUGGAGCUUAGAGAGGUAAGAGAUAGGGUUCCUCAGCUAGAAGAACCCUUUAUAUAGUGGGGGGGGAAUCAGACCGUUUUCCCACUCUCUGCCCGAGUACCAGCGGUACUACCGCUGUGCCGGAGCGGUACUACCGCUGGGCCUCCAGCGGUACUACCGCUGAGCCUCCAGCGGUACUACCGCCGGCCCCUUGGUAGUGCACAAGGACUACUACCUCCGGGAAAGUCUUCGCAAAAGGGUCCGUCCACAAACUACCGCUAGGUAGGUGGAACAAAACACCUGGAGCGGUACUACCGCUGACCAGGGGCGGUACUACCGCUGGCUGCAGCGGUACUACCGCUGGCAGUCCAGCGGUACUACCGCUGGGGACCAUUUUGCAGAGAUAAACGAGACGAAUAGGCGAGGGCUGCUCCAAAAGAUAAGGAAAGGGAGAAUGUGAAGUGUGCGUGUGUAAAGAUAGAUUCCACCCAAACCUUUCCACUACGGAUCCCCUCUUAAUAGUACGGGUUUCCUAUGACUCAAAUAAAGAGAAUCGUAGAGAGCGCCGUGCUUCCGUUCCUGAAGAGAGGAGACGUGUCGUCUUGUGCCGUUGACGAGUGUUACCUGAAACUUUGACACACACGGUUAGUCCUGUACGGUACUGUCAUCAAUCACCAAAAUUACUUAGGCAUAAACUAUGCCCCAACAAUACUUGUGUGGAUACAUAGACAAAACACUGUCCCUAGUAAGCCUNNNNNNNNNNAAUGUAGAAUUUAUGUAAAGCAUACAAGGUUGUUUGAAAGGAGUUUUCAAAGGAAUACCUGGAUUGAGCUACUUGAACGUUGAGCAUCAAAAGAUCUAUGGAGAUAGAUCGAAAGCGCUUAAUGGAAGUUUCAACAAGAUGCAUGCCUUGACAAGUUUUUGAAGGAGUUCAAAAUAGAUCAGCAAAGAACGAGUUCUUAGUUGUGUUGUAAGGUGUGAAUUUGAGUAAGACUCAAAACCCGACCACGGCAGAAUAAAGAGAAUAGACGAAGGUCGUCUUCUAUGCCUUAGCCGUAGACUCUAAAGUAUGCCAUGCUGAGUACCGCACCUGAUGUGUGCCUUGCAACAAGUCUGUUAAGAGCUACACAGAGUGAUCCAGGAUUGAAUCACUGAUCAGCGGUCAAAGUUAUCCUUAGUAACUAAAUAGACUAAGGAAUUUUUCUCGAUUAUGGAGGUGCUUAAAGAGUUCGUCGUAAAGGGUUACGUCGAUGCAAGCUUUGACACUAAUCCGAAUAACUAUGAGUAGUGAAACGGAUUCGUAUAGUAGAGCAGAUAUUUGGAGUAUUUCCGAAUAGCACAUAGUAGCAGCAUCUAUAAGAUGACAUAAAGAUUUGUAAAGAACACACGGAUCUGAAAGUUUCAGAACCGUUGACUAAAACCUCCCUCAAGAGCAAGACGUGAUCAGACCCCAUAACUAUAUGGGUGUUGGAUUCGUUGGAAUCACAUGGUGAUGUGAACUAGAUUAUUGACUCUAGUGCAAGUGGGAGACUGUUGGAAAUAUGCCCUAGAGGNNNNNNNNNNNNNNNNNNNNNNNNNNNNNNNNNNNNNNNNNNNNNNNNNNNNNNNNNNNNNNNNNUAUUGGAAACACAAUACUUGUGUGGAUACAUAGACAAAACACUGUCCCUAGUAAGCCUCUAGUUGACUAGCUCGUUGAUCAAAGAUGGCCAAGGUUUCCUGGCCAUAGGCAAUUGUUGUUACUUGAUAACGGGAUCACAUCAUUAGGAGAAUCAUGUGAUGGACUAGACCCAAACUAAUAGACGUAGCAUGUUGAUCGUGUCAUUUUGUUGCUACUGUUUUCUGCGUGUCAAGUAUUUGUUCCUAUGACCAUGAGAUCAUAUAACUCACUGACACCGGAGGAAUACUUUGUGUGUAUCAAACGUCGCAACGUAACUGGGUGACUAUAAAGAUGCUCUACACGUAUCUCCGAAGGUGUUAGUUGAGUUAGUAUGGAUCAAGACUGGGAUUUGUCACUCCGUGUGACGGAGAGGUAUCUCGGGGCCCACUCGGUAAUACAACAUCACACACAAGCCUUGCAAGCAAUGUGACUUAGUGUAAGUUACGAGAUCUUGUAUUACGGAAUGAGUAAAGAGACUUGCCGGUAAACGAGAUUGAAAUAGGUAUGCGGAUACUAACGAUCGAAUCUCAGGCAAGUAACAUACCGAAGGACAAAGGGAAUGACNNNNNNNNNNGUUGAAAUAGGUAUACAGAUACUGACGAUCGAAUCUCGGGCAAGUAACAUACCGAAGGACAAAGGNNNNNNNNNNGGAUCUUGUAUUAUGGAACGAGUAAAGCGACUUGCCGGUAAACGAGAUUGAAAUAGGUAUGCGGAUACUGACGAUCGAAUCUCAGGCAAGUAACAUACCGAAGGACAAAGGGAAUGACAUACGGGAUUAUAUGAAUCCUUGGCACUGAGGUUCAAACGAUAAGAUCUUCGUAGAAUAUGUNNNNNNNNNNUGAGUAAAGAGACUUGCCGGUAAAACAAGAUUGAAAUAGGUAUACGGAUACUGACGAUCGAAUCUCGGGCAAGUAACAUACCGAAGGACAAAGGGAAUGACAUACGGGAUUAUACGAAUCCUUGGCACUGAGGUUCAAACGAUAAAGAUCUUCGUAGAAUAUGUAGGAUCCAAUAUGGGCAUCCAGGUCCCGCUAUUGGAUAUUGACCGAGGAGUCUCUCGGGUCAUGUCUACAUAGUUCUCGAACCCGCAGGGUGUGCACACUUAAGGUUCAACGUUGUUUUAUGCGUAUUUGAGUUAUAUGGUUGGUUACCGAAUGUUGUUCGGAGUCCCGUAUGAGACCACGGACGUCACGAGGGUUUCCGGAAUGGUCCGGAAACGAAGNNNNNNNNNNNNNNNNNNNNNNNNCUGUUCGGAGUCCCGGAUGAGAUCACGGACGUCACGAGGGUUUCCGAAUAGUCCGGAAACAAAGAUUGAUAUAUAGGAUGACCUCAUUUGAUUACCGGAAGGUUUUCGGAGUUACCGGGAAUGUACCGGGAAUGACGAAUGGGUUCCGGGAGUUCACCGGAGGGGGGCAACCCACUCCGGGGAAGCCCAUGGGCAUUUGGGGGGGUCACACCAGCCCUUAGUGGGCUGGUGGGACAGCCCACCAAUCCCCUAUGCGCCAAGAGAGAAAAAAUCAAAGGAAAGAAAAAAAGGGAAGAAGUGGGAAGGGGGAAGGACUCCCUCCCACCAAACCAAGUAGGACUCGGUUUGGGGGGGAGAGUCCUCCCCCCUGGCUCGGCCGACCCCUUGGGGAUCCCUUGGACCCCAAGGCAAGGUCCCCCUCCCUCCUCCUAUAUAUAUGNNNNNNNNNNGCAACCCACUCCGGGGAAGCCCAUAGGCUUUUGGGGGACACACCAGCCCUUAGUGGGCUGGUGGGACAGCCCCAAGGGAGCCUAUGCGCCAAGAUAAGAAAAUCAAAGGAAAAGAAAGAAAAAAGAGGGAAGAAGUGGGAAGGGAGGGGGACUCCUCCCACCAAACCAAGUCCAACUCGGUUUGGGGGGGGAGUCCUCCCCCCCCUUGGCUCGGCCGACCCCUUGGAAGUCCCUUGGACCCCAAGGCAAGGUCCCCCUCCCUCCUCCUAUAUAUAUGGGGCUUUUAGGGCAGAUUUGAGACGACUUUCUCACGGCUGCCCGACCACAUACCUCCAUAGUUUUUCCUCUAGAUCGUGUUUCUGCGGAGCUCGGGCGGAGCCCUGGUGAGACAAGAUCAUCACCAACCUCCGGAGUGCCGUCACGCUGCCGGAGAACUCUUCUACCUCUCCGUCUCUCUUGCUGGAUCAAGAAGGCCGAGAUCAUCGUCGAGCUGUACGUNNNNNNNNNNNNNNNNNNNNNNNNNNNNNNNNNNNNNNNNNNNNNNNNNNNNNNNNNNNNNNNNNNNNNNNNNNNNNNNNNNNNNNNNNNNNNNNNNNNNCUUCGUGCGCGUAGGAAUUUUUUUGUUUCCCAUGCGACGUUCCCCAACAGUGGCAUCAUGAGCUAGGUUCAUGCGUAGAUGUCUUCUCGAGUAGAACACAAAAGGUUUUGUGGGCGGUGAUGUGCGUUUUGCUGCCCUCCUUAGUCUUUUCUUGAUUCCGCGGUAUUGUUGGAUUGAAGCGGCUUGGACCGACAUUACUCGUACGCUUACGAGAGACUGGUUUCAUCGUUACGAGUAACCGCCUUUGCUCAAAGAUGACUGGCAAGUGUCGGUUUCUCCAACUUUAGUUGAAUCGGAUUUGACCGAGGAGGUCCUUGGAUGAGGUUAAAUAGCAACUCAUAUAUCUCCGUUGUGGUGUUUGCGUAAGUAAGAUUCGGUCCUACUAGAUACCCUUGGUCACCACGUAAAACUUGCAACAACAAAAUUAGAGGACGUCUAACUUGUUUUUGCAGGGUAUGANNNNNNNNNNNNNNNNNNNNNNNNNNNNNNNNNNNNNNNNNNNNNNNNNNNNNNNNNNNNNNNNCUUGUGAUGUGAUAUGGACAGCGAUGUGAUGUGAUAUAUUGGAUGUAUGAGAUGAUCAUGUUGUAAUAGAUAAUAUCGACUUGCACGUCGAUGGUACGCAACCGGCAGGAGCCAUAGGGUUGUCUUUAUACUAACGUUUGUGCUUGNNNNNNNNNNCGUCGAUGGUACGGCAACCGGCAGGAGCCAUAGGGUUGUCUUUAUACUAACAUAUUCGUGCUUGCAGAUGCGUUUACUAUUUUGCUAGGAUGUAGCUUUAGUAGUNNNNNNNNNNUGUCGAUGGUACGACAACCGGCAGGAGCCAUAGGGUUGUCUUUAUACUAACGUUUGUGCUUGCAGAUGCGUUUACUAUUUUGCUAGGAUGUAGCUUGAGUAGUAAUAGCAUAAGUAGCACGACAACCCCGAUGGCAACACGUUGAUGGAUGAUCAUGGUGUGGCGCCGGUGACAAGAAGAUCGUGCCGGUGCUUUGGUGAUGGAGAUCAAGAAGCACGUGAUGAUGGCCAUAUCAUGUCACUUAUGAAUUGCAUGUCAUGUUAAUCCUUUUUAUGCACCUUAUUUUGCUUAGAACGACGGUAGCAUUAUGAGGUGAUCUCUCACUAAAAUUUCAAGACGAAAUUGUGUUCUCCCCGACUGUGCACCGUUGCUACAGUUCGUCGUUUCGAGACACCACGUGAUGAUCGGGUGUGAUAGACUCAACGUUCACAUACAACGGGUGCAAAACAGUUGCGCACGCGGAACACUCGGGUUAAGCUUGACGAGCCUAGCAUGUGCAGACAUGGCCUCGGAACACAUGAGACCGAAAGGUCGAGCAUGAAUCGUAUAGUUGAUAUGAUUAGCAUAGAGAUGCUUACCACUGAAACUAUUCUCGACUCACGUGAUGANNNNNNNNNNNNNNNNNNNNNNNNNNNNNNNNNNNNNNNNNNNNNNNNNNNNNNNNNNNNNNNNNNNNNNNNNNNNNNNNNNNNNNNNNNNNNNNNNNNNGGAGAGGAUCCAGCGCUACUCACAAGUUAGCAGUAGCUCCGGUGCGGAUCCAGCGCUACUGCUAGAUUUAGUUAACCGGCUAACUCGAUCACCUCUCCCCCACUCCUUCCCUCUCCGUUCGACCGGCCCUCUCUCCCUCUCGCCUGUGAUCCAGCGCGCUGCUUCUUCCCUCUCCGCCACUGACUCCCUCCAAGUGUCGUCGUGCCACCUCCACACGUCGCCGCCCCUCCAAGCGCCGCCGGGCCACCUUCAUGCGCCGUUGUUCGACCACCUCCCCUCCCGCUCCGGUAAGCCCCCCGCCCCCUCCUCCCUACCGCCUCGCUCGCCCACCCUAGCACCACACCGCACGCCUCCCCCUGUCGUGGACGCCCCCGUUGACCGUGGACGCAACAUUUUCACCUAAAGUUUGUUCAAAGGUUAUUCAAUCCAUCUAAAGUAAUAUAUGUGGAUAGGAGAUAGUAGUAGUGUUUAUCAGUAAUUUUGGUAUGAGGAUCUACCAAUGCAUCUAGGGGUUAAGAGACUUAGUGAAGAUGGGGUGGUUGCUGACCUAGGGCAUGUAAGAAUGUUUGGGGGGAAUUUUUGCAAUAUGGUUAGGCAUGAGAGGUUGUUCAUAAUAUUCUCUGUUUUACCCCAUCUUUUGUACUUGUUCAUUGUUGCUAUAUCCUAGUGGCCUAUGUUUUGUCGGAAUGUUGAUUCAUUUCCGUUCCGGAAAAUUUCAAACGCUCCAUAUAUCCACUUUUUAGUAAAUGUCAUGCCCAAAUUUUUUCUGUUUUAGGAAAUGUCUGACGACGAAGGGGAAUUCGUUAUGUGCGAAUACUGCCAAGACAAGCGCGGCCUUUGCGACACGCCUUGCCUAGUUGAUGAUAGGCGCUUCAGCAUCAUGCUGGAUGAGGACUUUGAAGUGGAUACAGUAAGUCACAACGACAAGUCCACUUGAUAGGCUUGAAAAGCAUCUUUGUAUGCGAUGGUGCUCUUCCAGAUCUCUGUAUGGCAGUUGGUCUCUUUUUUUUCCGACAUUGCUAUGGUGGUGUCGGAGGAUAUUUGUGGACUAUGUUUCGAUGAGGCACAAGUUUCUUCAAGGAUGAAAUAGUAAUUUUACUUCAUGUGGAACUCUUUGUGCAAAGUUGUUGACAAGCAUGUUUAUCUCUUAUGAUGACCAUAUGUGUAAUUUUUGUGAACAAAUUAUCUAAUGAAAUACUCCCUCCAUCCGGAAAUACUUGUUUUAAAAAUGAAUAUAAUGAAUGUAUCUAUAACUAAAAUAAGUCUAGAUACAUUUAUCUUUAGGAUAAUUAUUUCCGGACGAAGGUAGUACGAUGUUGCUUAAAAAAGACGCCCAUCGAAUUCAGAAAGAGACAAUACCAAAAGGCUAAAACUGGAAAGACGAUACCUCCUAAAAGUGCCAAAACUAGAAGGAUCAGCAAUCCCCACUCAUGUGCAAUAAACAGUCUAGAACUUCGACUCUUCUUAACGACAUAAACAAUAAUUGAGCCUGAAAGAUUGGCAUCGCCGCCCGACAAAUGAAACAAUGAACUCUCACUCACCAUGUACUCUUGCUUCAGUUGAGCGCCGUGGGAAAGCUCAAUCAGCAAAGCUAAUCAAAGCGUUUUUAGAACGUACCACCACACCUUUUGAUGGCAGCUAGGGCAUGUUGAAGCAUUUAUAUUGAUUUUUUUUCUUCAAUGCAACCUAUUACUAGUGGGCAUCAUCAAGGGGAAAAAAACUCUGAUCUACAUGCAUCUCUAUUUUUUACUUUAACUUUUCAGCUUUUUACAUCGAAUUACAUCUUUUCUUCCUAAGCACCGCCUCUUGCUGGAUCCCGCUACACCAUCCGAGACCAUACACGAUCCUACAUGGCAUGUGGGACAUCAUUUUGAGGCUAUGCAUUGGGCAUGCACUUAUGCCCUUGAUUGCAUCACACCAUACGGAGCACACAUGAAGGAUGGGAAGACUUUCGCCGACAAGCAAAGUGGACUCGGGUAACACGGUGUAUACACCGACACUGGGGGCUAAUUUUUGUGUUAUGACCCUUUUAUGAAAAAUGAUCGAGAUCUAACCUAGUUUGUAAAAAAAAUAGGUUCUGAUCAUUUUCCUAUCAUCGGGAUCCAUGACGAUAAGGUACAACGGCCUACCGCCGGGGUCCAUGACGAUAGAGUAUAGCAACCUACUGUCAAGGUUCCUCGCAGUAGGGAUGUACGCCCUACCGUAAAAAUUUCCUAAGCAUCGGAUACAAUGCGUGUUCGCACCUACAGUCGAGCACCUCGAUGAUAGGGUUGUAUAGACUACCGUCAACUUAUUUGACGAUAGAGGUGCGUCGCGCUCACUUUAAUAAGUUUUCUACGGACACCGAUGGUAGGAAAAAAAGUCAGAUCUCAAAAUUUUUACAAACCAGAGUCAGAUCUCGCUCAACUUCUGUAAAAGGGUCAAAAGGCAUGGAUUGUUUUCUCGGACAUCUGAUACGCGUGUGCUUUAAAGCAUCUAUAGUCGGACCCCUCCUAUCCAUCUCAAACGUCCGGGUAGGCUAUCCGGUUACUAGUCGUUCACAAAAAAUCAAUCUCUAAUAUGAAGACGGUAUGAGGGCUCGCAAACGCGCCCGGGCACGCCCGAUCAGUCCGCCACCUCGGACGUGACCCCAUUCCGGACCACCUUUUCUCUUUGUUUAUUUAUUAUUUCAUUAUUUAUUUCUCUCCCUUCUUCAUCAAUCACGUGCAACUGAUCGGACAGAUGAGGAAAAAUAUGAUUAUACGGAUGAAAAAAUAGAGGCUCAAAAUGAACACGCUCGGUCACUGACCGGACGCGUCCACGAAUGCUUGAGGAACCGGAUUUAGAGCAAGUAUAAUAAGAUACAGACAACAGGCUGUAAGGAUUAAAAUACUAUAUUUUUGCUGAGUUGGAUGAGAGAGAAGAGGAGAGAGAAGGGAAGCGGGCUCUUCGUGAAGAGUCAGCUCUAGCACGUGCUCCUAGGUGCUUUGUGAGAAUGAAAGGUGAGCCAUAUAUGAUAAAAGUAGUACUCCCUCCAUCACAGUUUAUAAGGCGUGCACGCGUACUUAGGUCGUCAAUUUGACUUAUAUAAAAUAUAUUGUUUAACAUAAAAAAUAUAUUAUUAGAAAAUAGAACAUCUAAAGUUUCUAAUGAUAUAUUUUUUGUAAUAUAUGUCUCUUAUUAAAUUGAUCAAAUAAACGACCUAGAUACACGUGCCGGACUUAGAGCAUCUCUAGUGGAUGGUGUAUAUUUGAACGUGUAUAUCUUCAUAUACACGUCCAUAUACACGGCGUGGAAAUUAUACACGUCCUAGUUUUUCAGUGAAACGUGUAAAUUAGGACGUGUAUAUUCCCCUCAUUCUUUCCCCCUCUGCAAGAUAAGAGAUUCAGUAGUGCACACAGGUUCAGAGAACAAGACAGGGGAGCUUCGCCGCAUUGCAGCCGUCUCCCUCGUCGCCGGCAGCCUUCCCCGUGGCAUCCAAGAUGUCCAUGGACUCGAGGGUGCCUCCCUCGUUCCAUUCCCAUCGCUAGGGUGACCGGUGGGCCACCACAGCGACGGCACCAACCUCGUCUCCGACGAGUACCCGGAGCCAAAGCCCUGCAGCAGGAGGAGGAGCCCCCGUGCUCCAGCCAGCCAUUUCGGCGCCCGACGCAGCCCCUGUCCCGGCCUUGCCUGAGGAGGAGCAGCAACUGCGGGGCGGACGGGAACCCUAGAGGCCUCGCACCUCCGAGAUCCGUCCGAACUGGGGGUGAGGACGGCGCGGCCGGGCCGCAAGCGGCGUGGGCGGGACGGGCAGGCGUCCGGGCACAGGGAGCCCUGGCCUUGCUUCUCAGGGAGGAGGAGGCGGCGGUGGGCCGGCGGGCGGCGGUGGGCCGGCGGGCGGCGGCCGGAGGAAGGGGGAGGGGAGACCGGAGGCGGCUGCGCGGCCUUGCUCCUCAGGGAGGAGGAGCCCCCUACUCCAGCGCCACCGCCAGCCCGCACCCCGCAGCGNNNNNNNNNNNNNNNNNNNNNNNNNNNNNNNNNNNNNNNNNNNNNNNNNNNNNNNNNNNNNNNNNNNNNNNNNNNNNNNNNNNNNNNNNNNNNNNNNNNNNNNNNNNNNNNNNNNNNNNNNNNNNNNNNNNCACGACGAGUAGCCUCGUGGAUGGACGUGUAUAACUUCCACGCCCGUAUACACGUUCCACUGGGAGGCAUUUUUCUGUUAGCAACGUGUAUAUUUACCAUCCACCUCCAUAUACACCAUCCACUAGAGAUGCUCUUAUAAACUGAAACGGAGGAAGUACUUUUUUAUAGCUAACUAUUGUACAAGCUAGCUAUAAGAUUGACUAUAAGAUGGCUUAUAGCCAGCAGUUGACUAUACUGUUAACCAUGCUCUUACAAGUUCCAUCCGUAGAUGCUCUAGGCAUGGCACGACGACGUAUGUCGUUGGGACAGUCUUAGAGCAUCUCUAGUGGAACGUGUAUACACCUUGCUAAAUUUUACACCUCCCAGUUUUUCAGUGGAACGUGUAUACAGGACGUGGAAAUCAGGACGUGUAUAUUCCAACGGCUAUAUUUUCAAACGGCUAUAUUUUCAACGGCUAUAUUUUCAACGGCCAUAUUUCUGGUCUAUAUAAACCGCCCCAAUCACCUCUCUUCCAGCAUUUCUAGUUGUGCCUCAUCUUCUCACUUCUAGAUUUCUCUAUCGUCUCUCACACAACACAAUGAACACAUUCUCUUGGGACAUGAGUUCUUCAUCAUCUUCAUCGGGCGACGAUGAACUCAUACUUGCGGCAUUAGCCGAUCGCGAGGAGGAAGAGAGGAUGAACACUCGACGCCAUGGCGGUUCCAUGCAUGGACGUCAGUCAAUCGAUCGAGGAAGAGAUGCCGGAUUUCUUCUUCUCUGGAACGACUAUUUCAAAGAAGUUCCUCGCUUUUCCGAACAUUUGUUUCGACGAAGGUUCGUAAUUAGUACACUUCUCUGCUUUGGUUCUUUUUUCAUUUCCCCGUCUCAUUGACUUUUUAUGCAUAGAUUUAGGAUGUCGCGUACUUUGUUCAACCGCAUAGCUGAUGGUAUACUUGAACAUGACUAUGAUGGUUAUUUUACGCAAAAAAGAAGUGCUUCUGGAGCUCUUGGGUUACAUCCUCUACAAAAGAUGACCGCGGCAAUGCGGAUCCUCACAUAUGGAAUAGCAACUGAUGGUGUUAAUGAGUACAUCGGGUCCGCUGAGGCUACUAAUUUAGAGUCUUGCAAGAAAUUUGUGAUCAAAGUUUGUGAAGUUUCUGAGGAAAAGUACAUGAGAUCUCCAAAUGAAGAAGACAUUGCUAGGUUACUUGCAAUAGGUGAGGAAAGAGGAUUACCUACAAUACUGCCAGUGAUAUGCACAAACAAUACAGAAGUGAGAACACGAAUUGUUCUCCUUGCCUACAAUAUUGCCAGUGAUUGAUUCCCCCCAUAAUUCACUUCUAUUGCAUUCUUGAAGCAGCAGCAGCGGGUUCNNNNNNNNNNNNNNNNNNNNNNNNNNNNNNNNNNNNNNNNNNNNNNNNNNNNNNNNNNNNNNNNNNNNNNNNNNNNNNNNNNNNNNNNNNNNNNNNNNNNNNNNNNNNNNNNNNNNNNNNNNNNNNNNNNNNNNNNNNNNNNNNNNNNNNNGUGCGCCCCAGACCUCUCUGGAAUGGAAAAUAGAAGGGAGGGAGAGAGCUUACCAGAGGGGAGUGGUCGCCGGCGAGCUUCGAUGGCCUUUGGACGGAGGCGGGAGCAGCUUGUUUCCCUUUCCACUAGCGUGGCCGAGCCGUGUGUAUUUGCACGAGAAGUAGCGUUGUGGAUGGACAUGUAAAACUUCCACGUCCGUAUACACGAUCCACUGGGAAGUGUUUUUCAGUUUUCAUAGUAUAUAUUUAGUUUUCAUAGUAUAUAUUUACCAUCCAUCCGUAGAUGCUCUAACAAGUUCCAUCCGUAGAUGCUCUAGGCAUGGCACAACGACGUAUGUCGUUGGGACAGCCGAACGACAGGCGUGUGGCGCAGUCAGGGGGUGGGGUGCCUAGAGAGGCCUACACGCCGCGUGAACCCCAGCUUUUCCGUUGUUGGGCGAACCCCUCCGCCCCUCACCACCGAAGGAGCCCUCCGGAAAAGGCCAACUCCGGGAGCUUUCCUUUGCCCCCCACGCCACGCGGAAAGCGAAAGAGGUUAGCUAGCUUUCCAGCUCCAAAGUUGCAAGUGCGACGCCGCCCGCCCAUGGGUGGACGGACGGGUGGCGGCCUUCAGGUUCAGGUUUAGGCGGGCGGCCACCGGCCUGGCCGGUGAGAAGGACCUGGGACGGCAUUUUUCUUUCAGCGCACAGGGGAAGAAGAAUCCCCGCGAUGCCCAUGAUGGCUCGAUUUGUCAAACGCUAGCUAUAACCUAGAAAGAAAAGAAGAAAAGGAAGAAAAGGCUAAAACAGCAUGGCGAAAAUCUGAAGAGCUAAAGUCACAGGCCACAGGUCACGGAGUAGCAACACGACGCGCACCGCAAAUCUAUCUUAAAUUCCUUAGCUUGCAGGACAGCCGAUCGCCAGCCACCGGCCAAGGCGGCCAGCGGCGCUGCCGGCACGACCACCCUGGCUCGCCGUGGAUGACGCACCGUACUACCGCCGUAGUGCUAGUGUCCGCCCGUGGCCACGCAGCCGCGACCGCGCACGAGACGAGCGCAGCGAAAUGGCAUGGACGGACCCACCAACCCUAGGACCCCGAUCCGAUGGUCGUUCUCCUUCCAUCCAUCCUUGCCCCACCGACCCCGUGGCCUACUCCACGGCUGUUCCCGAGCUGGCCUCCACCCCACCCUCGGGGUCACUGCACUGUCGCUCGGCUCCGCUUACAACAAAUCCAGUAGAAAGCAACAAAGAAUUCCUCGCCUCGAGAUGCCACAUACCACCAGUGGUCGCGUGGAGCGCCACUACAGUACCAGCGGUUUUUUAAAGGUGACCAGACCAGAUCUGCCCCUGCCCAGCCUCAGAUCCAUUCCGCUUCCGCCCGCGUGAUGCACGUACGAACGAGCACGAGCAUUCUAGUGCUAGUUGCUACUAGCACUAUACCAAUACGUACUAUAUAUGUAUACUACACCCUCCAAGAUCCGAUCUGCUGGAGCAACUUAGAGCUAGAAAUCAAGCUACGAGCUACUGUAGUUAUGGACGAAGCUGCAAGAACAGAGUGUAAUAAGCAGCGACGGAGAAAGAAUAAUAAUGAUGAUACAUAUGGUGAGAGGAAUUAACUGGGGGAUUGUACAAUGGAUAUGGAUCGAGCACCACCAGCAACGACGGCCAAACAAUCAGAUCUGUCCACGCCCAACACACGCAUAACACGGAGGAGUGUCCUACUACGAAUCCGAAUGCCGAAUGUAAUAAUCAUCAACGCAACAACAACAAAAGAAGAAGAAAAAAAAGGAAGAUAAACAGCUCCAAGAACACCACCACAAAAGGAGAGGGAGCGGGGCCCUCGGAUAAAUUAAAUACUCUUGCAGGCAGCCGAUCUGCCGCGGGGGCGGGAUCUCUCAGUAGAAGGCGGCGGCGGCGGCCACGGCGGCGGUGGCGACCCACGCGGCGGCGGGGUGGACGCCGGCGGCGGCGCUGGCGGGGGUGGUGGGCGCGUCCAUGGACGGGGCGGGGGACGGGCCCAUCAUCGACGGCUCCGGCGGCGAGCUCAUGUNNNNNNNNNNNNNNNNNNNNNNNNNNNNNNNNNNNNNNNNNNNNNNNNNNNNNNNNNNNNNNNNNNNNNNNNNNNNNNNNNNNNNNNNNNNNNNNNNNNNNNNNNNNNNNNNNNNNNNNNNNNNNNNNNNNNNNNNNNNNNNNNNNNNNNNNNNNNNNNNNNNNNGGGGGAGGCAUGACCGGGGCCACGGCCGGCGGGGGAGACACCGGCGCCGGGGUCGGCGGCGGCAUCAUCGGAGGCGGGGACACCGGGGCCACGGGGGCCGGCAUCGGGGUGGCCGCCGGGGCCUGGGCCGCGGUGGCGGCGAAGAGCAUGGUCAGGGCCAGAGCCACCAGCUGGAUGCGCGCCAUUGGAGGAGUGAAGAGGAGAGCUUGAGCUUGAGCUUGAGCUUGAGCUUUGCUUUUGCUUGAGGUGGUGCUGCUGCUGGUGUACUGUAAUGGUGUCCGAGACGGUAUUGGGCCGGGAGAUUAUAAAGGGGUCGCGGACGGGGCUACGACGACGAAUUAUAUGAAGACCCAGGGGGCUCCGUGCUAAUUUCCGAUCCUGGUAGCCGUCCGAUCGACAUCCGACGGCUCGUAUGGUUGGAAAGCUUCAACUCUUUUUUCUUCCCCAAACUUCUGACUUCUGAACAGCAAGCAAGUUUCAGAAAAACAAGCUAAAUCCCAACAGCUGGCGGAGAUCAUGUCAUUUGGUUCACGGGAAAUUCUCUCGCGAUAUAAGAGUCUGGUGAUUAUUUGCUUUCCUUUUUUUUGUCAUGGUUCACGCGUAAUUCUGGUCGACGGUGAGCUGGGUUUCCUUCCUGUUCCGUCUUGCCUAAUUUUGUCUUGGGGGUUUGAAAAUCGUGUGCAUAAUCCCACCCCUAUCUUCGGUUCAUGGACCCGAUCAAUUAGUCCAUUGCAGAUAUUUGCGGUAAAAUAUUAUGGACGAUCAAUGCAAAAUGGCAAGCAGCUAAUGAGCCAAUUGGCCCACGCGUUUGCAGUGUUCUUUACAACGAUAACAAAAUGUCAGACUUUAAAACAAUGUUAACUUCGAAAGUCAAAGUUUUUUUACAUGGGUGGCACACAUGCAUGUAAACGGACACGCACGCGUAAAUGUGAAAUAGCAAGUGGUAUUUGCUAAUGAGCCGACUGACCCACGCGUUUGCGGAGCUAGUGCAUCGAGUUUUUUCUACAAGAUAAUAAAAGGUCGGAUUUCAAAAACAAAGUUACUUCCAAAGUCAAAGUGCUUUUUCUCGCAAUUACGUUGGUGACGCACACGCAGACACGCACGCGCAAAUGUGAAAUAUCAAGUGCUUGUUAAUGAGCCGAUUGGCUCACGCGAUUGCGAUGUUUGUGCACUGAGUUUUCUUUACAAGGAUAAUGGAGGUCCAUUUCCAACAACAAGGUUGCUUCCAAGGUCAAGGUGCUUCUUUAUGCAGUUACAACACACAUGUAGACACGCACAUACACACACUCAGAACCUUGCAUAUUUUCGACAUUUUUCUCUUCUUUUUUGAGGGCAGGUUCAGCCCAUCAACAUGUGAAAGUAAGCACCCGUGACUGUGCAAUGUUUAGUUGAGGUAAAAGUGGAGAAAAUAACCAUCAAGUGAAUGGGGCGACUCAUUCCAAGAUGAUUUACCAAUUUUCGUGUGCGGUUUUUCCUGUAUGAUUGGAUGAAACUUGUGCGUGUCAAAUCAUCGAAUAUCGUCAUCUUUCUCACCGAAAGAUCAAUAACCAACAUUGUCUCAUCAAUUCGUGAUGUAUGGUGUUCCCUCGUAUGCAUCAUAUUUUUUGCUCUAUAAACAAAACUUACAAAACUAACAAGAGGUCCACAUUGUGUAUGUGUGCACACGCGCGGCGUGGGACAAUUAUAACAAAAAUGUCUUUCUAUAAAAUAGACAUAAAAUAGAGCUCCUUGUUUUGAUCAUUUGAUGAUAGCAUCAACCAGCUAAGAUUAGUUGCCUACAAAAUAAAUACCUUAGCAAUGAAAUGAUUGGUUUGGUGCUAAUCAAUGGAGCGCACGUUGUCCUCACCAAUUCUAUAUUGAGCCGUUGGUGAAUGAUGGGUUGCUGUCAGCGUUUCUCCAUCAAAAUCUUGGGUUUACAAAAGAACGAUACGAGAAAGUAAUCACACUAACACAGACGGUUAGGAAAACAAGAGAAAAUUCUACUGUCAAGUUAUCUCUUCCGUGUAUUCUUCAUGCACAUUUUUAUUUUAUUUUUGCACAUUGUUUGGCUUGCAAGUUUUAGUCUCCUGCCUAUUAUGUUAGCUGGAAGGAGAUAAAGUUCUUGGUCCCCGACGAAAAAUAGGUUCACUUGGGAGGACAAUGGUGUACAGCCUAACCAAACCCUUUUCAAAACCUAAAGCUCCACACGUUCAGGUUGCUCGAUUUGGUCCAUAAGGGUAUACCUAACGCGCCAAAUGUUUCCAAAACCUAAUGUGCCCCGUUUUUUUCCUUCACAAUAUCCAUCUUGUUCCACAAGAUAAAUCCAGAGAUUUCCAACCUAACCAUACCCUUCCAAAACCCAGCGCUCCACUCCUCCAACGUUCAUAUUCUUUGGACAAGAGAUACACACGAAUACACUUGUCUGGUUCCUAACCACCAUGUGGAAGAGUGUGAUUAUGCUAGUUGAUAGGCAGCUCUGAAUCAGACCGACAAUAGGAAGCCCCUAUCUGGAAGCAAGAGUUCAAAUGCAAGUAUGGACUAAUCGCAACGGCGAACGGUCCCUGCAAACUUUGGAGACCAAGUUAAUUCACGAUUUUCAGAGUAACUUUGUCGAAACUCAUGUUUCGUUCCUUAUUAAACUGGGGUCAAUAUCUAAUUAUAAGAGCAUGUUCGCUAGUUGAAUCAUUGUGCCUCCAUUUUAAGGCUUAAUUUGUGAUUGCUGAACUGUGUUGUGUUAUGAUGAUUUCAUAAUUACUAGUCCCUCCGUUUUUAAAUAUAAGUCUUUUUAGAAUUUUUAUUAGAGACUACAUACGGAUGUAUAUAGACAUACUUUAGAGUAUAGAUUAACUCAGUUUGCUUUGUAUGUAGUCACUUAGUGAAACCUCUAAAAUACUUAUAUUUAGAAAGGGGGGAGUAUGUAAAAUUAGCCACAAAAGUAGACAAAAGCGGUUUAAACGCACGCUCAGAUAGGCAAAAACAUAUUAGGCAACACAAGGUUAUCACAAACCACCACAAUACCAAACUCGGCCUAAGUAAAGCUGACUUUUUCCUAGACAAGAAAAAUGCAACGUGUGUAUGACAAUGAUGUUAGAACAAGCCAACAAAGGCAAGAACAUGAGUUUUCAUCUGGAGAUCGCCUCCAGAAAUUGAAGAUAAUACCACAAGGAGAUGACGUGAGAGCAAUGUCGACAUGUCGUUCCCACGUCUAACCAAUGAAGACUAUACCAACCAAUGGAGGCCAACUCAUUCAAUUACUAUACCACGUCUUGGCGCUCAAAAUCGAACAUCACUUGAUCCAACCAAUGGAGGCUAACUCAUUCACGACGAUUGCGACAAUGUCCGUUCAAGAUUUGGCAUGGCCCAAUGACAAGAAACCUCAUGCUAGCGUACUGGUAUCGCUCCACCAUGGAGCUUACUAGAACCGCCAAAACGCUUUGAAGGGGUCGCCCCUCCGCCCUCAUGUCGACGAUGCCCCUGCAGCCACCCCGGCUUCCAUGUCAUAAUCCACAACAUGUCAUCCUCUAACGGGCAGCCAUCACGACCGGAUAUCGACAAGAGCCCCUAACACCACUAUCGGUCGCAAGACCUUUGGUCAUGGCAUCCUCUGGCGGUGGAGGAGGGGGUUGAAGGAAGGCAUGGUAGAGAUGCUAACUUCCUUAACUACACUUUGUAUACAAUAAAGUAGAGAAAUCUCCCAAUCAAUCUUUGCGUCUAAAAAUGCACACAGCCAACGAACAUUAUUGACCUUCCGAAGGACGAUAUAAAGCCGUAUUCCCAUCGUUCUGGGCCGCCGUGAGUUGCCAACAAACAUCCUGAUCCUGCCCGAAAUGCUAUCCACCGAAUGACAUCUGAGCCGAUCCGAUUUAACAAACAGCAAGCUUGCCAAAAACAAGUCCGUUGGUCCGAUCAGAGCCUCGUCGGGUCCAUGGAAACGGGGCUGUGGCCAGGGUGGAAGAUUCCGGCCGGUCGGCCAGCCGCGGUGUAGUACAGAGCUACGUGACGCCGACGUACCAACUAAGCCAAGACAACCACCAUCUUCCGAGUGAAAUCAAAUGAGAUCGACUACGUGACGGCCGCGAACUCUGCUGGGCAGUGUGAUACAGUUCGUCGAGGUGUCGCCUCCCAUGGCCCUGUUGCACGCCCACGAAGCAUGUAGCAGUGCUGUACAGUUGUAUAAUAACCGGAGAUGCCGCGUGGGCCAAGGGGGUUAUGGUAGAGGAUGUCAUAGAGGAGCUGUGGACAGCCAGGGCUAGGCAUUUUGCUUGGCGACUCAUCAGAGUGUUUACGAAGGCAUUGACUCGUGGCAAAUGGAUGGCAAAUCUCAUGCUGCGUCAGGUAAAAAGUGGGCAUAGUUUUCUUGCCGAUUCCUGUAUGGUUUUCCAUGUUCGUUAUGGAGAAUUAUGUUCAGCGGUCGGUUGGAAGAAGGCCUUCACAUAUUCGGAAGAAAGUGGGUGUGAAAACCAGCUUGACAUAAUCAUAGACUGAAUGGGUCGUCGACAAAAUGAUUGGGAAUUUUUUUCCCAAACAAUUUCAAAAUUCCACUGUCCAUAGGUUAAUCAAAUCAGGAGGUGGUUGGUACUACUAGUACUAGCGAAGCAGCCGCUAUCACAUAAAACAAUGGCACGAGCCGAAUCAGAAAGACAGCCGCUGCUUGCAAAGCAUUGCCCCCACAACCAUAAGAUCAGGGGCCCCUAAAUAACCGGACAGCUAAGUUCGUCGAUGAUUCGCUCGUCUAAAAGGAGCUCAUCUAG
rnacentral:lncRNA from 1 species